GGAGGAAAACCUAUGGAUAGUUUAAGAUUAAAUGAAGAAAAUUCGCUGCUGUGUUUCUUCUAACACCCCCAGCAUUGCCUACAUUGUCUGCUGCUAAGUUGAGGCCAAACUUUUCACGUUGUAAACAAUGCAAUCCCUGUUUUUAGCAAGAAAAAGGAGAUGGGGACAGUGUACAGUGUAAUAGUCACGGCCUGCACAAAUGAGCUCAUAAAACAUAGGGGUAUACUAAACCUAUCGAAACCGGAAAAAAAAAUGCGUAUUCAUGAAGUCAGCCUAUAUGAACUUCAUCAACUCAACGGAACAGUGAAGUGCAGAAAACAACACUGUACAAUGAAUUGUGAUUUCAGGUGAUGAAAAUAACCCCUUGAAAUAUCAAUCAAAUGGAUGCUUUGGAGUGUAGGAGAUACUCUCGGUCAAGAUUGCAAACAAAGAACUGCAUAAGUUAAAAUCAAGAACCAUAUAACAGAUCCAAAACAAUGGUUUCGGCUUCUAUGUAAAUCACGUGAAGAAUAUUGAUUUUAUUCCAGGAUCCUUUGUUGCACCAAAGUAGUUUCCUACCUCUGGCGCAACGAUAAAGAUGGCAUCUUGGGUAGAAGGCAUUCCUACAGAAGAAUCAUUCCUAAGACCCAAAACAAAGACUGAAAUUUCAAGCAAUCAGAACAAACAAUCCAAAAACUUAAGUUUAAGGAAGUCUCGAUGUAAGAUUUAUAUCACACCAUUUUAUGCUAUUAAUUAAUUUUAAUUAGAUAAGAAAAUAGGAUGGAGAGAUUGAACAUGUUGUCAAGAUUCAAAUUUAUAACUGUUUAAUAAAAAAAAUCUCAAGUUGGAUAAAAUCUAAAAUGAAAUUUUUAUUGUUCUCUGACAUGUCCAGUAAACUGUUUUUCCAAAACUAUAAGCACCUAACAUUUUUUAUGUCGCCUAAUCCUAUAUUCUUUUUAAUGAAUUCUAGCUCCCAUCUCUAUAUAAAAGCUUCGCAGAAUUACUCAUAACUUUCAACACAUUUAAAGUCAUAAAAUAGACACAUUGAAAUACAAAUCUUCCAACAAACAUACCUUACAGCUAGAAAGAAGAUUGGAAGGCAACGACAGAGGAGAGCAUGUUUAUAGCAGCAUCUGACAUAAUGUUUCGCUGUGUCUUUGACGGAUGCAUAUCAGUAGACAACAUGGAGAUUGAGCGAAGGCCUUACCAUCGCAAUUGCAGCUGUGCACUGCAUAAGAUGGAAGGUGGUAGUUCCACUGGUUUUCCUCUACCAAGAAACAUGUUUUAUCCGAAGAAACAGUCAUGGAGACGUUGUUCCUUGUCCCUAGCAACUCCAAGUAUCCUACUGGCUUAUCAACUAAAAGUAAAUUCUUUUAGUUACACAAACGUUAACGUUCUAAUCUUUGUAUUUCAAAAAUAUAUCUUGUUCAUGAAGUUUUUAUUCGUCUCAAACUUACAGUAUGAAAUUCAAAAGAAGACGAGGUCUUGACCAGCUCUCUCUCUCUCACAUGAUUGGAAAGAAAAUUCCCUAAUCAGAUAAAUAUAAUUACAGAUCACUAUUGCUUCUUUUGAUAAAUAAGAUCAGAUAAAUGUCUUUCUUGACUACUCCGCAUGCUCCAGUUACUUCCGGCCUGAUCGGACUCUCUCCAACAUCUUUCCACCCUCUGCUCGGACUCAGUUCCCCUAGGCCGCCUCGUCCUUGCCCUCUAUGGCCAUUGGGCCCCUCACUGUCUCCAACUUCAAAACAAUGUGCACUUCCUCAUCUUACAAGAACACUCUAGUCCUUAAAACCUUUCCGGGCCAGUUCUUUUCUUUAAUCUCUUUUGUUGAGUUGUUAGUAAUAUUUUACUUUGAUUUGCUUUCUUUGGUUUGGUUAAUUUUUGCUAUUUUUAUAGAAUUAAGAACCUCUUACUUUAUUUGCUUUUCUGGGUUUGAUUUCUCCUUGUUGUUGAUUUGGGUAGGCAAACAUAUUCACUAUCCUAAUUAGAAGAACUAAAUGUGAUAAAGCUUAGCGUUAGCUAUAAAUGAAUCUUGAGGUUACACAAUGCAUAAAAGAAUUCUUGAAAGAAACUGCCGGUGAUAUGUUAUCAAUUAAUUCCGAAUCUGAUAACUUCCAUUACUAAUUAAAAGCUUUUGCAGAAACGCUUGAAGAAAUUAUGGUAUUCCAUCUCCAUUUUUCUUUUAAAUUCUCAGCCGCUCUCACAUUGCAUCACCAAAUCCACACCUAUCUUCUCCGCGCCUUACUGGGAAGAAGAUCCAAUUUCGAUACUAACCAUGUCGAACGAAGUUCAAGUAAUUGCUCGUGUCUUGCUAUGGGCAGCAUGUAGCACCCUGUUGGUCCAAUCGGGGUUAGCUCAGCUGCCACUAUUGCCUAAGAUACCCGGCCUGCCCGAUAUUACACUACCUCCGAUUCCAGGCCUACCUUUACUUCCAGGUUUGCCUCAGAUUCCCGGCCUGCCCAAAAUCCCACUACCUCCGAUUCCAGGCCUACCUUUAAUUCCAGGUUUGCCCCAGAUUCCGGGGCUGCCUUUACUUCCUCCACUGCCUCAGAUUCCAGGCCUACCUUCAAUUCCAGGUCUGACCUCGGUACCGGGGCCGCCUCCACGAUCCCAAAUCCCAGGCGGCCCUCCACGAUCCCAGAUCCCAGGCAGGCCUUUACUUCCAGGUCCACCCCAGGUUCCGGGGCUGCCUCCACCCCCUCCACCACCCCAAAUUCCGGGUGUUCCAACUCCUGGAACUCCAGUAGGCAUAGCCAAUGCUGGACACCAGUAGCCAAUGUACCAGGACGUGUUGUGGAAAUUACACCUCUCCUUAACGGUCAAAUAAGCACUCUGGUAUCGGUUUGUUGCAGAGCUUUAAUUCUAUAAAUGACAUUUGUAUUCCGAAAUUGUUUCCUUUAAAUCCAAUCUCCCCUGCUGUUUUAACUCAAUUUUAUCCUCGGUGUUGAUGGUGUUUCAAUAAUUCAAAAUAAUGCAAAAGUUUACUAAUUUGCCGUGAUUCGACCAACUUCUGAUAAUUUUAUAAUUUGUAGAAAAUGAGAAGAUAAGAGGGAAUACGGAAUGAUACUCAACAAGGGGUCUAAAAGUACUGCAAAACCAUACUUCCGAGUUUUGGAUAUUCAGCAUAUAUGUUAAUUAACCUUUAAUUAGUAACCUUUUCUUAGAACAAUUCCACACCUAUAGAUUCAAUUACACCUUUAAUGAUUUUGUAGAGUUAGUAUCAUUUUACAUCGAAAACAACAAUUUUUAAUUUUUAACAAUUAACAAUUAACAAGACCAAAUGUCAUUUAUAUUUUCUUAUCAAUUAACAAUUUCCCUGGAUAUUGAAAGAUUCUCAUAUUAAGGCAGCCAAACCAAACUAAUAAGUCAACUCUCAUAUAAAAACAAUAAAAAAAAAUCAAAUUAAAAAAAAAGAGCAUGAACUUUUUCCCUGAUCAAGCAAAUAAGUCUCUGAUAAUGUCAGGCUUGUAGAUGACAAUAUAUAUAUAUAUAUAUAUAUAUAUAUAUAUAUAGAGAGAGAGAGAGUUAAUUUAGGAUUUAACCGAUUUGAUUCUUGAUGGUUUUAAAAAAAUUCAAUCCAGUUUUAUAUUGUCAAUCUAGAUGAUUAAUCUACAACCUAAUUUAUCUGAUGAAAAUUCAAUUUAAUUUUGUAAAAAUAUAAAUUUUAAAAUAACAUUAUUUUAAUUUUUUAAAAUAAAAUUAGUUCACAUGCUCAACCUAUAGCUUGGAAUUAGAAUGUGUUUGCUUUUAAGAUAACUUUUGUGAUUGUGUUCGUGGUUGUGAUUUAAAAAAAAUAAGUUUAAAAAAAAUGUGAUUAGGUAUGGUUAGUUGUAUUCAAAUACAUGUUUGGUAAAAAUUAUGGUUAAGGUUUAUGUGCAACAAAAAAACAUAUAUAAAAUGUUUGGUUGUGGUUGCUUUUCAAAAGUACGUUUUACUUGGAAAUACAUCAAAAUAAUUUUUUUAUUUUAUAAAAAUUAUUUUUGAUAUCAGUACAUUAAAAUAAUAUGAAAAUACAAAAAACAAAUCUGGAGUCAAGAAAAAAAUAAAAAAAAAUUAAAUUUUAAAAAAAGUGCUUUUGAAACACAAAAACAAACAAAAUUUUACAAAACUCAGUUAAAAAAACAUGUAAAAAUAUAUUCAUAAAAACUACAUUUCAAACUUAAUUUUUAAUAAACCCUGCAAUAUAAAAUAUAAUUUAAUAUAUUAUCAAACACUUAAUUGCAUUGUUUACGCUACAAACACAAAAGCUACAACUAAACAAACUGACCCUUAACCGUAUUAUGAACUUUGCUCGUGGUAAAACGCCUAUUGGUUGAUGAUCCAUGUUACGAGGAGUUAUCGUCGCCAAUCCCAAGUUUUGUGACAGACCCGAGUAUUUUACCAUCGAACUUGCAUUUUUUUUAUUUAUCCUGAAAAUACUUGCCUGGUCGGUAAUUGACUAAAAAACCUAAUAAGAAAAUCAUACAGAUUAACAAAAAAUUAAUAAAACCUUUCAACCAUAAAACCUUUUUCCAAAUAAACAUUGAAUGCAAAACAAUUUUUUCACAUUGAUUCAAUUCUCAUUUUUAAAUUAUAUGCGGGCAGAAUACUCUUUUAAUUUUUUUCACAAUAAAAUUACUUAGCCAUCCCUAACAUCAAAACUGAUGUCUAGGAUCUCUUUUAUCUUUUCAAUUCUUCUAGAUUAAUAAAAUUAUUUAAUUACUUUUAGAGAAAAAUCUACCAAAGUAUCUUACAUAGGUUUUUUUUUAUUAAUGUCAAGUUCACUCACCACAUUUUGUAUUUUGUCAAAUAUUAAUAACUAAUAAAAUAACCGCUGCACGCUCUAGCAAGUAGGCAUCCCCAACACCAUUCAAGCAACACAUAUAAGGUUGUAUGGUGACCAAACACUAUCUAUUAAGUGACAUUUAAAUUGUCUCGACGUCCAUUCUAUGAUGAGGUGGCGUGUAUUGUUAACACCCAUUUAGUUUGGCAUCAAUAAUUUUUCGUUUCUCUCUUCUUUAAUAUCUACUCUUGCCCCUUCAAAAAUUUAAAGCAACCAUUCAAUUUAUUAUUUCUUUAUACUUGGUUCAUGUUUUUUUAUUACUAUUUAUUUUAUUUAGAAUGAUUUAUAAAAUUAAAAUUCUUUUUUUAUUUCAUCCCCUUUUAGUUUUGUCGUCUUUCAAGUUUAGUCCUUAUUAUUUUGAUUUUUAUUUGUUUUGUUUGAGUUAGUUUUUUAAAUUGAUUUUCUUACAAUUUCAUCAUUCUGAAGUUUUUUUUCUAUCAAAUUUGAUCCACGUUCUUUUAUUUCUAUUUUUUUACUUUGUAAUUUUUUAAAAUUGAUUUUUUCUCAUUUUUAUUUUUCAACAUUAAAUUUAUUGAAAAUUGAGUUUCUUUAUUAAUUAUAGAUCUAGCAUCUUACGGGUUGCGGGUUUUAUAAAUUAUCCUAAGUUUAGGAAGUUCACCUAAGUUUUGUUUUUCUUUAAAGCUCGUGUUUUUUUUUUUUAGUUUUAUCCUUCAUUAUUUAUUCAAUUGAAGAUUAUACCAUGUUACUUUUAUUUAUUUUCUCUCUAUAGGAUUUUUCAUAAUUUUAAAAAAUGAAUCGGGUUAUCUUGGCUCGUUUUAUUUGUUGUUCUUUGUUGAAUUUACUUUGAAAAAAUUUUUAAAUUGGUAUUUUUUUUAUUUCAUACUUCAAUAUUAGAUUGAUUGAGAAAUACUUUUCUUUUUUAGUUCCACCCUCUCUCUCUCUCUCUCUCUCUCUCUCUCUCUCUCUCUCUCUCUCUCUCUCUAUAUAUAUAUAUAUAUAUAUAUAUAUAUAUAUAUAUAUUGAGCUUUGUGAUUUUUUUUAAUUUUCUUUCUAUUAGUUUAUCUCGAUCUCAUUACUUAAAUUAUGAGGUUGGCCGAUUGCUUGAGUUGGCCUAGGUUUUUAUUAGGAUCGCUUUCUUAAAAUUUAAUAUUUGUUAUAUUUCUUCCUUUAGCAUUGAGUUGUUUUGGAUUUCAGCUUUUGUAAUCUUGUAUGAUUUGCCCUCAAUUGAGUUAUUUUAUUCACAUGAUUCAAGUCACAAAUAGCAGUUGUUUUAUCUUUUUUUUACUCUAUGUUAUCUUGUUCCAAUUUCAUGAUCUGUCUUAUACAUUUAACAUACUAACUAGAUUGGUUAAAAUCAUGUUCAAAUCAAUUUUUUUAUUUGAUUGAAGAGAAUCUUAGGUUGGUCACUUGUUUUUUAUUUAUUUGUUUCGAAGACCUAUUUUAUUGCAGGCCCCGAUAAUUUAUUUUGUUUAAAUUAAUCAAAUUAACUAUGUUAUCUUUUCUCUUAUCAUAGUUUAGUUUUUGCUCCAAGUCUCAUUUUUCUUGAUUUUUUUUAAAACACGCUUGUAUAGUAGGAGUUUUGUUUUUACCCGAAAUUUUUUUUUUUUUUGCCAGAUGCCUUGCGGGCACAUAAAUCCAAGUCCAUCCUAAGACUAACUGCCCUUAACAUAGGGGGACCACGCUAACAGAGGCUCUUAAUAAGAGGGGACCAUUCUGUACGUCAGGGUCCAGUUCGGAAAGACACCAGACAUCGUCAGCUCUUUGAUUGGCUGGGCCUGCAUGGCUGCAUACCUCCCCUCCUUAUCCACCCACCGCAGGGGAGGACCACCCUCCUCCCCUUCCCUCCCUCCGCAACCUAACGCCUAAAGCCUAAAAGACCGCUCGAGACAGCGGACAAAAAAAAAGGGGUCAUAUCCUAACUGGUCCCCACCUUAGCUUCAACUCACAAGUAUACCAAUCUAGAUGGUCUGAUUCCUCUGGCUCGUUCUCCCAUGAUGUCCCCACUUUUGUGGUCCAUGAAACCUUGGUUUUACACGUGUCCUUCCUUAGAGCAGUCCGAUUGUUGUUGUAGUUGCUGUCGACACAAAAACUACUGUGUAAAACUUGACUUCCAAAUUCUAAUACUUCAUCGUAUACGUGUCAUCAAAUCUGGCCGUUAAAACACCCCUCUCUAAAAGUCCACCCAAGAACAAGCCGUUGGCUAUGGCCAGCCCUCAUAUUUCUCUAUAGUUUCGGUUUAGUCUCUGUGUUUGGAUUAUUUCGAAUCUACCACCUAACUUGAACCAAUCUUUCAAUUUGGGUCUCUUGUAGCUAACUAAUUAUCAAUAGAAUGUAGUAAUGUUGUUUAUAGGCUUAAGAAUGUUCGAAGCACCAUGCAUGUGGAACUCUUUUUUAUGUUUCAUGUUUUUUCAAUUCCAUUACAGGGUAAGACAUGAUAAAAUAUACUAUCAGCUUAUGAUAAUUCGAUUAUAUUUAUGAUGCAAAUCUUAUUUUUUUAAUUCAAAAAGUAUUAUAUUUUCUUGCUGUUUAGAGGAUUAAAUUACAAUGCUUAUAAUUAAUAAAUUCUCAUGGUUUUUAUUUGAGAUUGAUGGAGUAUCAUAUCAAUAGAAUAUAAGUGUAAGAUUUUAUACUCUUUUUUUUUGUGUGUUUACAAACAAUUGGUAUUUCAUAAUUAAUUUUUAUGAUUAAGAUCAAUAUUUUUUUUUAUUUACUCUUACUUGAACAAAGACAAAUUAUUCAUGUCAAGAAAGUUUUUAAAAAUUCAUGAGAAUUGUACUUUUCGUGCAUUUGAAUCUAGAUGGUUGAAGAGAGGGUAGGGGUCUUAUUGGGUUAAGGUCAUGACUGCGAGAACUGUUUUGAAAGAUAAAGGACUAAGUUGUAGUUGACCCCAAAAAAAACAAAAAGGCUUCCACUUUCUCCUCCAUUUUCUUCUUCUUGUUCAUGCUUUCACUCCACUUCAUGUCCUCCUUCCAUCAAAAAACACACACACCCACUUUUCUUUCUUUCCCACAUCUCCCUCUCCCUGUCUCUCUUGUCUUCGUGUUGAAAUGAAAACCCACUUCUAAUGGCUUUUGAAGACCACCACCAUAUACCACAAGAAAUGGCUUUUCAGCUACAACACCACCACCUCUCAGCCUCGUCUUCCACCGGUCCCCCAUGGCUAAGCAACGCGGUCCUCCGUAGGAACGGCGACUUUAUAACCAUCGAAAAAACCGAAAACACCACCAACAAUGGAAGUGAAGAGGAGUUGGUAGAUUCUGUUAGUGAUAACUGGGAGAGAGCUAAAUGCAAAGCUGAGAUAUUAGGGCAUCCUUUUUAUGAACAAUUAUUGGCUGCACACGUGGCUUGUUUAAGGAUUGCAACGCCAGUUGACCAGUUGGCUAGGAUUGAUACACAGUUGGCUCGGUCUCAAGAUGUUAUUGCUAAGUAUUCUGGUGUUGGUUGUGGCCAUGUUGUUGACGAGAAAGAACUUGAUCAGUUCAUGGUAAUUACUAGUAUCUUUUUAAUGUUUUCUUCAUUAUAUGUCGUUUUUUUGUGUUCUUUAAUCUUUUUCUCUCCUGUCUGCUUGUUUUUUGUUGAAUUUGAGCGAGCUCAAGUUUGGAUUUUUUGUAUGAGAUAUUCAUGUUUAUGCUUGAUUGGUUAAUUAACGAUCCUUAAUUUUUGAGAUUUAUCUUAAAGAAACUUUUUGUUUUAUUUUUUGACGGAUGCUUACUGUACUUGUUAAAAUUCCAUAUAUGAAAUGACACCGAAACUUCCUUCUCUUCCCUUUUGCCUGUACCUUAUUUUGUCCAUUUGGGAGAGUGAGUUAAGAAGAAACCCUUUUGAUAUAUGUGAAAGUGAACAGGUUCUAAGUGGAUAAAUGGUACUUUUGAUGUGAAUCAUGUACUGGUUUAUAACUGUUUUUGCAUCAGUGGAGGAACCAAUUAUGUUGUUUUGGAAGCACAUGAAAAUAAUUGAAACUUUUGGAGUGCUUUGGAGAAUCUCUUUGGUGAUGGUUUUGUAUCACUUAUCCACUCGUUCACAGGGAUUAAUCCUCCUUGCGUUAUGGAAUUUGUUCUGACAUGAAGAAAGUUUCUGGCCAAGUGUCUAUCUUAUUGUUCUCCAAAUUACAUGCAUUGAUUUUGAUCCGUCAAUUUCAUUGCCUGUUCAUGUACGAAACAACCUUUUUCCUUUAGUAUAUGAUUCUGUUAUGUUGCUAAAUGCUUACUGACAAUUGCUUGAGCUCCACUAAGGCGACAAGUGGAGAUUAGUGUCUUGAUAGAUAGAGUGAGUUGACAUAUAGCAAUAAGGCUGGGAAUAUCAAGUCACAUUACGAAUUACAAAACUAGUUGAUCAUCAUGGAUUAUGAAAAAAUUCAUUUUGUCAAGUAAUGAGAAACUCCCAGAAAUUUUGGAUUGUUUUGGCAUUGAUUUCUUCUUUACCACAUGAAACAUUAAAGAAGUUCAUGAGGAUGAACAGUAUAACUGCUGAUUAUUGCUCAAUCAACUUGAUAAUGCAUUUAUGUACCAUAAAAAAUUCUUAUUAAAAAAAGCUUUGAUGGUGUUCGGCGCUAAAAUAUUUAAGAGAGAUAGGGAUUCAAGACUAUUUUAGAUUCGAAUAAAUUUUUAACUGGAGAUUGAUCUCUUGAUAGAUAGAGCGAUUGACAUGAUUUAUCUUUUUUUUUUCAAAUAAAAUAAAAUAAUAAUAAUGGAUGCUCUUAUAGUGAGGAGACAUGUAGGCAAUAAGGUUGGAGAUAACAAUUCAAGUUCCAAACUUAUGUUACAAAACUAGCUGUUCAUGAUAGAUUACGGAAUAAUUCUUAUCGUCAAGUAAUAUGUAAUUUCCAGAAAACUUGGAUAUUGGAUUGCUUUGGCAUUGAUUUCUUCUUAACGAUAUAACUCAUUUAAGAAGUUUGUGGGGAUGAAUGAGAAAACUGAGUGAUGGUAGCUCUAUCGGCUUGGGAAUGCAUUAUUUCGCAUAAAAUACUCUCUUUGAAAAAGCUUAUGAUGGUGAUUCAUAGCUAAAAUAUUUUAAAAAAAUAGAAAAUCAAGAAUAUUUUAGAUUGAAUUUAAUAUUUUCUGAAGGGGUCAUGUGAUGAUACAGGUGAUUCACAAUUGAUAAAAGUUUUUCACUUUAGCUGUUCAUUACUGAUGUGUAUUAAAUAAGGAUUAUAUGAAAACUUUCAGCGUGGCUAUAUUUGGUUUCUGCAUGGGUAUAUAUGCAUGUGAAUUACAAGUGUGCAUUUGCUGCAAUCUGAUAAUUAAUAAGACAGUUUUAUUAAUAUUUAAAUAUUUACAUUCAUGAUGUUAUCAAUUAUGUCAUUUUCAUUUUCCUUUUUUCAUUCCUUCUAUCAUAUGUGUUGUCAGUUUUGUUUUCUUCCAUCUGAAUCUCCUUUUUUGCCCUUCUUUUUAUUUGUACCUUGUGAUGCAGACACAUUACGCUCUACUUCUCUGUUCCUUCAAAGACCAAUUGCAGCAACAUGUCCGUGUUCAUGCUAUGGAGGCAGUAAUGGCUUGCUGGGAACUUGAACAAUCUCUACAAAGUUUGACUGGUAUUUAGCCCUUCUAUCAAAAGGAAAAGAAAACAUAAAACAUAGGGAUUGCUGGUCUACAUAGUGGAAAGUGAAAUGAGUUGUUAGUAAUUCUUUGCAUGUCGGUAAUCAAGCUGCUUCCUUCUUGCUGUUUUAUCUUUUGUUCAUUCAUCUUGCAGAUCCACAAUCUGUGCUGUUACUUUUGUGUCACAUAAGUUGUCUUACUUCUGUGUCAAUGUUACCAUACUUGAUCCAUGCUGUUUAACCUUUUCCUUUGCGAAGAUAAAUUUGGAUGAUUGAUUUCUGAAUACCCAAAUAUAUUCAUCUUGUUCUAUAUUGAGAGUACAUUUUACUCGUUUGUUUUUAAUGUUGGAGUUAAACACUUUCAUCAAUAAGAAAUCAAAGUUAAACCAUGGCCAAUGUUAGCCAAUCCCUGAGCCAACUGUGCCUUACCUGCUUAGAGAGCCCGAGGGUUUAACCAUCGGGACAGCCUACCUCCCUUUCUGUAUCCCCACUGUAACUGUCUAAAUCUAAAACAGAGAACAAGGGAAAAAUCCAUUUAGUUUCUUACAUAAUUGCUGCAAUUGAACUGCUACAUAGUUACAACUGCAUCAUUGCUUAGAACUAUUUCGAUGAUAUUCUGCAUUUACCCUAGUUAAAAUUGGAAUUCCUGCCUAAGCUUAGAACUAAACCACGGUGCAUGACAGGCGUAUCUCCUGGGGAAGGCACUGGUGCAACUAUGUCUGAUGACGAAGAUGACCAAGCAGAAAGUGAUACCAACUUUAAUGAUGGAAACCUUGAUGGGUUGGAUACCAUGGGAUUUGGUCCUCUAGUCCCCACUGAAACUGAGAGGUCCUUGAUGGAGCGUGUAAGGCAAGAAUUGAAGCACGAGUUCAAACAGGUAAUGAUGCAUAAAAUUCUAUGGUAAAUUACUGGGUGAAAAUGGUGAGCUAAGCAACUUUAUCCUGUUUAGGAUUACAAAGAGAAAAUUGUGGACAUUAGAGAGGAAAUUCUACGUAAGAGAAGAGCAGGGAAACUGCCAGGUGAUACCACUUCCCACUUAAAAGCAUGGUGGCAAACACAUUCCAAGUGGCCGUACCCAUCUGUAAGUAUGAGAUGAUUUCCUAACCAUAUGCUGUUAAUAUUUUGUUGCCAGAUCCUCAAACUGUUUGCUCCAAAUUACUUUUCAGGAGGAAGACAAAGCAAGAUUGGUGCAGGAAACUGGGUUGCAGUUAAAGCAGAUAAAUAAUUGGUUCAUAAACCAAAGGAAAAGGAACUGGCACAGCAGCCCUUCAGGAUCUACCUCGAAGAGCAAACGAAAGAAGUAAGCUGACUAUUAUAUGUUUCUCUGUGAACAUUGGCUUCUUCAAGAACAUAAAGCAUUUCAUAUAAAUGGAAAGACUUGAAGGUAGACUGCUAUUGUUGCCUUCGUGUACAUACCUGGGAAGAGCAUCAGAACACAUUUGGGGCCAUUGGAAUCAACAAGAAUUAAGGGUAGAUAUAUUCUGUUUGGAUAUGCUCAUACUGGAAAGCUCAUCUUUUCUUUGAAAGUGGGUGCUAUUCAAUAUGUAGAGAUGGGCUAAACUCAUUUUCCAGUUGAGAAGUGUGCUAUGAUGGCAUACUGCUACAAUAGAUGUCCUAGUUUAUAAACAUAUGAGAUUGGAAGUGUUAGUUUGGAUAGCUUCCUUCUGUGCCAUGGGCCUGUAAUUUUGCAAUUAUUGGUUUAUGUUCAAUAUUUGUGAUAAGGUAAUGUAAUUAUAUCCUUUUCAGUGUACACAUUCCAAACCAUUCAAUCACAACUUUUCCCUUACUCAAAAAACAUGCAAGGGUUGCUGUUUGUUCGUUGAAACUCGAACAUCUAGUGAGUAAAGUCUGUCGUGCAAAAGGGAUUUCUCACAAUGUACUCCUACGUAAUGUGGAUAGUCUGUUUAAAACUCGACCAGGAAGGAUUGCUUCCAAUGGUUAAGAGCAUAGUGACUGUAAGAAAACCAUUACACGCUUUUGUGAAAACGGGGUAGAAAAGGGUACUGGCCUGGAAUAUUUACUCAAGGGAGACAAGGAUUGUUGCUGUAGCUCAAGGAAUAAGGGGGAUCGUAAAUGAAUAAGAUAGACCAAUUGCUCAAGGAAGAACAAAGAAUCUUGAAAGAAAGAAACCAAAAUCUAUUAGGGUUUUCGAGCUUAGAACAAUAGAAAGCAAGCCUCUGCUCUAACUUGGCCUAUCAUUUGGAAAUGGUAACCCAUUAUGUCAAUAGAGCUCGCUAGCUACUUCAUAGUUGGUAGGAAAUAUGGACGAGGGUGAGAAGCGUGGCUGGGAAGAAAGUGAGUGAUGGAAACAGGAACGCGUAAUCUUUUUUCGUGUUUGGUAGAAAGGCAAAGUGAACAAGUAAUCUCUAGCAGAAAAAAAAUCGAUGGAUUUGGAAGGAAAAUCUGCGAGUUAAUGUUCCUACCCAAGUAGCCAAAUUAAUCUAUUUCUUGAUAUAUUUAAUUCUUCCUCCAAAUUCAUUGCAUGCUGAUUAUUUUAAGAAUAGUUAAAAAACUUGGUCUGACAUGGUAGAUCAAUCAGGUGAUUUAAACCGAUCCAAGUUCAGUUUCAUUUCGAACAUGAUUUUUUUAACUAAAACAACGGGCAAUUCAUUUUUUGUUUUGUUUUUUUUUAAAAAAAACAUACCAAUAUUGUUUUGAUAAAAAAAAAUAGAUUAAGCUGACAAUCUGUUCUAGAAGGUCUGCUGGAAUAUCUAGUUUGAUUGGUUCAGAACAUCCUUUUUCUUCCUUUCAUUUCUUAGCAAUCCAGCCACGUCAUAUUUUAUUUUGAUUUAAAAUUUUGUAGUCUUUAGUCUUAUCUUUGACUGUAGUUUCCAAAAUGACUGCAAACCAGAUCAUCGUCCUGUUUGUUGAAUACAAAACAAGAGCACGCCCACAAUCAAAUAAUCAUAGAAAUUAGUAGUAAUGAAAAGAGGAUUAAUGGUAAUGAAAUGGAAAAAUGGAGAAUUUGAAGGAAACCAAGCACGUUGUGGGCAGUGAAAAUUAACAACAAACACAUGCUAGAAAACAAAAGGCUAUACAGAGAUGCCAGCGCCAUGCCAAUCAUCAAAAAAUCCAAGAAUCAAAACAACCUGUAUAUAUUCCUUCACAACCCGUUUCGACGAGCCUCUUGAUCUUCAGAAGAAGCAGCAGCAAACCUUGAUGAGAAACCAGGAAUCAAACAAUCAUCCUCUUCCCUAUCAAAGUUAAGAGCAUAGCUUUCAGCAUCAUAUUGAGACUGAUUAUUCCUUUGUUUCUUCUUCUUGAUAUAUGCGCUGAUCUUUCUAAUGAAUGUCUUCCACUUUGGCCCUGCCAAAACCUCUGAAGCCUCCUUCACUUUCUUCAGUUUCCUCACCAACCAUGGAUCACUAGAGUCACCAUUCUGGUUCAAAACAUCAUAUUCACGUUCAUUGUUUCGCCGCGAGUUGAAAUUGAAGAGUCCAAAACAACAGCAACCAUUAGCUGAAUAGGCCUCUUGUUCAUAAUCAUCAAGGCGAUCGUAUCCUUGUUGUUCAUGUGACAUUCUUGGUGAACCGAUGGGGCUCAUGAAAGUUACAUGCGGUUUGGCCAUGUGUGUAUGUGCGUGUGUGUGAGAGAGAGAGAUACAAAGAAUAAAACGGACGGGGAGUCUGGAUUGGGAAGAAGAGGGUCUUAAUACGGAGAAGCCAUGGAAGGAAGUUGAAGGGAAAUGGGCAAGGAAGUGUCAAGGAAAUGGAGAAUUUAAGCUGACGAUUUUUCUAAAUGGAAAAGCCAACAGGAAUACGAUGCUUGUUGGGAAAAUGACAUUUGACUAAGCUUACAUGGCUCUCUAUGAUUGGUGCUUUUGUGAGGAACCUAGUAAUAUAAUGGCGGCUAUAAGCGAAACACGGUUUCUUAAACGAGUUAGCCACACGCUUGCAAAACGAUGGCAACAUAGAACUUCCAUGCAACAAUCAAGAAACACAGCCACAAAACUUGUCUUCUUUUUCUCGUCACUCACAUUCCAAAUGUUUCUACAUGGUAACAUUUAUUUACCAAAGAGGAUGAUUGGAAAUAUUGGAAAUAACGCCUUUGAUUAUUAUAAAAACAAUGCCUUUGAUUCUCAUAAAAAUACAGGACCUAUCAGAGCGUUGAAUCACCUUCUUCGAGAUUACAAUUUCGAGUAUACUGAAUAAUUGCUCGAAAGAACAUCAAAACGAGGAUAAUUAUAUUUAGGUGAAUAAUAGCGGAAAAGGGCACCGAUCAUCAUCAUAUCCAUGAAGUAUAGGUUCUCAAGGUUCGUCCAAAUCUUGCCAAAAAAAGAACCAAGCCUCCUUAUCUUUGCAGAAGGCACAUAUAAUUCCUUCAGUCGAAUGGUGCGUCGUAGGCAGCAAACCUUUUUCAUAUAAGAAUCCACGGAUUCUCCACUACGAAUCUAUGAUACGGCUACCCUGGAUGUCUGUGUUGUUACAUCAUAUUUCAGUGCCAUCACUGCAAUUUUUUCUGCUAAAGGCCACUGAAAACUUUUUUCCCUUCAAUUGGGAGAUUGUAAAGUUUCAGGAAGAUGCUAUUGAAAAUUGGGAGACUGUAAAGUUUCAGGAAGAUGCUAUUGAAAGCUUGAUGUACAAAAUAGACGUAUCAAGGUCCAACUAUAUACUACAGCUGAUACUUCAACUCUCCAUACACUGGUGCUUGCUUACGCCACAGAAAUAACAAGUCAUUCUGGACUGACUGGUAAGAUUUCUGGGAAAUGAUAUUUGCAUUAUUGAAAGAAAGAAUGCAUGUAUCAAGAUCAGUGAAAGACAUGCCGCAGAAAAUCCAGCCUGCAUUCUUGUGAUGGUGGGUGGGAAAACGAAAAAAUGAAAGGCAUUACAAAAGUACAAAUAAAUUGCACCUCACUUGAAUCAAAACUGCUAUGAAAUGUUAAUAAUAAACAAUUUUUUUUAAAAAAAAAAAAACGUAAAAACUAACUGGACAAAUUCUAAAAACCGUGAUUCAAAAAAGAAAGAAAGACCUUGCCUGUGCUACAUUCAAGUAAAAUACAUGUCUUUCAACAACUGAGGAAGCAACACAUUCCCCAGGACACGAAGGAGAGACGACAGAACAGCUUGCGUGAAAUCAUUUUUGAACCUGGUACUGUGUUGAAGGGGGCUGCUGUGAUGGGUUUUGCCCUCUGGGAGGAAUCUUUGCUACCAUUGCACGCAAAUCAUUUGCAAUUUCAGUGAAGCUUGGUCUGUCUGAUGGCUCAGAAGACCAGCAUCUCUCCAUCAAUGAUCUCCACUCUGGGUCACAAGUCUCUGGCACUGGUGGCCGCAAGGUAUUGCUCACAAUACCACCUGAUUAGCAUUUUGACGGGGCAAUAAUCAGUGAAACACAUACUUGAGCCUAUUUAAGUAAAUGCCACAUGAUUAUUUUUGGUACAACUAAAACCUCACCUAUAAUAGCCCCGUAGUGCAAGUCGGAGUAUGGUUCUUCCCCAGUCAGAAGUUCCCACAACACGAUACCAAAUGAGAACACGUCGACCUAUAUUAAAGAAGAGAAUUGAAGCGCAAGCUCAUCUAGUGAGAAAAAAGAGAGACUAUUUAUAUGCAAGAUGGUAUCAAACGACAAAUGGAAGCACCUUUUCAGAGACAAGACUACUGCUUCCAUUCAGAAGCUCCGGUGCCAUCCAUGGAAGUGUUCCCCGCACACCACCUGAGAUAAGUGUUUGGCAUUUCACCUUAGACAGGCCCAAAUCACCGACCUGGUGCAGAAGCAGAAGUGAAAAGCCAAUUCAAUAAAUUUGCUAUUGAAAACAAAAUACAGAAUUCUCAGGUUCAACAUUACAUGCAGGGACCUGCAGAUUAUAUGCAUCAAUGCAAUCAUAGAACUUAAAUUUGAAAUCAAAAGUUUUUACUGAUUGUCAUACAUGGAGGCUCAAAAUUUAGUAAACUACUAGUGAGCAUUUGGAAAUGGAAUUCUAUUCCCAAAGGCAAAUGCAAAUUUCCUCUUCAGAUAUGGUUUUAUAAGCAUUUGAGUCUGUGAUAACUUCUAUCAAUGACAAAAGCAGAGGCUUCUGGAAUUCAGGACUAACAAUAGAAACAAUAAUCAUAUCUGCCAUAACUAAUAAUUAAAAGAAUAACUUAGAAAACUAAACAGAUCAAAAGAAAACUGACAAGGAUGGAAAAAAAGCGCGAGUACUAUUUCCUAUUUCACAAAUUUGAUCAACACUAUGUGGGGUAACAAGAUACAGACUGGGGAAAUAAAAUCCACUAAUCCACUCAAGUUAUGAUAACAACUGGACAAAAGAGAGCUCAAAUCAACUACAUAGACAUUUCAUUCACAUCUCACUUAAGAGAAUAUCAGCGACAAAUUCUGUUGACAAGAUAUCAGCAUUCAGCACGUGCUUGAAAAUAUAUAUCAGCAUCAAUUACUGUUGAGAUGAUAACAUUACCUCUCUUUUCACAUGGCUAUUAAGUACUGUAAUAAUGUCAUUUGUAAGUUAAAUCUGACGUGAAUCCAUUUGAAAACACUCCCAUAACCUCAAUGCCAUAUUCACCCCUAAACCAUUCUAUGGAAUACCCCAUAAUUCAGAAGUAUUCUGGCAACAGCUCUAAAGUGUUCCACCUAAAAGACUGGAUUAAUUAGCCUGGAGUAUGGAAGAACUUAUUUUAGCCAGAUACCCACAUUUUGCCUUAGCAGGGUGAGAUAAAACUCUAAAUGCGACAACCAAAUUUUCUAGAUCAUUUAGGCAUGGAGAAGAUUUCUCCAAAUACUAAAAUCAUCAAAAGGAGGAUGCCGACAGAAAUAAACCCACAAUCGAUAUGCAUAUCAGAGAGUUCAUUACUUGAUGUAAGAAUGAAGGGGAGGUAAAAGCCCCUCUUCCUCCAGAUUGGGUCACUAACCUUGCAUAUUGGCCGGUGAGGAUCUCGAAGAUUAACAAGUAAAUUGUCACUCUUCAGAUCGAAGUGCACUACAUUCUUUCCAUGCAAGUAUCCCAUUCCAAAGGCCACAUCCAUGGCAAUCAAGAGACGCUUACGCUUGUCAAGGUUCCUGCUAAAAAGAAAUUAUAAAAUAAAUUUCACUUUCAAAGCGGGGAAUGAAAUAAAAUGGAGAGAUACAGGUUCAUGAAAAAGGAACUACAAAAUAACCUCUCAUUUUUCUGCAAAGCAUUUCUUAAAGAACCAUUAACCAUGAACUCUGUCACUGUUGCCACAGAACCUCCAAGGCCAUCAUCAACAACACCAUAAAAAGCAACCACAUUUGGAUGGUGCAGAUCAGCAAGCUUAAUUGCCUCGUUCCAGAAGUCAUCUCUCUGAUUUGAACAUAUGGUGCAGACAGUUAGCAAGUCAUAACACAUGAACAACAUCAACAAAAUCAAAGUUUAACAGGUGCGAUGGGACAAUGAGAAAAACAAAAACAAACCAUGCGUUCUUGUUCAGAAGGUUUCCCAGCGAAACACCUAUCAUUGAUUCGUUUGAUUGCUACAUCAGUACCCCUCCACUUCCCAUGAUAAACAGUGCCAAAGGUGCCAGAACCCAAUUCCUGCAGCUCUUCAAGGUCACUGUUCUUUAUAAUCUGCUAGACAACAACCAGAGGCGUGCUUAAAAUUGACAAACACACAUAUAUAAUUACAGGAAGAAGAAAAUAGUCAACUCUUUCAACCUGCAAGCGACCACGGCCUUCCGAUACAGGAAAACCAAAAUUCACCUUAUCAGGCAGUUUGUUCUUCAUGUCCUGAGUAAAUAAAGUAAGAAAAUAUAGGGAUAAAGGAACAGUCAGAUAAAUGCACCAUAGACGGCAACAUGAAAAAAGAAAUGCCAAUUGAUAAACAUGAAUGUGCUCCCACACAAAUGCAACGAAAACAGAAUGGAUUAAGCACCUCAAGUUUAGCUUUGUGCUGCAUUUCUACACUUUCAUUUGAAUCUUCUUUUUCUUGAUUUGGUUCAUAAGCAGGUUCAUUUCUUUCUGACACGUUUUGUUCAGGAUUAGAAGUAUCUGACUGGAAAACAGAAGCAGCUACACCCUCAGCUACAGCCUUGAGUUCUUGCCUGAUGAGUUCCUCUGCUGAACCUUCAACCAUGAAACAAAAAAUGCUAAGAAACUAAAUUCUCAGUGUAAGAGAAUAUUUGAUUUUAUCCAGAUAAACACAAACAUAACAAAUAAUUAUUGGAGUUAUCCAGUUGUAAGCAUGUGUAAGAACACAAAAUAAGAAGCUUCUGACCUUUGGAUGAUUGAGCACGUUCUAAAUCCUUGUUUGAAUUGCUCAGUGGCUUGGAAACUCCAUCCUCCAACAGCACACCUGUGAUUAAGUCCACCUCACCAGAAUGGUUCUCAAUGAAAGGGUCCCUAGUAGUAAAGGCUUCUUUUUUUGUUGCAAUCUUGUUGGGUCUAGGUGGAGGAAACUGAUUAUCAUGCCUUGAUUUCCAAGGAUCCUGGCUGCUGAAGAGUGAGUUUGAAAAGUCCUGAGCAUUGCCAACUCCACCAGAUGGCGAUAGGGAAGAUGGCAUAUUACCAGUUGAUGAUAAAGCUUCCACGUCGCUGGGGACAACCUUUGAAUGCAGUUGUGAAUCAUUCUUCCAUUCAGCAAAAGGUGGGAUUCUGUCAUUUACAAAGGCAGGCUCAACACCAGAGAAUGCAGGGAUUCCAUAACUAACUUCAGCAGAAUCCAAGGCAGGAACUCCAAUCUUGGGCUGCGGGUGUGAUGCUUUAUUACCCAAAAUAGGUGGUUGUGCAACCUCAUGUAAUUCCAUUGGUUGAGAAAUAUGCAAGUAAGAAACCUCUGUAGAAGCAGGCAACAUUUCAAACUGCUUAAUAUGAUUUGAUUCAAGAACCACCUGUGGUUUGUUAAAAGUAUUAUCUAGAAGCACCUCCCUCCCAGCAAUUUUCUGGGUUUUAUGAUCCAAGAUUUCUUCCUUUUUAAAUUUAUCAACAGGUGACUUUUUCUGAUAAUUGUUAACAUUAAUUUCAGGGGGGCGUAUAUGGAGAGCUUCCAUCAUCCCAUCAACUGGUCUCAGCUGCUCACAAGAUAUGUAAGAGUCUAGAGCAUCUUCUUGGGAAACAACACCAGGAAGCUUGCCAUAGUAUUCUUUUGGAGAUUCUUGAACUAGGUGUUCAGAAGCUUGAAUAGGUACAGCAACAGCAUGAGGGGCAUCACUGUUAGCAGGUUUACUCAGUAAAACCUGUGGUUGCAUUGACACUGAAUGCUGCUGGAUACAAUCUUCCAUGCGAGACGCAGGAAUUCCACCUGCGAACAUGCCAUAAGGAGACUGUACAUCACCUGGUAAACCUAUCAUGCCAUAGGGAGCUGAAAUCUUAGGUUGACCAGAAUUGUCAGUUUUCAAGAAAGUUCUCUCAUUUUCAUGAGGUGCCUCAAGAUUCUGAGAGGACACAAUUGCUUCCGACUGCGGUGUUCCGAUAUGACUAUGAACUGCAGGUUGGGCACCAGCACCUUGUUCCAUAAUGCGUUCUCCCGAGGCACCAGUUAUCAUAACCCUGUUCAUAGGGGGGGCUUUCAUGGUAUCUUCUAAACGAAGACUAUGAUUAAGUGAGUUUGAAUAGCUCAUUCCAGAUUCUCUUGGGGCCGGUACCAAAGGAUCUGAAUGUGCAUGAGGCAGUGCUUUCUGACACAUAUAACAGUCCUCCAUUCUUGGAAUUUUCUCAGGGAAAAGUACCUGUUGAUGAGACACUGACCCAUCAGAGUAGACAACAGGCUCUGGCUGAGGAACUUGUGUCCAGCCAUAGCCUCCAACAACUGCAGGAGGAAGUUGAGCCCGAUAUGCAUUGUAGCUUGAGUCAACAGGAACCUGAACAAUCCUUGUUCCAAAUGCAUUUUCUUCAGGAUAGUGCUCCAAGCGAGUUUGUUGGGGUUGAAUCAAUGGUUGAACCACAUUUGGCCUUAUAGCCAUAUGAGAACCUGAGGGUGUCAUAGUCAUAUGCACUGCAGGAACAUAUUGAAGUGAAGUAGCACCUGCAUUACUCUCAUGAAAAUGCUGUUGGGUGAAUAUGGGCCCCGGAGUUCCAAGCACAUGAUUAUUUGGAAAACCCAUGAGGGGAGGAACAUGCCUAUAAUCUGCCUGAUUCAUAUUUUCUUGACGAGGAUCUACAUACGCCCGCGAUUGAGGUGCAUGUGGUAGAAUGCCUGACCCAACUUGCUGGAAAUCAUGGACCCUAUGCUGCGGCUGUGCAGUAACAGGAACGGACCUCUCAAAUUCAACCUCAGGCUGAGAACAUGAAGUCUGCGGAGGACCGGACUUAGCCAAUGGAAUCCCCAAUGGAACUGCAGAUACACCUGCAUAAGCUGGGGGGUUGGUAUCUGCAAAGACUAGUUUUGGAGUAGAAUCAUGAGAAGCAUCCAAAUUAUCCCCAGGGGAUAACAGGCUGGUAGAUGGUGACCAAGUCACAUCCCCUUGACCAGGACCUGAGCUCUCAACAGCCUCAGUCCCACUAAAAUCAGAGUUUUGCGUUGAAGUUACACUCGCCAUACUCCCCUUCCUAGUGAUACGACCACCGCCAUCCACAACCCCAUUUACUGCAUCAAAAUAUCUCUGCCCGCUAUCAUGUAAAUCUCCAAAUUGGACUGAACCAGAAGCAUCGAGCUGUGAAUCCGAAAACAAAAACACCCUUAACUUAGCUGACCCAUCUGAAGACCUCUCAAGCAACUUCUCAUAUUCCUCCAUCAUAUUAUCAAGAUCAUCAGCACAUGAAACAGACACCAAUGCAUCAAGGUCCUCAUCAGGAAGCUGGUAUUUAAUAACAACAGGCUGCUGAUAUGUAUCCAUCAUCUUCCGCUGCAGCUCAUUAAUGCUCACAUCUCUCCUCACACUAAUAAUCCUUGUUUGCCCUCCAGCAUAUCUCAACGUACCAUCACUUGGUCUUGGCAAAAUCUUCCCCCCAAAACUACACAAAAACUUCACUUUCUUCCCCGACACUGAAUCAUCCCCACCAUCUUCACUCCCAUGGUCAGCCCCACCACUAGCGUGACUCCCCAAAUUGGUAUUACAACCCAGCCCCGUAUUUACUGCCUCAAUGCUCCCAUUAACAUUAACCCGAUUCCCAAAAUUGGGUGAAGAACCAGAUCCCAACACCAUAUCAUUUCCGGCACGAUCAACAGCAUUACCAACUAUCCUGUUCCCCAAAUUAGGAUUAUAACCAAACGGAACACCAGAACCAUUUGCACCCACGUUCAUACUCCCAACCGACACGGGAACCGGCAUGAGUGGGGCCCACGGGGCAGCCCCGGAAUAAGCAUUCCCAUAUCCUAAACCUACAAAACCAGCAUCAGACACCGAUGCCGGAUAGAUAACAGGAAUAGAACCUUCUGGGCUGGCAAAAAACUCAUGUUUUCUACCAGCUGUUACUGGUGUAGUGACAGAACUACUAGUAGCACUAGCAAUAGCAGCCACAAUGCGGGGCUCUUCAGGUAUGGUUCUAGCUAUGUUUAAUGGCCUUGUAUCUUUUGGUGUUGGGGUCUGAUCAAAAGCCAUAAAUAAACUUAAAAUUGAAGAGAUAAAAAAUCAAUCUUUAUUCACAAACUUAGGGUUUCCCAAAUGGGUUUUCCUCUACACAUUCACUACUCUCAUAAACCCUCACAAGAUUUUGCAAAGACAGGGACAGACAUAAAUAACCCAAAGACAGAGUCAAACAAAGAGAAAGAGAGAGACCAAGUUACCAGAUUUGAACGGUGACUACCAAGGAUAGAUAAGAAUAAGAAAAGAUGACACAUAUAACAGCAGCUGAGUCGGUGCAGCAGCAGCAGCUGAGUCGGUGCAGCAGCAGCAGCAGAAUUUGAAAAGAGCUUAGCCAAAUUCAGGGCUUUGUUUGGAAGAGGGUGAAUCGUAUUAUUUUAUUUCUCUGUGUUUUGUUCUGUGCAAUCGGUAAUGGGACUGGUCGUUUUGGUUUUGAUCUUGUUGUGUUUUCUUUAUUAUGACUUAGGUUUUAAGGAAGGAAGGAGAGGGAGAGAGGGAUUUCGGCAACGAGGCACGUGGACCGUUUCAUGCAGGUUGAGUUAGAGGUCAAAUGUAUGUGUUCUGUACGUUUGUUUGCUUGCCUUUUUGAGUGGGAAAUUGGAAAGUGACGAGAUUGAGUGAGAGAGACUUGAGAGAGAGAGAGAGAGAGAUUCAAGGGAAGGUGCGGGAUGGCAGGAUCUACCUAUAUUCUACUAAAAAAAAAUUAAAAAAUAAAUUCACAUCUAUAAAAUAUAAAAUAAAAGAAAAGAAAACAUAUAUAUUUAUUGUUGAGUCAAUCUAUUAAAACUGGUUUAAGUGUGUGUUUUGGUUAAUCAAACUAAUGAAGUGUUGUUGUUAAUCAAACUAAUGUCCGUAUUAUUUUAUUUGAAAAAGAAAUUAAUGUCAUUUUAUAAUUAAUAAAAAUAAAAUAAAAUUUGCUUGCAAACCAAACUAAAUUAAAUCGAGUUGAUGGGCGUUUCAUUCACGAAUAUUUUGAGUGUAGCGAGAGAGAAAAUUAUGGUAUUUCACGGCUUUGUACUUAGAAUAAAAAAACAAACUAGAUAGGUACCUUCACUUCCGCACGUCUUUUAUAAUUAUUAUCAUUUAUAGAUAAUGCAUGUAGAAAAAUAAAUAAAUUAUAUAUAUAUAUAUAUAUAUAUAUAUAUAUAUAUAUAUAUUAUUGUAAUUCACUGCGUACUUUCUUGAUUUGUCUAUUCAAAGGUUGGUGGUGUUUCGCAUCAUUUUUUCUAUUUUAUAUUGGUUUUUAAAAAAACUUUUUCUACAAAGAAAAAAAUAUUUAUUAAUAUUCAAUUGUCAUGUAAAAAAUAAAUUGAAAAACAAUAUGGUUUGACCCGUUUACCAUGGCUGCGUAAAUUAAAAAACGGAGUAAUGAAUAUUGAUCAUAAAUGGUUAAUUUGGGCCCACUUCUUAGUUUAUCUAUACCUGACUUUCAACUCCUCAUGACCAUUUAUCUCAUUCCACGCUACAUUACAGAUCGAUUUAUUUUUUACAAUAUAAAAAAUAUGCUAGGAUGGUAUAAAUAUUUUUUUAAAAAAAAAGUAAAACAAGAACGAGACUCCAGACACUAUCUCAAUUAGAUUUAAUAAACUCUGCUAGAUUAAAAUUAUAUUUAAUAAUUCUGAUUAAUUUAAUAAUAUGAAUAAAAAUACAACAAUAAAAAAUAAAAUAAUUAAAAAAUAAUAAUUAAAAAGUUUAAAAAGACCCAACCCAGGCCCGUUCAGGUUUGCACGUCAAAUAUACGACUUAAAUUACUAAACAACCAAAUAUUGGAUGAAACUAAAAAAAAUAAUUAUUUUUAAAAAACCAACGAAACAAAAUUUGAGUCAAAUAAUGUUUACCUGUUAACCCCGCGAUCAUGAGUAUAAAAUUAGAAAAACCCCAUAAUAAAAGCACGAAGAUCAAUUCUCAAUUAAGUAAAUAUUAAACAAUGAAAUUGAAAUAAUUUUUUUUUAAAAAAUCAAAUGCUAGAGAAAAAAUCAAAUGAUAAUGCAAUAAACUCAUAGAAAGUAAAAUAGAAAAGAUUUAAAGUUCGAUUUAUAGUAAACAAAAUAUUAAAGGAUAAAAUCAAAGAAAAAUUAAUCCAAAAAAGGUCAAAAAACCCUAACCUAAGUCCACCCGGGUCAGCAUGAAAAACCUGUGACCUAGUUGUGAUAUUGGGGUAAUCCUAUCAAAAAUAAAUUGAAUAAACUUUAAAGUUUAAUUAUCAAACAAUUUAAUAUUAAAGAGUAAGAUAACUCGGGUUCUUUUUAAAAUUAUUGAAAAAUCUAAUGGAAAGAAAAUUUAAAAAACAACAGGGUCCAAAUUCCAAUUAAAUAGGUAUUGAAUAAUGAAACUAAAAAAAACAAAAGCUUAAAAAAAAUCAAAAAAAUUUAGAUAAAAUUCUUAAAUCUGAGUUAAUUUCUCAAAUUUUCAACCAGAUGUAACCCAUUUUUUUUAUUUUAUUCAGUAAAAAAAAUAUUAUUAAAAAUCACGUCCACAACAAUUAAAGCAUGAAAAUUAAAAAUAUAAAUUUAUAAAUCAUUACAUCAUACGAUAAUAAAACAUAAAAAGAAUCAAAAUGAUAAUCUACACAUGAAAUGAUAUACAUGCAUUAAUAAAAAAAUCUGAAUCGGGUCCAAGUCGAUGAUGGAAAUCACUCUCAUUCCAUCCCAACCUUAACAAAACCAAAUUUGAUUUUACCAUAUAUGAUUUGACGUUAGUCAAAUCAAGUUAAAACUCAACCUAACUAAAUUAAAUUAAUUUUUAUAGACUGAAAUUACUAUUUUUAAUACAAGUUAAACUCAAAAUUGUUCGUAUAAUAUAUUGAUUUGAUAUUUAUAUUCUGUAUAUUUCUUUUGAUUUGUUAUAUUCCUUAAUGAUAUUUUUUUGGCUUAUUAUGUCUCUUGAGUUAAAUAGUUAUUAAAUCAUAAUUAGUUGCAAGCACAUGAAAUAUUUUUUAUAUGACAAGUGUAUAAGAAAAUUAUUUUUUAGUGAAAAUUCUCUUCAACAAAAGAACAACAAAAAUGAAAAAAAUAUAUAAUAUUAAGAAAAAAAACACUUAAAAGUGAUUUUUAAUGGAAAAUAUAUUAAAAUAAUAUUUUUUUUACAUUGGCACAUCAAAAUUAUAAAAAACACCUAAAAACCAUUAAUUUAAUGUUUAUUAUUUUUAGGUAAAAAAUAAUUUAAAAAACAUAUUGAAAAGUGGAUUGAACCACAUUACCAAAUAGAGAUUUGAUUAAAUAGUUCUUUUUUCAUCUUAGAUGCAAACUGAUUAUUUUGAAUGUGCCUGUUAGGGGUUUUGGCCUUUUGGAAGGGAAAGUUGUUUGUCGAGUUUUCUUAAAGAUGACUACGAGCGUGUUUGACAGUGUGGUUGCGAGUACUUUUCAAAUAACUUUUCGUGCCAAAAUGCAUGUCAAUGAUGUUUUUUUCAUUUUUAAAAAAUCAUUUUUGACAUCAGCACAUCAAAACAAUCCAAAACAUACAAAUCAUAUUAAAUUUUAGCAAAAAAAAAAAAAUUCAAUUUUUUUGGGAACGCAGCCGCGUUCCCAAACGUUCCCUACAUCGGUUGCUUGCUAAGAUGAGUGAAAGAGAAACUAAGUGCAUGUUUAGAAGUGCAAUAGCUUCUCUUUUUAAAUGCUUUUCAAAAUUGUUUUUUUUAAUAAGUUAAAAUGAUUUUUUUUUGAAUUUUUUAUUUUUAACAAUAACAUAAAAAACUAUUAAAAAACACUAAAAAAACUUUAGUGACAGUUUUAAAAUAAACUCAAACACAAUUUCAAUUGUGAUGUCAAACGAUCAUUAAAGUUGGUGGUGUGAUGUCGCAAUGACUGAGAUAAAAGAAGGAUUGAUGGUGGUGACUGCUACUUUAGUGGCCAUGGUCAAGGCAACAAUGUGUGUGAGAAGGUGAGGAAUGGAGUUGUGAUUGAAUUCGUGUGUGUUUAUUAUUAUAGUGCAAAGUGUUAUUUACUUGAAAAUGGUUUUUUUAUGUUUUUUUUUAAUUUUCAUUAUUAACACAUUAAAACCAAAAAAAAAAUACUAAGAAAGCAUCAAUUUGAUGCUUUUUUAAAAAGUAAAAUUCAUUUUUAAAACGCAUAAGAAAAGACAAAAAACUAUCUCAUUCUCAAACACUCCUGAAGAAGAAGAAAAGGUUGUGACAAUGGUUGUGGGCUGUUUUGGAUAGCUUAAACAAUGUGGAGAGACAUUAAGAGUUUUUACUUUUUUUCAUCAUUUUUUUUUGAAGAAAUUCAUAUAAAAAUAAUUUUUUUUAUUUUGUUUGUGAUGUUAUAAUUUUAUUUUUAAUAUAAUACGUGCAUUUAUUUUUGUUCUUCCCCUCCCCUCCCAAGAGGUUCAAUUAAUGAAAGUCAUAGACUAACAAAAUUGCUCUCUAUUUCAUUAAUUAUAAGUAAAUCUAAAAGGUUUGGGGAAGCUAACGUGCAUAUAAUACAUUGUGGAUUCUUUUAUAUGGACUAUUUACAAUGCCUUUUUUUAUCUUUUUUUUUAUUUAGAUCUUAUUGGACUAAAUUGUAGGUCAAUUAAGGCUAAUUUAUCAGGGAAAUAAGAGAUUGAAAGUCAGGGGACUAAAAUGAAAAAAAAGAUGAAAUGAAUGAUUUUUUAGAAUUUUAGGGUGAAAAAUCUAUUUUUCACUCAAAAACAAAACCAAUAAAAGAUAUUUUUUUUUAAUUCUUUUUUGAUAUUAUUGUUUUUUCAAUUUCAUUAUUUGACAACUGAUUUAUUGAAAUUUAGACUUUGUGGUUUUUCCAAGUUCAAUGUUUUUUAUUAGAUGACUUGCGUCACAAGUUUUAUAAGCUAACACAGGUUUACAUUGUUCUUUUUUGUUUUUUUAUCUCAAUACUCAGCAUUUUUUUAAAAAUAGAAUUCAUGGUUUAAUUUGUUUAUUUUUUUAUAGGGUUAUCCCGAUCUCAUAACCUGACUUAUGUGUUUAGCGGGUUAACCCGAGUGGACUCACUCUUUUUUUAAUUAUUAUUUUUUGUUCUUUUUAUCCGUUAAUCUUAUUGAUUUUUUUUAAAAGAAAUUUAUUAUUCAAUAUUUGAUUUGUUGAGAAUUUACCUUCAUGAUUUUUUCUUAUGUGGUGCUUCUGAUCAAAUAUCGUGGUACAAAGAUUGACAUCAAUUUUUUUUUUUUACUUAUUUUUUCAUUCAACAUUGAUUUUUUAAGAAUUGCAUCAAAUGAUUUUUUUUGUUUUACUUUCUGUCGUGUUAUCUGGAUCUCAUUACUUGAUCCGUAGAUUUAACGGGUUGACUCGAUUGGCUCAGACUUUUUUUUGGCUUAUAAUUACUUUUUUUUAACCAUUAUGUAUGUUUUAUUUUUUUUUUAAUUUUAUCUUUCAACAUUUGAUAGUUAAAUAUUAGACUUCAAGGUUUUUUCAAAUUUGUUGCUUCUAGUCAAAUGAUCAGCGUCACAGGCUUAACAGAUUAACACGAGUUGAUAAUUUUUUUAGCUUAUUUUUUUUUUUAUCAUUCAACUUUAGUUUUUUUAUUAAAUAUUGGUUUUUCCCCUUCUUUAAAAAGCAAUUGCGUAGCGUAGCCUAAACAUAAUUGUUUUUCUUAAUUUUCUUUUCCAACAUGUGGUAUGUUCAUGUGGUAGAACAUGGGUCACACACCUAAUUCAAUUCUAUUCCUAAACAAAUUUAGAUCCCAUAAUUCACAAUAAUUUUAUUUAAUCAAUUAUACUUAGUAGUUUUCAACAUCAAGCAAUACUAAGCUCGAAAUAAUCCCUUAAAAUAUAUAGAAAAAAUGCCAUUUUUAAUUAACAAGUGAUCAUAAUGGAGUAGGCAUAUAUUAGGAGUCACAUCUAGUUACAAUUUUGUGACUGAAGAGACAAAAACAAAUUAAAGGAGACAAAUGAGAUAUCUCUCAGUGCUUUUUAUUUAAAAAAUACAGAAAUUUAUUACAAAAUUUUUAUGUAGACAAAUUUAUUACAUGGCUUCAAUGCUCUUAUUUAAAAAAUAUAAAAAUUCACUACAAAAUUAUAAACAAAUUUAUUUUAUAUCUUCAUCUUUAUAUACGUUUUUAUUUUUUCUUUCUUGAAACAUUAACAAAACACACCUUUAUGAGUUUUCUUAUAACGUUAUAUUAUUAUAUAGUGAAUCGCUUACAUUUAAUAACUAAUUUUUUUUAAGAACAUGAUUUCAUUAGAGAGAAUCUCUCGAUAGAAUUAAUAUUAAUUUUAAAAAAUAACAAUACUCCCUGCGACUCGGAGAUUUUCCUGAUGAUGUUGCAACUAGAAGAUUUUGGGAAAAAUAAUGAAAUUAGUGUUGUGUUGUGCAAUGGAAAGCCAUGAAUGAAUGAUAAAGUAUGUAUGUAAUAUGCAUAGGUGCAUGGUGGUUAGCAGGAACAAUUUUGUAUUCAGUUUGUUCGUGCUACUUUGUUGAAAAUUAUUAAAUUAUAUUUUCUCUAUUUAAUUUGUUUGUUUAAUUACUUUUGAUCUUCCUAAUGGAUUACAAGUCAAGAGUAGGUAAAACCAGGGAGACAAACAGCAAAUAAAUUUAAGGUCUUUUCAGAAUCCUUUACAGAAACAUCCAACAAUGGAGGACAAGCUAAGGAUCUCAAUUUUAGUUGGUGCAAAUUGGAAGAUAAUCAUAAAGUGCAAGAAUUCCUGACUUUCUUGGUGAGGCAGUGUCGAAUGCGCGUGAAUCUUUGAAAAAACAAUAGGGAUAAAGUGGAAAAGGAAAAAUCAAACUGAAGUAGACCUGACGUAUGAUUUUUUUUUAAUGAUCCAAAGAACAUUAAAGUUUGGUUAAUUAAAUUAAUUAAAGUGAAAAAUGAAAUGGGAUAUUCUCUCUUUCAGUAAACUGCUGUUUGUUUCCUCCACCACAAGAAACUUCGUUUCCCUACUGGUCAAAUCUGUUCAAUAUUUUGUUUCAAUAUAGUAUUAUUAUCUCUAGAUAAGUUUUCGGACUCCAUUAUCACCUUUAUCCUUUAUAUAUAUAUAUAUAUAUAUAUAUAUAUAUAUAUAUAUAUAUAUAUAUAAAGUUUUCGUAGUUUGGAUUUUGUGAUCGCAAAAUAUAUCCCUUCCUUGAGUAAAAAAAUAGUAACCCUCUUGGAUUUAUCACUGUUUUCUCCUGGUAAAACCUUAAUUUAUUCGCUUUAGAUAUGGGGAAAGUACUGUUGAUCUUCAUUAGCAGGAUUAAAAUUAUGUCAUGAGAUUAAAAUCUUACUAACAAUCCAGGAUUAAUUAAUAGAGGACAUAAAACAAAUUGAUAUAUACUAUAAUAUUUAAUAAUCUAAAAUCAAGAAGGAAUGCAUGCUGGAAGUUUACUACGAAAAAGAUUUUCCAACCACCAAAAUCUUGCAGACCCAUGCCGUGGACCAGAAGGUGAGCCUAUUAUGUGGGGUACGUGGUGUUCCCUAAAUCCAUAAAUGAUGUGGAAUUCUAACGUACGUGUUUAUCAUUUCUUCAGGUUGCUGCACGUCGGCUCUCCGGGAUGGUGUGGUGCACUUCUCUGGAUGGAGCUAUGGAAAUCCACCACUCCAUGCAGGGUUAAAUUUCAACGGGAUUAUACUCCAGCAUCCAUAGGCAUAUAUCCUUGCAAGAAAAUGCUCUAAUAUGAUCAUUAAUACUGGAAUAGCACUGGCCACUCCUGCAGUACUGGACCAUCAAAUAGUAUGGCGAGCGUUAAUUAGCUUUGCUAAAGGCACAACAACGACGGAAUACACGACGGUACUGUCACCAAAUACAUCAGCUAGCGACUCCACGUACACCGACAAGUAUAUAUGAUAGUAACAAUUACCCUAUGGCAAGAUGUGUCACUGUGGACUCCUAGCUACGAUAUCAGCAACGGUGUUGUUUUCAAUUUACGCAAUUCAUUGAUAGAAAUCACUGGAAAAUUCUCUCAUUCGUUAUGAAGCUAUGGGAAUCUUUCAGUAGAUUCAUUAAUUAGAUAAGGAAAAAAAACCUUUUUGACUCCCAGAAUUUGAUAAACGUAACCGAUCAGUGAAGGCAUCUAAUAUUUCCCAAUUUCCAUGCCCUUGUGGGGUCUCUGGCACGUUAGCCUGGCUACCAGUAUCGCAGUCAACACAAAGGAUAUUGUCAUGCAGAGACUUGGGGUUGGGGGUAGGGAAAAUCCCUUGCUUUUGCUUCCUACCAUACCUUGUGGGCUGUUUGAACUUUUGAACGUUUUGAUUUCUUGAUUUGGUCUCGCAAGUGGAUAAAUCGGGACCCUGAAAUCAUGGAAUUCAGUGGUAAUUAAGAUCCGUGACCAAGUCAAUGGACGGCAUAAAAUUUUGGAUAAAAGAGCUAUAUCCUAAUGGCAGAAUCUAGCCACAGCAAAAGAUAGCAAGUACUAUAUAAAAAGAACACCAAUUAUGGCAUUUUAACAUGAUCACCAUAGUUGGAAAGAUAUGAUAAUCAACACUUAUUGAGCAACUUUUGUAGUACGCAGCAUGUGUAGUGUUUCCAGAAUCUAUAGCAAUGAUGAUUCAUGGGAUAAAGGUUUACGCGUUUUAUGCUUCCACUUUGCAAAAUUAUUUAUGAUCACGGGAUUGAUCUGAUAUCGACCUAUGAUGCAACUAUUGAAUCAUUUCAUAUCUUCUUUGCCACUAUCCUUUUGGUUUUGUAGUUUUCCGGUGUAGUGAUCCCAGCUAAGUUUUACAGCAAAUCAAGUAAAAAUUAAUAUAAUUAAGUUUAGUUAAUUUCACAAGUUAAUUCAAUUAAUUCAAUCAAAAUUUAAAAGAAAUAUGGGUUUGAUUUCCUAGUUUUUUUAAAAAAAAUUUAUUAGAAAAAUAUUAAAAUAACUAAAUUUAAAUUUACUUGAAUCAAUUUAGAUUAAUCUAUUUAAUUUAUAACCCGAAUCUUAAUCCAAUAAGAGCCAGAGCAAGAUUUAAUAAACAUACCACUUCCUUAACAAUUGAUUGUUGGAUCUUAUAGCAAUAUUUUCGUCUGUAACCAAAGAAAGAAAUAUCUUUCUUAAUAGUUUUUAAUUUACGAUCAAAACUGUCAAACAUCCAUUAUUGAAAUAAAAAAAUGUCAUCACUGUGCAAAAACAAAUAAUUAUUUUUCUAUUUUUGUUGGUGAUCAUGUAUAUAUAGUGGCAACAAACUAGCUAGCACGCUGUGUUUUAUGUGAAUUUUUUUUUCUACUAUGAAGGAACCCCAUGGCCAUGGACGUCCAAGUGGCAUCUCAACAUUUGUAAGGAAAGAGGUGUCGGCCUCAUGGCUACCAAAAGCAGUUCCAAAUGGACGGCAUGGCCAUGGUCCGUAAGGCCUCUCACCAUUUGUAAGGAAAGAGCUGUCUGUGUCUCUCUCUUUAUGACACUGUCAAAAUCCUGUAAUGUUGUCACGAAAUGACUGCUUUCUAACGACUAGGACCUCUCCAUUUUGUCUUGUCUCAGGAACAUUUCUGCGUUUAUAACGAGGAAGUUGGCCAUCAGAUCUCUCCUUUUGCCAACCAGAACCUGAAAGGAUUCUGUAUAUUCUAAAUUAAAGACAAAUUUCAUAUUCGAUUCUGGUGUUUGUAAUAAUAUGCUAAGCAUUGAAAAGUAAAGAUUCUCACAUUUUCUUUCAUUAUAUCUCAUAUUACUUGAUGAAAUUAAACAGAAAAAAAGGGGUGUAAAGUUUGAAAAAUCAAUGAUUCAUGGAAAAGCUUCUCCAUGUUAGACCCAUCAGGCCUAAAUCUCUUCAGUAGGGCUUAGUUGUGGCUGAAAAAUGUAUAUACCUAAAGUUUUGGGUUAACUUUUCUCUUCGAGCCCAAUAAGCUUGAAAAAUGAUGGCCCAAAUACAUCAUUAACAGAAGUAAACUCAAGAGUCCAUCAUCCCUAGAAGCAAGGCUAAAAUGGCAAAGGAUUUAGGGCUUUAGUUAGAGUUGAUUUGAAUGUUUUAUACUUUUAGUUAUAAAUAUAUUAAAAUAAUAUAUUUUUUAAUUUUUAAAAUUUAUUUUUAACAUCAAAACUAUAUAAAAAUAUAAAAUUUUUGUUUUUAAAAAAUACUUUACAUCACAAAAACAAAUGAGAUGCCUUAAUGGUGUUUUAGACUUUCUACUAAUUUUUUUUUUUUUUUUUUAUCAUAGAGUUCUGCCACGUAAAAGAAGAAAAGAACUUGCAACUUUCAAUAUUGACAGCAAUCCUGUUGACGACUAGCAAGUUCCUUUCUUCUUUUGUUUUUUUGGCAAGGCAACUCAGUGAGUUGCAUAAGAAAUCUCGAAGGUCAUAUGAGAUUUCCUGCCAUACUAUGGGCCACCCAAUCUUCCGUAUUACAUGGUUUGUGGUUCAAAUGGGAGUCUGCAAAAAAAUUAAUUUUUUUUACUUAAAAUUAUUAUUAUUUUUAAAUAAUUUUGAUGUAUUGAUGUUAAAAAUAAAUUUUAAAAAAUAAAAAAAUAUUAUUUUAAUAUAUUUCUAAAAAAACAUUUUAAAAAUAACCCUAUCAUACUUCUAAUCUUUAUAAUAAUGUUUUCAAAAUCAAUUGUUUCGGAUCUGGGUUGUUUUGAAUUUUGAUUGUGGUGAGGCAUGAAAUUUGGAUUCUUAUACAAAACCUGCUAGAGUCUACCUUGCCCAAACCCUCUCCGCAUCCCAAGUCGCCUACUAUUGGUAUACCAAUUAUGCUGAUACACUGAUCAAGAAACUAUGACAGUGCAAAAAAUAAUCAAUGAAUGACAGUUAUGUAUGCUUGCAACUCAAUCAUUUCUUCUUCCUCUGCUCUCCAGUACGAGCCAUCUCCUGCAAAACCGAGUUGCAGAAAUGUUCAUCUUCUUUUUUGAAAAAGAAAACUCCCAUAAAUGUUAUCACAAAGGAUUGAUAUGGUAAAACAGUAAGCGACUUGCCAUGCGUCCUCUCUUGAUGAACUAGUUGUGUAUUUCUUUUUCAGUGGAUUGGCCACUCACCCCUUCUUAGUGGAUUGAUAGCCUAUCGAUCCUCCUGAAUCGGUCGUCCAUCCCUCUUCUACGGGUUGACCAUGUGUUCCUCUCAGUGGACCAGCCAUGUGUCUCUCCUCCAUGGAUUAACCAUGCAUCCCCUGAACUGGUCGUUUAUCCCUCCGACGAACUUAUGAUGUGUCUCUUCUCAAUAACCAAUCGUGCAUCCCCUCUCAUCGGACUAAUCAUGCGUUCCUCGUCAAGUCUUGUACUCUUGAUCAGGGAUGGACGAGCAGCACACCCCUACUAGAUAUGGACAGCAUAUAUUAAACAUAUCUGUUCUUGAGUCACCAACGUGCCAAGGAGACAAAUAAUGUUUGCCAUGAACAUCAUCUUGUGUCCAGUACACUGUCAUCCUCUAAAUUUGACCAUACAGUCACUUCUUACAAAAAGCAAAGCCCGUACCUUGAAGAUUAGCUUUACAGUAGUUCCAUUUAUCUUACGGGAUCGUGUUCUUUAGUUUAAAAUUGCAUACCUUACGCAAAUCAUCACCUUUUCACUUAAUCUACAACGAACUGAUCACAAGACUAAAAAAAUUAAUGAUCUUGAGUCUCGAGGUUAUGGGCCUCCCUUGAUCUCCCAAUCUCAUUCUUUUUGUACUUCUUCCACCACCUUUUUUCUCAAGCUUUGCUCUUCAUAUAUCUCUUAAAUCUUUUUUUCCUCCAUCAUCAAUGCCAGCUUAAACAAUGGAGGAUCUCUUAUCAUUUCAAGGAAUUUUCCUUUGUUUCGCAAGUCUUUCUUUGUAUAAAAGCUCCAAUUUUUCUGCGGUUCUAGUCUACAAGCACUCACAAUGGAGGUUUUUAUACAACCUCAUCAUACUAUUUUCAGAACUGGAUCAUUAUAACUUGACCUUAACUUUAACCCGCCAGGUUCGAAUUAUAGGUAUAAGAGUUUUUUUUUUCCUCGCAAGAGAAAAAAUUCAACUAUUAUUAUAGAUUUACAUACAUGUCUAUGAAUUAUAAAUAUAAUAAGAAAGCUAAAACAGAAGGGAAAAAUAUUGUGGCUAUAGGUUCGGUUUACUAUUCAUCGCUUGUAAUUAUAUUUUUAUCUUUCUAAAAAAAAUCAAUGAACUUGUCUCUUAAAAAUAAUUUGAUCUUUGCAUAUAAUUUAUUAAUUAUUAUAAAAUUAUCUAAAGAUAACUGGAUCUUUUUAUAUUUUUUUACGCAGUUAAAUUAUGAAUUUAUGUGGAAACCAUACAAACAGUUCGUCGACUUGAAUCAAUAAACUAACAUUGCAUCUGGUGAAAUGAAACUCAUAAAAUAGCUUCAUUUACUCCAAAAAAGUUUAUAUCAUCUUCAUUAAAAAACGAAAGAAAAAGGGACAAAUUACUCCUCUUGGGAUUAAUUCCGUCAUGGGUAUGAAAAAUUUAUAUAUGAGUUUACAUUGAAUAUUUCUACUUCACAAUUUGAGACGAAACCCCCCCUCAACUCCACUAUAACUAGGCAUUAAUCGCUCAUUUUUUAUUUAAUUUAAUUUAUUUUUUUUGCCUUGAGAAGCAUAUAUUGCCUCAAAUUGAACGAAAUAAAAUAACAGGAAAGGGUUAAAAAUCAAACCAACCUUAAUUUGAAUAGCCUGUCAAAAUACAUUCAUCUACCCGUAGAUAUAUAUAUCAAUAUCUCUAGUUGGUGAAGGAGGCAGCCUUGAAGAAAAAUCCAUCAAACGAGAAUCACAACUACGAGUACCAUCAUCAUUUCCUUUACCUUCAUCAAAAUUCAAGGCAUAACUCGUAGCAUCAUAGUGAAAAUUCGCUGACAUAGUAUGACGUCUCCUAUGCCCACGACCAUGUCUAUGUCCAUGCUUCCCUAUACACGACAAAUAACUCGUCUUAUUACCCCUAAUAUCCCCAUGGGAUUCAGCAUUCAUCGCCUCUUGCACCGCAUAACGAUCAUGCUUCUGAUGAAUAUGUUUCUCCGAGUUAUUAAAUGUGACAUGAUGAUGGUGGUGGUGAUUGUGUUUUUGGAAGGAACAUAAUGUAGAUUUCAGCUUGUGUUUCAGAGAUGAAGAGGACGGAGAAUUAGGUUCGCUUAUUGAUGCCAUUAUGCUUUUGUGUGAGAGAAAGAUAGGAGAGGAAUAUAAAUCUUUUUUGCUUUUUUUUAGUAUUUAUAAGUGCUAUUGGUGCGGGGAGGUGGGAGCUAUCUAUAUUGAGAUUUGGAGGUUGAGGGGAAAUGUGAGAUCGUGAAGAAAUGAGGCUCUCUAGUGGUUGUUGUUGCCUGAUUUGGGGAGAUAUGGAGGAUUUUAUUUUAUUCUUCUUCUUUUUUUGCUCGAUGGGUUCAAAGUGCAUAUAGUAAACAAUUCAUUACCUAUACUUUGCAAAGUCUCCUUUUAAACCCCUAUAGAUUUAAACUCUUCGUUUUGAAUUUCUGUACAUUUAAGUAAUUAAUAGAUCACUUUUCAAGAGUGGAGUGACCUCAAAUAAAAUUAAAAAUAUGCUAAAAAAUAAUAUAAAUUAUAUUUUAGAAAUUAUAUUUUGAAGUCACAUCUAAAAAUUUAAGUUAUUUGAUUGAAUUCGUUAUUUAAUAUGGUAUCAUAUCUUUGUCGAUCAAGUAGUCAUGAUUUCGAAUCCCAUAAUUUUUAUUUUAUUUGAUAAAAAUUAAACAUAAAAUAAUGUAAGCUUAUGUAAAUUUCAAGCUCGAAGAAUUUUUAUUUGAAAAUGUAUGCUAGAGAAUAAUAUAAAACUAUUAUCGGGAUCUCAAAAAAACUAGAUGUAACUAGAUAUAACUCCUCUCUGUUUUUAUCACAAAAUUAAAGGCAUAUGAUAGAGCUUUUUAAAAAAAAAAAUUAAAAACCUUUUUUCCAAAUUGAUUAAUACAGUAAUAAAAAAAUAAAAAUGUAUUUUAUAUUUUAAGGGCCGCAUAGCAUGCAAAAUUACUGAGCUGAAGGGAUAUCAUGCAGGAGGAGUACAUAAUCUUUAUUUUAUCCCUCCAGUUUCUCUUAUGUUAUAUUUUGUAUCGGUAAACUACAAUAUAUAUAUAUAUAUAUAUAUAUAUAUAUAUAUAUUUUUUUUUUUAUCUCUGAGAGAAAGAAACCACAAGAAUGUGUUUUACUGCUGAAUUCGUUAAGAAUUCUAUAAUCUAAUUAUAUUUUAGGAGAACCUAAAUUAAUUUCCCUAACAUAAUCUAAAAAUAAUUUAAUUAACUUUGAUGGUAAUUAUUAAUGGAAAUAAAAAUAAAAAAGUUACUACUUCAAAUCCAAUACUAUCCCAUGAUUUGUUUUUUCUUUUUGAUGAUAAUUCUACUCAAUUUCAUUACAUCCUUUUGCUUUUAUUUCAUUAUAAAUUCCAUAUUUUCCAUUCAGCAGUUCACUCUGCUUAACUAAAUUAUAAUUUGCAAGUUACAUUUUCCUCUCACAAUUUCGCCCUAAUUAUUUAUAAUAAAUAAAAUCCGAUACCAAGCUUAUGUUUAUCUGAAAUAUUCUCCAAACUUACUAAAAAGGAAUAAUAUUUCCAACUUCAAAAAUCAUAAUCAAUUAAAAUAUUUAUUACGAAUAAUAAAUAUUCCACAACUUGCUCAUUCAAGAUUGAAUAUAUUUCCCAAAUAGAAUCCACUUUAUUAAGGUCAAAUUAGAUAAGAACCACCAAUACUAUAUUGUUCUGAGUAUUAAUGAGUUUUUUUUAAUUGGUUUUUUUAAAAAUAUAUUAAAAUAAUAUUUUUAUUUUAUUUUUUUAACUAAAAACAAACAGUGCCGAAGGUUAAAUCAAGUCUCGUCAGUUUUGUCCCUCACAAUUCACGAAGACACAUUGUUGUCUUCCUACGUGGGUUCUUGGGCCCCCAUUUCUAUACCCAAAAAAUCUAACAUAUUUUGACGAAAGAUGAGCCGGUCGGUAUCGCUAGCUGCCAAGUCUUGGAUGGCACCCAGCCUCUAUGAAUCAUGGCAGUCGUGACGACUAGUUCCUCACGAUUAUCAUUUAUGAAUUAAAUAAACCAUAUGUUUUAUCAAUUGGAUCUUAUAUUUUCAUCUGGGAAGUUUCAUUCACAGUAGGAAUUUAAAGCCAAUUACAAAUGCAACACUGUGGAAUACAAAAAUGGCAAAAUUGACAUUUUACAUUUCACUUUGAGGACUAAAUGCAAAAUAUCAAAAAUUAUGGAGCUUCGGUUGUCCCUUUUACCACUGAUUUCAGUUUGUCUCAGAGCAGUAAAAAGAACAAAGAAAAAAAUUGAAAUCUCAUUGCAUGGGAAUUUUUUUUUUAAAAAAAAUACAUUGUUAAGGUCUCUUCAUAUUUCAACAAGGUUACUUAGAUUAGAUUGUAGGUUUGACACGAUGAAUACUCGGGCUUGACAAUGUCAACUAUCUAGGUAAUUUAAAAGCAAACAUUGCUUGGGCCAACCCUUGGGUCACCAGAGCAUUAACUCAAUCUAUUUGAUCGGGUUUGAUAAUUAUGCCAACCUUAUUUUCAUAAAAACAGAAAUCCAAGCUUUUUUUUUUUGCCCCAAAUACCCUAUUUUCAUAAUUAGUAAAUAGAUAUGACUUAUGAAAUCAUUGUUAAGGCUACGUUGUGGGUCGAAUUAAUUUUUUUCAAUGUCAAAAAAUAUUUAGGUGUUGUUAAUGUGUUUGUAGCAAAAAAAAAAUUAAACUAUAUUGGAAUUGACUUGAUGUGACAUGAUCAACUUGGCAAAUACAAAGACAACCUGAAUGACAGAUAAAAAUAUAGUUUGACUAAAAAAAUCAAGACAAUAUCUUUUUUAAAAUAUUGAAGCGACAAUAUAUUAAAUUAACUCGGGUUAACCAGUUAAAUCGAUUACCCAGGUCAUAAGACCCUAAUAACCUUAUAGAAAGCAAAUUAAAAAAAAAUCAUUAAACCCAAAUCCCAAUCAACCCAAUGUUAAAGGAUGAAAUUGUAAAUAAAAUUUAAUUAAAAAACGAGAUGAUUCAACUCGGGUUAACCCGUCAAACUUGGAUCAUGAGACAAGAAUAACCUCAUAGAAAUUAAAUUGAAACAAAUUAUAAAACUCAAUUCACAAUCACCCAAAUAUUUAGGGGAUUAAAAAAUAAAUCAAUUAAAAAAAAACACAAAACCUCACCCGAGUCAAAACACCACCUGAGUCAACCGACUAAACCGGUGACCGGGUCAUGAGAGCAUGAUAACCUUAUAGAACACAAACAAAAAAAAAUUAUGAAACCUAAUUCAUUCAAUCCAAUAUUGAAAAAUAAAAUUAAAAAAAAAAACUUGAGUCAAUCGACCAAACCUAUGACUCGGAUCACAAGACCGUGAUAACCUUAUAGAACGCAAAUCAAAGUAGAUUAUAAAAGAUUAAUUUCCAAUCAACCCAAUAUUGAAGGAUGAAAUUUUAAAAAAUCAACUAAAAAGGACAAAAACAAAUUGAUUCAAACGGUUUAACCCACGACCUGGGUCAUAACCAAAGUAGAUUAUAAAGCUUAAUUUUCAAUUAACUCAAUAUUGAAGGAUGAGAUUUUAAAAAAAUAUCAACUAAAAAGAAUUUUUUUUUUUAUUCAAGCGGUUUAACCCACGACCCGAGUUAUAACCAAAGUAGACUAUAAAGUUUAAUUUUCAAUUAAUCCAAUUUUAAAAGAUGAGAUUUUUUUUUAAAAAUCAACUAAAAAGGACAAAAAAAAACUUGAUUCGAGUGGUUUAACAUACGACUUAGAUCAUAAGACCGUGAUAACUCAUAAAAAGUAAAUAAAAAAAAUUAUGAAGUUCAAUUCACAGUUCACUUAAUGUUGAUGGAUUAGAUUGGAAAAAAAUCAAAUAAAAAAAUAAUAAAAAUAACAUGAAUCAAUCUGAGUUAACCUGUUAAAUUCAGGUCAAGUGACGGGAUAACUCCAUAGAAAGAAAAUAAAAAAAAUUAUAAAGUUCAAUUCUUAAUAUUCAAUUAAAGAACAACAAAAAAAAAACAACUUAACCUGACUAACCCGUAAAACUCCUGAUCAUGAUCAUGAAAUCGAGAUAACUACAUAAAAAACAAAUCAAAAUAAAUUAUGAAUUCUAAUACUCAAUAACCACAAUGUUAAAAUUAAAAAAAAAACAUAUAUAUUAAUAAUUAACUAGUAAUAACCAUCUUCACUUACCUUCAAAAUAUUUAAAAGUACAUAUCAAUUGACCAAGAAUUCUAGACCCAUAUUGCCCAAACUUUACCCAUUUCUUCAGCAAGAACUUUAUAUAUAUAUAUAUAUAUAUAUAUAUAUAUAUAUAUAUAUAUAUAUAUAUAUAUAUAUAACCGACAGGUACCUUAUAGAAAGCAGAAGGAGAUUUUUCUCAAAAAGAAAAAAAGCAAGUCAGGUGGCUAUAUUUUGUCAAAUAGUGAACGAUUCAUGCAUAUGUCAUGACUUUAUAUAUCAAUUGAAGGGCCUGUAAUGGCAACUGGAAAGAUGGUGCGAUCUGCCCAUUUGGGGCCAUCAGAACUUUCUAAUAGUUCAUACACUUUAUAUUUUAUUUGAUGCACUAAUACAUUGUCUCAAUUAAUUCUAUGGUCGUGUAAAUUAAGCUAUAUGAUAAUUUAAAUCUAUAUAUUGCUUCACAUGAUACGGAAUAAUAUUGUCCACAUCUUCUUUUGUAGUGGGGUGAUAAACCAUGCACUAUGAUCACUUGAACUGUUUUUGGAUUUUCUUAACUCUUUUUUAUUGUUUAUUAUUAGCACUAAUCUUGCAAGUUUUGUCCCUUACCCUCUUAAUUACGUGUUUCAGAACUAAUGCUAUUGCCUUCCCAAAUAAAUGGUUUUUUUUUUUAAUUCAAUUUAUUCUCCAAACUUUUGGGGUGAUAUUGAGAUUCCUUAUAAAUUUCAUCGAUAAAAUUGAGAUUUACAACAUCUUUUCAGUUUCAAUGAUCGACAUAAAUGGACGGGAGGGGACUAAAAUGAAAGUUGUGGAGGCUGAUUUUAGAACCCUGUGAACCUUAGGGGCCAAAUUAAAUUUUACCCUUGGUUUGAUGGAGUCAUGGGACCACAGUCUCGGUGCUAUGAAGCUUCCUUACCUACUUCCUCAUCGUCUUUCUGUAUUCUGUUCAUAUCUUUUGCUCUUUGAUUUUUCAAACCAUAGUUUCUAGGAAGGUGACUGCCAAUGAUGGAAAAAGAUUUUCUUGUAAAAAAAAAUACACCUUUAAAUGUCAUCUACCCUCUUUUGUCUUCCACCGAACGUAUUUUGGGUUCUUAUUUGAAUUAAUAUUUUUAUAUUUUUGAAUUGUUUUAUAUACUAAUAUUAAAAAUAAAAUUUUAAAAAUAAAAAAAUUAUUUUAAUAUAUUUUCUAAUGUAAAAACAGUUGCAUUUAUUAAUAGAUACCGAAUUCAGGUUUUCUAUUUUUCCCAUUUCUUUAAUAUAGAAUACCAAGUCUCAAUACUUGCUUCCCUCUCCUUGUUUUAGGCUGCUCGAAGGACCAGGCAUAGAAAUAAUAGACGUAGUUUUUGUUUCUUAAUUUGAGGAAAAUUUUGUUUCUUGGGGUGGUUUAGCAAUGGCUGGUAUGUUGCCUGGUGUUGAAUGUGCUCGAAGGAGGAGGUUCCAUCAAAGCGGAGAUUCACUUGGUGCCCCAGCACACGGCUGGUCCAGAAAGCCAUCUUUUUGUUUGUACACAAGCAGCCAUGAAAGUUAUCAUGGCUCCGUCUCUUCUCUGGUAUCUCUCUCUAUCUAAAGAUUCUCUUUUCAUUUCUUCUGUUUUUGGGAGUUGUUGCUGAGAUCUUCUUUUUCUCUUUUGAUUUGGAUGAUUGAGAAGCAAAAGCAAAAGCAAAGGAGCGUAUCAAGCCAGGCAUACGAGGAUGAGAAGCUGGGAGGAGUGGCAAGAGAAGCCAAGGAAAGAUUAGAUGAGAGGCUAAGAUUGCAAAAGAAGAAGACAGCAGAAACCACAAGGUAAAUAAUGGCUUCCCUAUUUCUACCAGGCGGCGCGUAUUAGUACAAUCCAGAUGGUCCUUGCUAAUAUGCAACAUGCCUGGCAUCCAAAAUACGUCAUCAAAUCUCGUACUCAAAUCAGUUCCCAUACUUAUGUUCUAGAUUGAUUUUUGUCCAAUUUAGGCACAAAAGCACAGGAAACCUGAGAGAUGUAGAUGGCAGAUCAAUGGUACUAGGGGAGUUACAGAUGGAGGUGUAUGGUACGAAGAGGAGUGGGUCUAAGAGGUUCAAUUGGGCCAAACUGAGCUGGAAAGCUGCUGACCAAGACGAGUGCACCAUCUGCCUCGAUCGGUUCAAGUCUGGUGAGACCCUGGUGCACCUUCCCUGUGCACACAGGUACCACCCCAGGUGUUUGGUGCCAUGGCUAGAAAACAAUGGCCAUUGUCCUUGUUGCAGGAUGGAAAUACGUGUUGAACUCUCCUAGGCGCUCUCUUCUUUUGUUCUUUUUGUAGAUACCAAUUGGGAUUUCGGGAGCAACCUUGUCUUCUGCAAGAGUGAUUUGGUGUACCAAGACAAGUUAUGCUAUUAUCUUCUCCGUGUGUUUGCAUUUUACUCAUCUCUAAUUUUCCAUCUUGGCAAUGGAGAUUCUGCAGAAGUCUUUAGAAAAUACUAGAUUCUAUAAUAAUUUUAUUAUUUUUAGAAAAGAGUUAUUUUCCAAUCCAUCCCUAAACACUAAAAACAAUUUCCAUGUAAAAUUUCCAUGGUACAGGUCGAAUAUUAAAAGGACAGCCUAGCUGCUCAUAUUCCCUGAUGAGAUGGGUGGUCGUCUUCUUUUAUCAAUGAUUGCCAUGUAAAACAAAACAUGGUGAAAGUUUGAGUGAGAAGAGCUGUGAUCUAUAGCAGCAAGUGAUUCUCAUUGCUCUUACUAUCACUGUCUGUCCAUCCAUUCUUUAGUCCCACUCCUCACUCAGUUUCAAAUAAUGCACCUCUGCUGUCUAUAAAGUGGGCCAUUAAAUGUUGAAUCUAAUUUAUGGUCAUGAUAGUAAUUAUUUUUUGUAAAGUAUUUUUUAUUUGAAAAUAUAUAAAAAAAAUAUUUUUUUUUAUUUUUUUAAAUUUAUUUUUAACACCAACACAUUAAAAUAAUUCAAAAACACUAAAAAAAUUAAUUCAAAAUAAAAAAAAUUCAAAAUCUUUACAAAAUCUUUACAAUUUUUUUUAAUAUAAAAAAGAUGCUAAAGCGAUCUAAAAAUUAAGAGGGUUAUUGAUCUUAUUGAGUUUAAUAAACUUGACUAAUUUAAAUAAUUCAAAUAAAAAAAAUACAAUGUUAAUAAAUAGACUUAAAAAAAAAGGUUUAAAAAAGCCGACACGAGCCCAUCCAGGUUAGCAUGCUAAAUAUGCGACUUACUCAUGAUACCAAGGUAACCUCGUUGAAAGCAAACUAAAUAAAACUUAAAUUUCAAUUACCAAAUAACUCAAAGUUAAAUGGCGAAACUAGAAAAAAAAAUUAAAAAGCAAUGAAAAAAAUUUAUUCGAGUCAAUCCGGGUUAACUCGCUAACCUUGCAAUCGUAGGCAUAGGAUUGAGAUAAUCCCAUAAAAAGGAAAGUGGAAAAAAAAAAGCAAGAAGAUUAAAUCCAAAUAAAUCAAAUGUUGAAUGAUGAAAUUGAAAAAAAAAAGAUCUGAAAAAAACCAAAGUCAACCUAUGUUAACUUUUGAAACUUGUGAUUUUAGUCAUGAGCUCGGAACUAACCCCAUAAAAGGCAAACCAUAAAAAAAUAAUAAAGCAAAAUCGUCAAUCAAUAAAAUAUUGAAGGAUGAAAUUGAAAAACAAAUGAAAUUAAAAAAGGAUAAGAAGGAAAUAAAAUAACAAUAAAAAGAAUGAGGACCAAAUUUGACAUAAAAAUAAAUGAAAAUUAAAUGUUGAAGGAUGUAAUUGGAAAACAAACUUAAUUAGAAAAUGCUAAAAAGCAAUCAAAAGAACAAGAACCUAAUUUAAUUUAGAAACUAAGUGAAAUCAAAUGACAAGGGGAGAAAUGGAAGAAAAAAUUAUAAAAAAAAACAAAAACAAAACAAAUAGUAAUCAAGAGAAUGAUGACCAACUUGGAUAAAAAAAAUAAAAUUACCAGACACCUUUAUGUUUUAGUAAAGAGAAGAGAGAGAGAAGAGGGGGAGAAGGAAAAAAUGCAUUAGAAUUCAGCCGUUGCAUUGUUGUAUACACGCACCUGACUAUCAUGAAGACCAUGUCCGGACACUUACAAUAUUGUUGCGGAAGGUGAUGUUAACUACUAGACGACGUUGCAUACGUCAUCCAAAGAGCACAAGCAUUGUCCAUGCGCGGAUGCUUAUAAUACACACGUCAUCCAAUUUUUUAUUAAUAUUUAUUUUAAUUACAUUACCAAGUUAUCUUUAAGUGAACCUGAUUAUAAACAAAAAAAAAAAACUAAAAAGAUAAAAAACAACUUGAGAGCUACCUUAGUAUUUUUCUGAUUUAAAAUAAUUAAUUUAUUUAAUUAUGCUAAAAAGAAGGACAAGAUUAAAAAGCCCAUUAACAUAGUUUUUAUUUUAUUUAUCUUUUGCUUUUAAGAGAUUAAGUCAUUUUAUUUUAAAAAAAUAUAAAAAUACUAAUUUUUCUGAAUCAUACUGACCAAUAAGUCACGAGGAAUUCUAUAUUAUUUUUUUAAAAAAAUGAUUUUUAGGAAAUAAUAAAUUUUCAUAUCGACUUUUCUUUUGAUCAAAUUACUAGAACGAUGCAAGAAAGAUAAGCCACAUGUGGGACCCGAAGAUUAUCAACGGAAAAUGCAAGUCAUAUUUGGAAAACGACAUCGUGUUACUCCACUAAUUCUUGUCCACCUCUUACUCCACCUCGCUUUGCUUGCCUUCUCCUCCAACGGCUAGUUCCUAGUGACCGUUUCACAGCCCAAAAAUUCAAACUUGAAGAACCCUGAAUAAAGAAAAACACCACACAGAAACAAAAAAGAAUAAACUGAAACACUUGAAAAAAUCAUCAUUCAAAUCACAACAGCUCUAGCACCCCAUAAAAAUCAUAAUUCUUGGCUAGCUUUUAUUCACUUGUUCAAAUCGAGAAACAAAGAAAAGAUCAUCAAAAAUGGUAUACACAUACACACCAGCAUACUACUCUACUCUCCAUGACUCAAUUACCUCUAUUUGCAAGACAAUCUUGCCUUUUUCCUUUAAGAAAAAGAGGUUGACCUCGGCGGAGCACAGGCUCUCAAAGCUGCAGUCUGAUAACUUGAAGUGGCAGCAAGACUCAUUCCAUCAAAUAUUGAAUUUGAUGGGGUUGCAUAAAGAAGGUAUUUUAGCUGAGAAUGAGGUUUCUGCUUUCAAGACUCAUUUGCUUGAAACCCUUAUUGCUUCUCCACUUGAACAUGAACAAGCAGUCAUUUUAAGAGAUAAAUUGGUCUUCUUGCAGGUGAAUUUCUAAUUUUUAGAACCUGGGUUUGAUUUAUUUCAAAAUUUUCUCUUUGGACAAUCAAAUGGAACCAAUUUUUGUUUAUUUUUUUUUUGUUUGUUUUGGACAUUUUGUAGGAGUUGCUUUAUGCAAAAUGUAUAUCAGAAGAUGAGUACCAUUCAUCAAAGAGACCUUUGUUACAGAGGCUAGCAGUACAAGGAGCAGAAAUUGAGUCAAGAGAUGUUAUUGUUGCUGGUCCAAAAGACACAAAAGAGAAGAUAGAAGAGGAGUGGUCGGUUAUUGAUUUAAAAGAUGAGAAAAGGUUGAUUGGUAAAGAAACUUUACAGUCCAUAAAUAGAUCAAAGCCUAACUCAGCGAUGAAGCAAAUCAAAGGAGCAGCCUCCGUUUUUGGCUUUGGAUCAGAUCACAAGCUGAGCAAACACAAAGAAGAAAAGAGUAUUUUUGAAAUUGAAGCAAGAUUGCCCUCCUCUGGCCAUGUUAGUAACGAGAGAGAGAACCCACUUUGGGAUAGUCAUUUGAAGGAUAAGGAAAGUGAAACCAAAUCAAUUCUUAUGCAAGCAAGCUUACCAAAUGAAUCUGUAAAAGAAAGCGCAAGCAAUGAUAAGCCCAAGAGGAAACCCUUCAAGACUUUGUUUCGACAGGAGCAAAGAGAGGGAGAUGGUGGUGGUGGUGGUGGUGGUGCUAAUGGUUUUAAUUGUGAGGAGAAACCUUCAAAAUCAGCAAAAAAGCCUUGGGGUUUUGAUGGUUUUAAGAAAUGGAAGAAAAAUGAUUCAGAUGGUGAGACUGCUCCUCUGCCUCUUAACAAUGAAAGAUCUGACAGUGAGGCUUAUUCAGGAUCUUGCAACCUUGUUAAUAGUCCCAUUGGAGAGGGACCAGACACUAAGCAGAUAAAGAAGAAACUGCAUUCUAAUGGUUCUUCUUCAGAUUUUUUCAUUGAUAAGGUUCAGUCUAGACAAUAUAUAUAACUUUGUUUCUAAAUCUUUAUCCUUCAACCUUAACUUAUGCCUUUGUCUAUCUGUUGUUAAUUAUACAGGUUUUAGGGGACAAGAUAAAGAAGGAGCUUUCAAAAAUUCAAACAGAACUCUGCACAACAAACCCUAGUCUUAAAUUUUCGUAAGCUUUUUUUUACUGAUCAGAUGAUUUUGAAGUAGUUGUCUUUGUGUGUUUUUAUAAUCAAUUAAUCACUUGCUUUUGUAUUGCAUUGUGCUUGUUAUUUGUGGUUCUAUUAGUGAUGAUCAAAUUGAAGCAAUUUCCACCAAGCUUCCUGUUGACAAGGCUGACCUGAAAAAGUUCUUCCCCAAGUAAGAAAACAACAGCUUUCUUUCUUUUACCUAUCUCAAUUUAAUGUUUGUUUCCUCGCAGCAUAUUUGAUCUAUUGAUCUGCCAAAAACCGUAGCUAUUGCAAUUAAUCAUAGGCAUUCUUGCUACAGCAUAUCAAACUUAUUAUUUGGAUCCUCACAUGAACUACAAAAAUGUUGUGUUCUAAGGUCAUGGUGCGAUCGGUAUGGUGAUGUUGUACUGGAUGUGGUGAAGAAAGAGUUCAAGGAUCAUGUUGGAGAGAUGGAGAACAUGAGAAAUGCUGCAAGAGAAAAACAUCACAACAAUUCAAUGCGAUGGACAACAUUUGAAGAUGAAGACGAAAAUUGUCACCCAAAUCUUUUUUCUCAACAGGAUCAUUCAUUUCCAAAGAAGCAACAAAAUUUCACUGCCAAGAAUGAUCAGAGCGCCUAUACUAAUCCCUUCUCCCAUGACUACUCUGAAAGCAAUGGGAAUAAGCUUAGGACUGAAUCAUUCCAGAAUCCCUUUUGGAUCCCAAGGCAACAAUAUUAGUGAUAUGGGAGUUUCUAUGCUUGAUAAGCAAGCGGUAUUCUUGUUUUUUGUUUGCUUGUAUUCUAUUGUAAUUCUGGUUAUGAACUCUGACAGAAGAACAAUGUUGUUCUUCUGGAUUUUAAACCCCCUUUUGUUCUGCUGGGUUUCAUCAAACCCAUGCAAGAAGAAUGUAAACGUUUUUAUCUUCCUCAGCAGCUAUAAAAGUUUUUAAUCCCCCCCAAGCAUUACUGAUGAUAGAUAGCCAUUGAAGGUUUUUCAAUGGGGAUCAUGGGAUUUCCAACUAAUCCAAGACAACCUAGUUUUAGUUGCAUCAUAUUUGGGUUUCCAACUUGGGAUUAUUUAUGAUGUAUUUGUUUUAACAAGGCAACAGAAGCAUAACAUGGAGCUCAAGAAUCCAAUCUUAUAUACCGUAUAGCUUUAUGUAAGAUCUAUACUCUACAGAAUCCAAUCUUCAGGGAACCAUAUUACAAGAGAUGGAAUUUAUAUAACACUAUAUACAAUUAUAUUUACAAUGCAAUCAAGUAGAAGUAAUUUCUGGAUUUGGUAUUGAAGGCUCGCUGGCACCACCCUCGCGGACAUCUCCUCGACAAAGCGGGCAUACCCUGUAAAAUACCAUCAGAGGGGAGAGGAGGGGGGAAGAAGGAUGUGACAAAAAUUUCACACCAGAGAAGGAAAAAAAAUGAUUAUGAAUACGGUUUAAGAAGAAUGAAAACAUAAGCAGCAAAAACGCAGGUGGGUGGCAAUAACAAUACCCAUGUAUUUCUUUGAGCCAUUUAUCCACACAAACCAUGUGAUAUUCGUGGUGGCAGGGAAGAACUCUUAUUUUGUCACCUUCCUCAUACUCGGCCAGGCAAAUGUAACACCUGUCAGUCAGAAAGUUAUUACCAAACACAGUCCAAAAGACGACAAGUUUAUAUUAGUGCAAACCAAGUAAUGAAACACCUUGAACUCCAAGUUCCCCACCACUUUUACACGCGAUAACACUCAUGUGCAAGUAUAAUACCUGGCUUAUUCUAGAGUACAUGCAUGUUCACACCACAAAAUUUAAAUCAAUGAGAAACUUACUGUUCAUCCUCAUCAUUGCCCUUGACUCUGUCCAACUUUUUGUGAUUCUUAAGAGGGAAAGAGUCAACAACUGAUUCAGGGGCAGGGAGCGACAUCAUUGAUAGAGAAAGUGACACAGGCUGACGAUGGAUUUCAUCCAAAACCUGCAGCUUAAACAUGACACCAGAACUUAGUAGCAACAUAAUGCAGGCCAAGAAGUGUAUAAAUCAUUGUAAAACUGCCUAGCACAGAUUUCAUGGUCAAAGCAACUCCCUUAUCAUGAAUUUGAUGGUGGCUUCCACACCUCUUUAAGAACCUCUACAUAGAAAGACAGCUGAGCAGUUUCAAAAAACCUACUGCUAGAUCUUAGUCUUGUUAGCGUUAAGACAUAAUCACAGGUAAUAUCUAAAUGCAAGCCACCCUAGUGUAUAUUUUUCCAGGCAAAGUAAAAAGGGUAUUAAAUUAGUCAGGAUUCACCCUUGUCCUCAAAAGAAUUGCAAAAUCAUGCCCACCUUUUCUCAUUGGAUUCCUCAAACGAAUGGAAUGGAGUGUCUCAAACAAUGGGAUUAGCACUAAAACUUCUACAGCAGGUUGGACAUGGUUCAGCACAAUCAUAACCUUGAAUUUGCAAUUUAUACAAAAGUCUCGAAAGAAGACAGAUGUGUAAAUAGAAACUUAAAUUAUCAUUAGCACCAAGAUAAUGGAUUCAAUCAGCAACUCUAUCACAUAGGUGCAUUCUGCUUUUCAAACUAUAUCCGUUUUUCAUGAAUGGGAUUAGUGAAGCCAGGAGAAGCUAUGUCAAAGGAGAACUACCUCAAAUAGAGCUUCAGCAAGCAUGACUAUUCGUGAUAUACUUCCACGAGCACUCGACUCCUCAGCCAUCAAGAAUGAUUCACACGAGCAUGUACCGUCAGGGUGGAGUCCAGAAGGACAAGAGGUUGUUCGUCGACCAUUCUCAUCAAGGCCACCACGAAGUCUUUCCCAGAUCUGCAAAGAGUAAGCAAGAGUAGUUCAUAAGAAUUACAAAUGAAGGAAAGAGAUUUUAACCUUAUUUUUUAUGUUCAGCUAACCCAGCCCCCGUGACUACUGGAUAGACAAAGAAUGGAGUGGCAUGCAAUUAUACCAAAGAAACUAAAAGAACAAUUGAAUAGUGCAACAAUAAAAGACCAGGGCUUGCAAUUGUUUUUUUUUAUAUAAAAAACAAAAACCUCUAUCAAGCCAAAGAUUCGUGCAAAGAUAUUGAAUUACAGGGCCAGGAUCCCUGACUUUGAAGCUUGAGAGGAUGAGAACAUAAAAUUUCUAUUUUGAAGUGGCGAUUUCAUUAGGACUAAUUUAAAAUGUUUCCAAGAAUAAGGGGGAUUUAAAAAAAAAUUGAACGCCCUGGCCCCUGUUAGGUUUUGUCCCUGUACAGGGUUGUCUUCCUAGGCUUCCUUCCCAAAUCCAAACUUCAGUGGAUUAAUAGCUGUACAAGGGUCUUCUUGAUGAUUGUAAGAACUGAUCAACGCCAAAAAUAUACAGAACUAUAAUCCCCAACAUGUAUCACAAGUGUGUGUGCAAAAGUAAAUGAUAGUAUAGCAUUCUUUCCUCAAAAACUAUUCAGAAAUAUCACCUCAGAUCUUGAGUGUCGUCUUCGUUCAUUCAAUCUGUGAAUUCUCCUGCUCAUGUAUCCAGAAUCACUGCCUAUCCCAUCGUCAAAAAAAUCACCACUGAAAUCAAGGAGCCAUCUGUCAUGGGAUUCAAGAUCAUCAGUAUUAUCUGUUGAGAAGACAAUAGUAGGAGAAUCAACAUGCCUCCUAGAACUGCGCCUUGAAAAUGCGUCCCGAAACAAUCUUCUGCUAUUCCUUCUGGCCUCACGACUGCUUGUAUCUGAAUUGCUGCUUGAAUAAAUGCUGGAAGAGAUACUCACAACAUCUACAUGGAGUACACUUCCAUCUGUCCUCCCUUGUUCCCUAUUGGGCACAAGAAGUCCUAAAUCUGAAGGUACUGGAUCUUGGAUAGACUCAUCUUGUGUUGAGCGAAAGGUUACUGGGACAAUAGAUCUAUGAUUUACUGAAUCAGAAUUAGAAUUUGGCAUGUCUGUUACUUCACCCAUAUGAUUGUCAAAAGCCAAACCAUUAGAACAUGAAUCUCCAUGCCUCGGUGAGUUUGAACUGCUUGUAUGUAUUAUAUCAGGAUAGAUCUGAGAGAAACCCUCGUUCUCUGAAUUUUCAAUGCCAUUGACAGAAUCCAUGUUAGUUGAAACAUUCAUUGAUACAGGAUCUGAUGACUGUCGUUCUUUAAAUGAAGUACUAGCUUCAGCAAUACUUAUAUUUCUACCUGAUUCAUCAUGACUAUCACUUACCUGAUCUGGGCCAACUAACUCCUUACUAUCAGAUAGGCAUUUUCCUCGAGAGUUUGUGUCAAGAUUUCUAUAACCAUAUUUCUCAGAAGUUCCCUCACUGGCUCUUAUUCUGUUUCCAGAUGAUCCUCCAGUUUCAGUAUCUGAGCUUCUAGACCCUGUUACUGUAUUGGAAACCACAGAUGAUUCCUCUGCAGAAUUCUGUACCUCGAUGACUGGACAACACUGUUCUGCAGAAUUCAUCAGAAUCUUGUCUGGAUAGUCUUCCAUCUAUUGGAAAAAGAUCACACACAUAUCAGUAUCCUCUAUAAAAGGUAGCCACGAACAUUUGAAUAAUAGCAUCCUUAAAAAGACUUCUCCAAACAUUAAAAAAUAAAUUUCACAUUGAUCAAGACUAGAAAUGUCACAGGAAAUGAAUACUGCCACCUCACCACAUCUUGUUCUUGAAUGAUAGGAGAAGUGCCUAUUGUCUAGAUUUGUAUAGACCCUAUAUCAACACCAUGGAAUUGCUCCAUAUGGCAGAACCAUGCUCUCACAAAUCGCAAUAGUCAGUUUCAGUCAUAAUAAAAAAGAUAAAGGAGUUUCAAUUACAAACUUACAGAAAUAGUUUACAGCAAAACAAGCAUUAAUAUUUUCUUUAAAAAACUUGCAAAUCAAUUGAGGGCAUUGUGCAAAGCUGCCGAGUAUAAAUUGAUCAUUGAUUAUGGUGGGAAAGUGCUCAUACUAAGAAAGUUGUGCUACUCUAAUGUCAAAUGUAACUAAUUAAUAAAACAUUCUGAAAUAGCAAUUUCAAAUACAGGGAUACAUUAUCUUGCAGGAAACCAUUUGUUUGUUAACGUUAACUUAACCUAAGGCAACCAUUAAAUUGAACAUCUUGAAAUUCGACUGAAAUCUCUAAGAACCCCCAAGUAACUAAAAACUCAAUGAGAACUCACAUGGAAAACAAAAGCCUUAAAAUUAAAACCAUUUUCUAUUCCAAGUAAUGGUAACUACACAAAACUUGAACUUUUAAUCAAAUAACCAAAGUGAACAAAUAUUCAGAUGACUGGAGGGAUAAACAAAUAUCGAUAAACAAAUAAUUCCAAUCAAAAUUUGUUGACAAACACAAAAGAAAAAAUAAAAAAUUGCUUCCACAAACAGUUAACAAGCAACAGAAACAAAAUUCCAUAAAACCUAAACAAGACAAAUUUUCCAACAUCACAUGAUCAAUCCUAGAUCAUCAAAAAGCACAAAUAUUUCAAUGUAAAGAUUCAAACUUCGAUAAAAAAAAAAAAAAAAACACAAAACGGGGACUCAUUAUUUUCUCUAAAGUCAAUUCCUUUUACACGAUAACCACAUAAACAAUCCAUUAUCAACACUAAUUGACCAACCCCAGAUCAUCAAAACCAAUUAAAAAGAAACAGAAGUAAUAAAUCAAUUUCAAGUCGAAAAUCUUUAAUCUCUCUUUUUUGGUACCUCGUGACGAGCUGUACGAGAAGAAGAGGAGCCACCACAGAUGAGAGAAGAGAAGAACCUGGACGACCUGCUAUUCGGUCGGGUCCGUGAUGUGCGUGACCCCGGUCUACUACUAUUCGAACCCAUUUCUUUAGAGAAAGAGAAAGGCUGAGAAAUUAAAUGGUGGUGGUGAAUGAUGAUGGAACUGUAUAGCUAAUAUGUAUAUAUAUUUUUUAUUUUAUUAUUUUGAAAUUGAAAUUUCUUGUUGCAAUUAUUAGAGGAGAGAGUUUUUGUUUUUGUUUUUGUUUUUGUUUUCGUAUGGAAGAGGUGAAGUGUUUUUGAGUCUUGUAGUUUUUCUUGCACAAACACCCGCAUUCGGUGCCACGUUAUAGGCUGUCGUUUCCUCUCGAUAAUGAUACAGACACCUCACUUUCAAAAUCUUGAUUUUACAAAACCCAAUCUAAUUUAUGAGUUGAUUUAAAACCGGCCAACUCGAUCUUCCAUUUAAGCUAAGUUUUUUUAAAAAUCAACUAAAAAUUAAUUUGUAAUCCAAUUAAUUUUAUUAAAACCUUAUUUGUUUGUUUUUUUAAAUUAAAUCAAUAUUAUUUUAUUUAAAAAAUAAAUAAAAUGAGGUUGAUUUAUAUCAACCCAAAUUAAAUUCUGUCGACUCAUCCAAUUUAUAACCCAAUUUUUAGGCAUGAGUUCAUUAAUUUUGAUUUUUCUUCUAAAAAAUAGACCCCUCUUUUUAUAACUUUUGUUUUUUUCAUGAUUUUGUAACGGUCAACUAGACAUAUUUAGAACAAGUUACAUACAAAAAAUAUUAAAAAGUCUUCUUUUAAAGUUGUUUGGUGGUGCCGUACUAUUUGUUUUUAUAUUUUAAAAGUAAUUUUAAAAAAUUUUAAAAAAAAAUUAUUAUUAUUUUUAUUUUCAAUUAAUAAUUUUUUAGUAUUUUAAGAUUAUUUUGAUACGUUGAUAUUAAAAAUAACUUUUAAAAAUAAAAAAAUUAUUAUUUUAAUAUAUUUCUAAAUUAAAACAAUCACAACUAUAUUUUUAAAUAAGUUAAUAAUGUAUGAGCAAACCAUAUAUAUUAUUAUUAUAUUAUUAUUAUUUAACAGGGGCUGCUCGAGGAGGGGAUAUUUCCCCUUCUCAUAUGUUAUUCGUUGGAAUAUAUAUAUUAUUUUUGUAUUUAUAUUUUUCAUUUUAUUUUUUAAUAUUAAAUUUAUUUAAAACUAAACUUUUUAAUUUAUUUCUAGUUUUUAUACAGAAUUAUCAUUGUCUUCAAAAAAUCAUAAUAUUGAAUUGAUGUUUAUUUUUAUGAUUAUCCAUUUUUUUAUUAUAUUAUUAAAUUAGAAAUAUCUAUCAUAUUAUUAAAAAAAUUAAUUAUAAAAAAAUAUAAUUAUUAUUAAUUGAACUUCAUAAUUUAUUUUGAUUUAUUGUAGUAAUGAGCAGUGAAAUGCCAAGUUCUUUUUUCACUUUGGUUCUCAAAAGAAAUUAAUGAUUUUUUUUUAAUUUCAAACUUAGUUGUUGUUUUUUCUUAUCUUACUACAUUGGAUUUACAGGCGUUAUACUUUAUAAUUUAUUUUAUUUUUUUUAUUUAAUUAUUCUAGCCUUAUGAUCCUAGUUGUAGGUUAACUAUGUUGACUCGGAUUUUUUAGUUCUUUUUUAAUUAAAUAUUUUUUUAAUUUUUUCCUUUAACAUUAGACUAAUUGAAAAUCAAAUUUUUAUUUUUAUUUUUAUUGAGUUUAUCCCGGUCUCCUGAUCCAGGUUUGGUAAGUUAACCUUGACUGACUUGUGUCAUUUUUUAUCUUUUUGUUUGAUUUAAUAAAAUAAUUAGUCCUUCAACAUUAAGUUGAUUGAUAAUUAGAUUUCAUAAUUUUAUCUUAUUUGUUUUCUAUAUAAUAUUAUCAUGAUUUUAUAAUCCGAGUUGUAGGUUAGCUUGGUUGACUUAAGGUUAUUUUUUGUUCUUUUUAGUUGAUUUUUUUAAAUUUCAUCUUUUAAUUUUGGGUUGAUUGAGAAUUAGACUUUAUAAUUUGUUUCAUUUGCAUUCUAUGAGGUUAUCUCGGUCUCAUGACCUGUCAUUGAUUUGCUUGGUUAACUUGAGUUGACUUGGGUAUAUUUAUAUUCUUUUUUUAAUUGAUUUUUUUUAUAGUUUCAUUAUUCAACUUUUAGUUGAUUAAGAAUUGAGUUUUAUAAUUUUUUUUUGUGGGGUUAUUUUAGUUUCACGAUCAAAGUUUACUCGGUUUAUUUUUUAAAUUGAAUUUUAUUUUCAAUUUCAUCUUUCAAUAUUGGCUUAAUUGAUAAUUAAAUUUAAUAAUUUUUUUUAUUUGCUUUCUAUAUAGUUAUUAAGGUCUCAUGACUUGAGUAGCAGAUUUGAGAGGUGAACUCGAGUUGAUUCAAAUUGAUAUAAUAUGUUAUCGUUUAAAUAAUUUUUUUUUAAAAGAUGUUUUUUUAAUUUUUUUAAGCUAAACUAUGUUUUUAAAUGUCGUUCGAGUUGUUUUUAGAUAUAUCAAGUCAACUAUAUCACAUCAAGUUAAUCCCAAUAUGUUUUAAAAAAUUUCAUGCUAAAAGAACAUUUUAACAAUACUAUAAUUUUUUUCUAUAUCCAAUAAAAUUUUGAUAAGACCCACGAUAUACCACAUACAAUCAUCUAGUUUAUUUCUAUUCUACAAUAAAAAAAGGCGCUCGCACGUAUGUGUGUUCACAUCUAUUUUUGAAAAUUUUGAUCGCAAUGAGUAUAGUUUAAGAAACAAGUAUUAGUUGUUGAUUUAUAUAUAUAUAUAAAAUAACCGAAGUCCAAUUUGAUUGUAAAUUACAGUGAUUUAUGGUUCAUGGUGGUAUUAUAGUCGGCGAUUACUAAGCUAUAUGGAUUUAAAGAGGAAGUCUUCCAACAGCAGAACAUGUCAAUGUCAAUUGCUAUUUAAUUUUGGUUGAAGAUAAGAGAAAGCUUGAUGGAUUUUUAAUAGAAUUUGUGUGGUGUUUGUGCUUUCCUAAAACCUCAAGAAAAUCCCUAUAAUUUACUCUACAAGAAAUACGUGCAAAGGGUUGACAUUGAAAUAGGUUGCUUUCGUAAAAGAAAUCUGACCUGAAGAUGGGAAAUUAAGAAACAAAGACGGUGUAUGAGUAAGAACACCACCGCAGUAUGUGUAAGAACACCACCGCAGCUCUUCAUGGAAUACUGAGGUUUUUUCACACAGAGUAUUCCAAAUUGGCUGAAAACCAAGCCAGACUCGCCCAACAGACACCAUAAUUCAUGGUCUUCAGCCCUCCAUUUCUAGCUCAUCUGGUGCUGAUGUGUGGAUGGAAAUCGAAAUUUCCCUCGCCUCGGAGAGAAGGGCUGACUGUUGAAAUCAAGCUAACAGUGAAGUCUAACUCUCACACACCACACGCCUCAAGUCACGUUAAUUAUUAAGUUCUAAUUUUCAGUUUAUUUUUAAUUUUGUUUUCUGUGAGAAUGGAGUUGUCGUUCUCAAUAUCAUGUGAAAAACUACACUUGUUUUUUUUUAAAAAAACUAUUUUUUUUCCAUUUUUUUCUUGGUGACAAAAGUUAAAAUAGUAUAUUAAUAUUAAGUUGAGAGGCAUCGGUGACCUUUGUUUUUUUUUUUAUUAUUAAGAGUUUAUCUGUUUAUAUUAAAUUGAUAUUUAAAUUUAUUUUAAUGUAUUAAUAUUAAAAAUAAAAAAAUAUCUUAACAUAAAAAAUACUAUGCACAGUACAAAUAAAAUGAUAAAGUGAUAAAGUUGAUGAGACAUCGGUGACCUUUGUUUUUUUGUGUUUUUUUAAGAGUUUAUUUGUUUAUAUUUUUUGAUAUUUUUAAUAUAUUAAUAUUAAAAAUAAAAAAUUAUUUUAAUAUAUUUUAAAAUAAAAAAUGUGAUGCACUAUAAUAUCUCUUAUGCUCACGAUGACACCUUGCAAGCUAGCUAGCAAACCAUCAUCCUUUGUUUCCUUUGCCUCGCUUGAGUUUUUGUUAGUUGUCGGCAGUCGGCACAAUCCAAACAAAUACUGGAUGUCGUCUGGGACGCGGCAAAAACUAACUAGUCAAAUUGAUUUUUUGAUUAUAAAAAUGUUUAAUUAAUUAGUAACAAAUCUUUAGAAUAAUUAAUUUUUUAGUAUUGGUUGUUUUUUAAAAUAUUUUUUAUUUAAAAAUAGAUAUAAAAUAAAAAAAUAUAAUUUAAAUAAAAAAAAUCUCAAAAAUAUUUUUUUAACGCGAAAACAAAACAAACUAUACUAGUGAUUUAUCAUCAAAUUAUAGCUAAACCAAUUACAUUAGCAUUUAUUUCUCUAGAACAUGUUUCAAAUUCAACCGUCUAUAUGAUUUGUAUAAUUCUUUUUGAUAGGAGGAAACGUCAAGUGAAAUCAACAAGAGCCACUUCCAAAGUCUAGAGAAAUCCAUGAAUUUCAGGUAGAAACCUACCAAACCAAGCACAAACGUGGGUUUGACUUGUAGUUUUGAAAAUUUGAAGGAAAGAUACUGGACAAAUUCAUGAAACAUUAAACUGUGCAACCCAACUAGCUUAGCCCUAUCCACUCACAUGUAUAAAUUCAGAGACUAUCUCAAUACAUUUCUCCACAUCCAUAUCAAACAACAACAAAGAGCUGUCGGAAGAAAGAAAUUAGAAGAUGCACAAUCCCCCACCGCCAGAGCCCCGUCACCAGCCCGGCCACCCACCGCCAGAGCCCCAUCCACCACCACCCGGUCCACCACAGCGCGAACCUCCUCCCCCUCGUGGCCAUUCUCCUCCUCCUCCAGGUCCGCAUGCACCACCAUCCGGUCCACCACACCGUGAACCUCCUCCUCCAGGCCCGCGUGCACCUCCACCUGAUCAUCACCGUCCUUAGUCGAUCAUAUAUAUGAAGAACUCGAUCGAAGCUAAGCCUAGCAAUAUAUGAAUAAGCGUAUCCAUAGGGGUUGAUGAUGUAACGGAAGGAUGCUCUGUAUAGCUAGUUUUACCUGGCUUAGCUCACCAGUAAUUUUAUUUUCACUUCCAGUGUGUGUAUGUGUAACGUGCUUGCUGUUUCAUUCUCGGAGAAACAUGUAUGGUGCUUGGAUAAUUAAUUAGUAAUAAGAGUAGAGUACUGUUUAUCGUCUAAGAAUAUGCCUUUCUUUCUUUCUAAGAACGUACGAUAAAUCUAAAAAAAGGAAGAUUUACAUGGAUGAAUUUUGUUGAAGGUGCUACAAAAUUCCAUUAAGAGAUUUAUAAAACUUAAUUUUUUUUUUAAAUUAAUGUGGGUGUUUAUAGUGGCGGAGGAAGUGGCAAGAAAAUGCCCCUCCCAUGUAAAUAUUUAUAACAUGGAUGAAUUUUGUUGAAGGUGCUACAAAAUUCCAUUAAGAGAUUUUAUAUAAAACUUAAUUUUUUUUUUUAGAUUAACAUGGGUGUUUGGUCCUUAAUAUUUUUUUAAUGUGACCGCUUAAGAAAAUAACAUCAUGCAUUUUAUUGGAAAUUAAUGACUUCAUGUCAUCAUUUACAAUAUAUUUCUAAAAAAAAAUGUAUCUUGUGAAUAUAAAAGACUUCUUGUAAGGUUAUGGAGUUUUAUUCAACGUUUAAAAACAUGAAAAUUAAAGUCAAUAUGUUUUUUCAACUCUAGCUCUUUUACUUCCUUUCAGUCCAGAAAUUGUUUACUUUUUAAUUAUUUUUUAUUCUCUUCUUUUAUUUAAUAAAUUAAAUUAUAUUAAAAUUAAAAUGUUACGACACAUGGAUCUAUUCAAAUUAAUAGUGUUGCAUUGUUUCAAAUAAACAUUCAAGGAGAGCACUGCGUAUGUAAAACCAAUAUAAAGAAAAUCAUAUCAUCUAGGUGUCGGUCUAGUGGUAAAAACUUGAGAUCAAAUUUUUUUUAUAUAUAUAUAAAAAAAAUCAUGCCUAAAUGAAGGGCACAAGAGAUAAAAUAUCGGUAAAGACAAACUAUCUUUAUAUUAAUUUUUAUUUAUUUAUUGUCUCUUAUAAAAAUUACAUUUUAACUCUUAUGAUGAUAUCCUUUACAAUUAUGUUCCUAUAUAAUUACAUUAUUAUGGUUCAUUAUUUAAAUUUUUUAUGUAAUACUUGUAAUAUCAUGGUUAUUACAAUUAUGAUAUAUCGUCCAUUAUAUUUGUUUGAGAUUUAUUACAAGAAGCCCAAGUUAAUAAAUCAGAACAACACAAAAGCCCAUCAAAAUAAAGCGACCGCGAUCCGCCCACCAUAAGGAGCUCGCUCUCUCCAGAACCCGAACCCGAACCCAACCCCUUCAAAAACCUCUCCCUCUAUCUCCACUCAAACCCCUCCCCCUCUUUUGCUUCUCUUGCAGCGAACUUCUCUCUCUCUACAGGGUAUGCAGCAGCUUCUCUUCUUCCUUUAUUACUAUAUUUCAUGCCUUCAUUUUUGCUUAUGUAUGUGUUUAUAUACGUUGUUUCGCGAUUCAGUUUCUAUUUACGCAAGCUGUACUGGUUUAAUCUAGUUAGAAAUGAAUGGUAUUAUCGUAAUCUCUUUGCUGGAUUGUCUGUAGAAGAGAAUUUAAGGGAAUGGGCUGUUAGAUUUGUAGAGAAAAUUAGACACCCAGAUGCAAGAUUUAGCUUGUUAAGUUACUGUGUUUGUGUGUUUGUUUUUUUCAAGUGGAAGGAAGUAAAAAGUGGAGAUCUGAAGUUUAGGUGAAGUGGUAAAAAGGGUCGAUGAGAUUAUUGUCAAAACCCCUCCUGUGUGGUAACUUUGGUAAAUUAGAGAUUAUUGUGUUUUUGUUUUUAAUCUUGAUUAAAAGAAAAUAAGGAGAUUUUUUUUAGCAAGAAUUUAGUUUGUAUUUACGGGUUCUUGUGUAAGUUUAGUUGAUUUCGUGGUUGUAUUUGGUUAUUGAUUCAUGAUUUGGUAUGGCAGGUUUGAAGUGGUGCCAUGGAUGACAAUUUGUAUGAUGAGUUUGGGAACUACAUUGGUCCGGAAAUAGAGUCGGACCGAGAGAGCGAUGGCGAGGAAGAAGAUGAAGAACUUCCAGACAAGCCUCAUGAAGACGAGGAGGAAUCUGACGGUGAAGAGGCAGUUCAUGCUUCCAAUGGUUGGCUUACUGCCCCUAAUGAUGUUGAUAUGGAUAACCAAGUUGUCCUUGCUGAGGACAAGAAGUACUACCCAACCGCGGAGGAGGUUUAUGGUCCAGGUGUUGAAACGUUGGUUAAUGAUGAAGAUGAGCAGCCUCUUGAGCAACCGAUAAUUAAGCCUGUUAGGAACAUCAAGUUUGAGGUUGGGGUUAAGGAUUCCUCAACUUAUGUUUCCAGCCAGUUUCUUGUUGGUCUUAUGUCAAAUCCCUCUUUAGUACGCAACGUUGCCCUCGUGGGCCAUCUACAGCAUGGGAAGACAGUUUUUAUGGACAUGUUGGUUGAGCAAACACAUCAUACGCCAACUUUUGAUAUAAAUAGCGAGAAACAUAUUAGGUACACAGAUACAAGGAUUGAUGAGCAAGAAAGAAGGAUAUCUAUCAAGGCAGUUCCAAUGUCACUUGUCCUUGAGGAUAGCAAUUCAAAGUCGUACCUCUGUAACAUCAUGGACACCCCUGGUCAUGUGAACUUCUCUGAUGAAAUGACUGCUGCCCUCAGGCUUGCUGAUGGUGCAGUGUUGGUUGUGGAUGCUGCUGAAGGAGUGAUGGUAAGAUUUGUUUUUAGGUUAAUUUUGAUAAAUUCAUUACAAAAAUAGUAUGAUCAUAUCUUAAUAUGAUUUUAUCUGUUCUUCUGUGGAUUAAUUUGCGAAGUAUUUCUCCGUAGAUAUUAAAUCCAUCAUUCUUGAUGAGUUCAAUACGCAAUUUGUUCUAGUUUUCUGCCUAUCAUAUCAGCAUUUAUACAGGCAUUAGUUGCAAAUGGUUUUGUCUAUGAUUGGACCGAUUGCAGCAACAAGGCUAUAAUCUUCUAUUGCAUGACUUGUGACACUUGUUCUCAAUACCAUGCACUUAUGAUCGUGGUUGAACUUCGAAGAUGCUAUUUCAUGAUAUAACUGUUGUUUUCAUAAGUGCACGAGAAUGUUCUAGCCACUUGAUAUGGUCAAUUUACUAUUUUGUAAUGCUUAGGUAAACACAGAGAGGGCCAUACGCCACGCAAUUCAGGAACAGCUGCCUAUUGUUGUUGUGAUCAAUAAGGUAAUUCCCUCUUACCUCUAUUUUGUUUGGCACUUCCGAUUCGAUUUUUUCCAAAUAUUUUGACUGGUUCAUGAAGUGUUAUUUGCACAAAUUUUCUUUUGAAGGUUGACAGGCUCAUAACAGAGCUCAAAUUGCCCCCAAAGGAUGCGUAUCACAAGCUAAGGCAUACCAUAGAAGUCAUUAACAACCAUAUAUCUGCUGUCUCUUCAACUGCUGGAAAUGUUCAAGUGAUAGAUCCAGCUGCUGGAAAUGUUUGUUUUGCUGGUGCAACCGCAGGAUGGUCCUUCACUUUGCAUUCCUUUGCUAGAUUGUAUCUCAAACUCCAUGGUAUCCCAUUUGAUGCUGAAAAGUUUGCAUCUCGUCUCUGGGGGGAUAUGUAUUAUAAUCCCGAGGACAGGACUUUCAAGAAGAAACCUCCUGCUAGUGGAGCAGAAAGAUCGUUUGUCCAAUUUGUGCUGGAACCUCUCUACAAAAUAUACAGCCAAGUGAUUGGAGAACAUAAAAAAAGCGUUGAGGCUACUCUUGCUGAGUUUGGUGUUACUCUUCCUAAUUCAGCUUAUAAAUUAAAUGUCAGGCCUUUGCUAAGACUGGCUUGCAGUCAAGUUUUUGGCUCAGCCUCAGGUUUCACUGACAUGCUUGUUAAGCAUAUACCUUCGGCUAAGGUUGCUGCUGCCAGGAAGGUUGAUCAUACAUAUACUGGGCCCAAAGAUUCAAUGAUUUACCAGGCCAUGCUAGACUGUGAUCCUGCUGGCCCCUUAAUGGUUAAUGUGACGAAAUUGUAUCCGAAGUCAGAUUGCAGUUCAUUUGAUGCUUUUGGUAGGGUUUAUAGUGGUAAAAUUAUGACAGGGCAGUCUGUAAAAGUUUUGGGAGAAGGCUAUUCACCAGAGGAUGAGGAGGACAUGACAGUAAAAGAAGUGACAAAACUAUGGGUAUAUCAAGCUCGGUAUAGGUUACCCAUAAGUAUGGCACCUCCUGGUUCCUGGGUUCUCAUUGAAGGUGUGGAUGCUUCAAUUAUGAAAACUGCAACUCUCUGUAAUGUGAAUUAUAAUGAAGAAGAUGUAUACAUAUUUCGACCUCUUCAGUUCAAUACUCUUCCAGUAGUGAAAACUGCUACUGAGCCUCUAAAUCCAAGCGAGUUGCCCAAAAUGGUGGAGGGUCUUAGGAAGAUCAGUAAAAGCUAUCCUCUGGCCAUAACUAAAGUUGAGGAGUCUGGGGAGCACACUAUACUUGGUACCGGAGAGUUGUACUUAGAUUCUAUUAUGAAGGACCUUAGGGAGCUAUAUUCUGAAGUGGAAGUCAAGGUAGCUAUUUCUCAUACGCUUUUUUGAUAUACUUUUGUUAUUUAUUCUCCUAUUUCCUUUUAUGGGACGCUCUUAGUUUCCAUGCACAUUUGUCCUGUUUAAUGCUUCAUGUCAAAUGUAGGUAGCCGAUCCUGUUGUCUCAUUCUGUGAAACUGUGGUGGAGUCCUCGUCAAUGAAAUGCUUUGCUGAAACACCCAACAAGAAGAAUAAAAUAACCAUGGUAAAGAAGACCACUAGUUUUAUUUGAUCUACUUGCUUUUGAGCAUUCUAUCUCAAUGCUCUGGACUUUUAAUUUUGUUCAUCUGGAAUGUUUCUUAAUUUUAUAGAUCGCUGAGCCAUUGGAGAAAGGGCUUGCAGAAGACAUUGAAAAUGGUGUUGUAAGCAUUGACUGGAAUCGGAAAGCUCUAGGUGACUUCUUCAAGACAAAAUAUGAUUGGGAUUUGCUUGCAGCACGAUCCAUAUGGGCUUUUGGCCCUGAUAAGCAGGUAAUCUAGUUGCUUAAUGUAUCCAUGAUUUGAUUUUUUCAAAUGAUAUGUGAUCAAAUCCUGCUCAUGUUUUGAUACCUCAAUUCCUCAUUUUUUCAAUGAUUGGAUUAAAUGAACUUAAUUUAAUCUUAUUUGUUUUUGAUAUCUGCAGGGACCUAACAUUUUGCUAGAUGACACACUUCCAACUGAAGUGGACAAGGGAUUACUAGGUGCCGUGAAGGAUUCUAUUGUUCAAGGGUAAACUGGAAUUUUUGUCUGUUCUUUUACCAUUUAACCAAAUGCCUAACUAGAACCUUCAUUUUCUUUUGGACAGGUUUCAGUGGGGUGCACGAGAAGGACCACUUUGUGAUGAACCAAUCAGAAAUGUUAAGUUCAAGAUAGUUGAUGCUAGGAUUGCGCCUGAACCACUUCAUCGUGGAUCUGGUCAAAUAAUUCCAACAGCUCGGCGUGUGGCCUACUCAGCUUUUCUUAUGGCAACCCCAAGGCUCAUGGAACCCGUAUAUUAUGUGGAGGUACUUACUUGAUAAUUGUAUUAUAUUAAAGAAAUAUGCAUACCUAAGGGAGAAUAUAUAGACUUUUCCUGCUUGUUACUGUGACUAAAGGAACAAGACAGCAGUGGAAUAUGAUGAAUUUGACAGAAAGCUCAGUAGAAUGCUCAUCCUCAGUUUCCAUAACAUACUAUUUUGAAUAAAUGCAAUUAGCUCAUUUAGAGUUAGAGUUUCUUGCUUGGAUUGUCCUACUAAUUGUGUUUUAUGUUCUUUCAGAUACAAACACCAAUUGACUGUCUCACUGCAAUCUAUACGGUGUUAUCUCGCAGACGUGGGCAUGUUACAGCAGAUGUUCCUCAGCCUGGGACUCCAGCUUAUAUUGUUAAGGUGAUAGCAGCACUUUUUCGUACCCAGCUUACAUGCUGUUGGUUUUAUACAAGUAAAUAUAUGGAGAUGGUUGACACACACCCACAUAUACUUCAAGCUUUCUCUUAUUCGUUUCUAAUUUUUGAAAUUGGAUUUCAGGCAUUUUUACCUGUCAUAGAAUCAUUUGGUUUUGAGACGGACUUGAGGUACCAUACCCAAGGUCAAGCAUUUAGCCUCUCGGUGUUUGAUCAUUGGGCUAUAGUCCCUGGAGAUCCCCUUGAUAAGAGCAUUGUUCUGAGGCCACUUGAGCCUGCACCAAUCCAGCACCUUGCCCGUGAAUUUAUGGUGAAGACAAGGCGUCGCAAGGUAUACCCCUCUCCCUUCUCCCAGGGUCUCUCUCUUUCUGUUACGUGGAUGACUUUUUCAAGCUCUUGGAGCGUUGGAAGAUUGUUACUUCAAAAUUUAUUAUUUUUCUGAGCUGCACGAGAAUUCCAAAUCUAGCAUAGUGCUCUAUGGAAAUGGGUUUUUUAUAACACCUCCUAUGCUGUUAAUAGAUAAAACCAAUAGCCAUUUGGUAAUGCUUUUUGUUUCGAUUCUAUAUUCCAGGGAAUGAGUGAAGAUGUGAGCAUUAACAAGUUCUUCGAUGAGGCUAUGGUGGUUGAGCUGGCUCAGCAAGCAGCUGAUAUUCAUCAACAAAUGAUGUGAUACUUCCAAUGUUGGUGCUUAUUUAGCCAUAGGCCAUAGGAAGCACUUCUUUCAGGCAGUUUUUAUCUGUCUUUACAUGUGUUGAAACCUGGAUAGCAGAUAGUAGUGCAGACUGAUAUCCCUAGCAGUUGGGGCAGAACACCGCUAACAAAAAGAAAGGAUGUCCAACGAGUAAAUUCAAAAUUUUGAAUGUUUGAUGUAAUAUUGUAUAAUAUUUACUGUUAGUGGCAUGAAAAACUCUCCUUUUGAGCCCAGGGAGGUGGUAAUGCAAGCAAGGUUGGAUUAUUUGUUCGAAGAUCUCAUGAUUGGUUUGCUCACCUUAUUUGGGUUUGCCUUACUGGCAUGCCUCCCCACCGCAAUACGGGCAUCGAGGCCUCCAAACAAACAUCCUGCCCUCCUGGGAUUAAAACAUUAACCUUGAAGUGAAGGGAUAAAAAUAAAUCAAGAAGAAACAUAGUAUGUGUUAUUGCCAUUAAUAUAACCUGGAACAGAAUCUCUUUUAUCAUCGCAACAUUAACUUCAGCUAACUACUAACUCUUGAUAACUACUAACUCUUGAUGGUUACAAAUCGUCUAUUCGUUCUUUUUAUUUUGAUGUUCUAUUUUUGGAUCUUAUCAUUUCUCGAUAAAUUUGCUUUAAUUGCCUAUAAUUUUUUUUAUAGUUGAUUUGUUUGUGUGAACAACAAUUCGUAGUUGAUUUGUUUGUGUGAACAGUAGCAUGCUGAGUAGUGUUUUCACCAUGCCUUUUAAAUUAUAAUUAAUAAUAACAAGAGGAUUAUUACUUUGUUUCAAUGUGUAGCCAAUAUUGUAUGAGAGCUAGGUGGUCGGAUGAUGUUUUACAUUGUAGUUGAACUAUAUUUUUAAAAUAUUUUGAAUUUUUUAGUUUUAAAUUUUUUUGUGUGUGUUUUUGGAUCGUUUUGAUGUGUUGAUGUUAAAAAUAAAAUUUUAAAAAAUAUUAUUUUGAUAUAUUUUUAAAUAAAAAAUAUUUUAAAAAACAAUUUCUAACACUCUAAGACAGUGUUUGUUUAAGAGGUUGCAUCAAAAACCUAUUUGGUAAUUAAAAAAAUAUCUGUUAUUGUUCAUGGGUCUCACGGAAUGCUGCAUUUGAAAUGCAAGAACAAGAGAAGUAGCUUUGAAAUGCAAGAACAAGAGAAGUAGCUAGGAGCUGCUUCCUGCGCAGCAAAACGCUGAACCAUGCUCCACUGUUCAGUGAACAGUGGAGGCAUGCAUCCACUGUUCCGGCCGGACCGGGUCCGGUUUAAAGCUCAAAAUGCAUUGAACCAGUCCGACCCAGUAAAAUAAAAAAAUUAUUUUUUAAUUGUGUUUUAUUCGAAAAACUAGUGUUUAACAUUAUUCAAUGACACUACUUAAAUUAGACGGAGAGCGCUUGAACACGUAACAUUUGUAGAAUUUGAUCGCAAUCCCAAAUUAUAGAUAGUUUAAUGGAACAAUAAAAAAUAUUUUAUAUAAAGUAUUAUUUAUUUCAUGAUGUAAUAACAAUAGUUAAAUCUACAAUAUUUAAAUUAAAAACCAUUAAUAUUAAUAUAUAUUUUUUUAAAAUUAUUUUAUAACGUCAAUUUCAAAAACAUUCUUAACCAAACACAUUAAACUACUUUUUAUUUAACCUCAAUUUCAACUACAGUUUUAACCAAACAUACAUAAAUACCAAACCAACCUCAACUAAAUAUAUUUUUUAUAAAAUAACUUUUUUUAAAUUAUAACCACAAAAGCCACAGAAUACCAAACAGUUGCAUGACUUAAAGAUCUUCUUAGAGGAAAGGAGAUGGAAAUGCAAGGGGCUUUUUAAUACUUUUUUUAAAAAUUCUGUUACUAGGUUUUGCAAGAAUAUAUGAACUUGUUAUUAUUAAUCUAAGUUUUUCUUUUUAUUAUGAAUACUAGCAUGUUGUUUUGCAAGUGGAUUAACCCUUUUUUUCUCUUCAAAUCUGAUCUUAAAAAAAGAAGGAAAAUCAACCUAUUCACUUUAAUGUCGAGUCAAACAUUUCUCCUUCUCAGUUAAGAAAACAAAACACAUUGGGGGCUUGGACCGUUAAUAAAAUGCCGAGAAUCACGAAUGGUCCAUCUCCUUCUCAUAUUUGAUCAUAUCAAAUUCCUUACUUUUAAUUGGAUCAAAUCUACCCUCCCAUCUUCACCAAUAAUCAAAUGGUUAUAUGAAUUCCAUGUGUUUUGAUAUAUUAAUUAUUAAGAUGAAGGAUCUCUAAUCGAAAAUAAAGGGACCAAUUUGACUCAAUGUAAAAAUAAAUGAUGUAAAUUGACCAAUUUACAAAACUAUAGGGAUGAUUUUGAAGCAACUGGAAAACGAAACAUCAGGCUAAACCCCAUCUGAGAUCCAACUCUCUGCCCAGAGAACCUAACCCUCCCUUUGGUCUAAAACUAACGUAAUCAUCUUCUUUUUUUCCUCUUAAUCACCAAUCCAUGUCUUAAAAAUCAUAAAAUUCUUAUCGAUUGGGUUUUCAAUUUUGUAAUACACGAUACACACACUUCCCCUUCUUUUCUCAUUUCUGCUCAAGAUUUCAUCUUUUUCUCUUUUUUUCCAAAAAGGCACACGCAUUGUGAUUUCUCUAAACCCUAAUCACAGAUCCAAAAUUUUUCUUCGGCUUAACCUCAAUUGCUAUUGAGUUCCACAAUUUCUUCUUAUACAGCAGAUUUACCCUUAAAAGUUUGGAACUUUAAGGGUAAAUCAUAUUGAAGGUUAGGAUUUUUUUGCAAUGAGCUGAUGCUACUGUGAUUUUUCUUUAUCAAUUACAAUGCAAUCGAAAACCCAAAUUCUUGCUCCAGCUUUUACCCUUUUCCCAUCUCUUAAACCUCCAAACAAGACCCUAACUUUUCACCAAUUUACAGUCUUGGCCAUCACCUUUCUCGCUUAUGCUUCAUUUCAUGCCUCAAGAAAGCCACCAAGUAUUGUAAAAGGUGUGCUUGGACCCAAAAUUCAAUUGAACUCUUCAACGAUUGAGUCUAAUUUAACUUCAUUAGAAUCCAAUGGUACUGGUUGGGCUCCCUUUAAUGGCCCUAAAGGGACUCACCGGCUUGGUGAGCUUGAUCUUGCAUUUUUGUCUGCAUAUUCAAUAGGAAUGUAUUUUGCAGGACAUGUUGGUGAUAGGAUUGAUUUAAGGUUGUUUCUUGUUUUUGGAAUGGUGGGUAGUGGUCUUUUGACCAUUAUUUUUGGGUUAGGUUAUUGGUUUAAUGUACAUUUGUUAGGAUAUUUUGUGAGUGUGCAGAUUUUGUGUGGUUUGUUUCAGUCUAUAGGGUGGCCUUGUGUGGUGGCAGUGGUUGGGAAUUGGUUUGGGAAAGCUAAGAGAGGGUUGAUAAUGGGAAUAUGGACUUCCCAUACAUCGGUAGGGAACAUUAUUGGGUCGGUUGUGGCAUCCGGGGUUUUGGAGUUUGGUUGGGGUUGGUCAUUUGUGGUGCCCGGAGUUUUGGUAAUUUUAGCUGGGGUUUUAGUGUUCCUGUUUCUUGUUGUUAAUCCUGAAGAUAUUGGAUUUGAGACUCCAGGGAAGGAAAUUGAAAUGGAUGUGGAGGUGAAUGGUUUGGAGAAUUUGGAGAAGGUGGAAUCAGAAGAAGCAGGGCUUCUUGGGGAGGAAAACUUGGAUUCUACCGCAGCCAUCGGAUUCCUGGAGGCUUGGAGAUUACCUGGUGUGGCACCAUUUGCUUUCUGCCUCUUCUUUUCAAAGCUAGUGGCGUACACUUUUCUAUAUUGGUUGCCCUUCUACAUAAGUCACACAGGUAUUUGCUUCUUCUUGACUUUGAAAUUCUUAUCAAGAGCUGAUUUGCUCAUGCUAAUCAUUUUUGCAUGCAUUUAGAUAUGAGUGUCAUAUAAGAACGGGACUGUGAUGGCGAUGAGAAUUUGCUAUCAUCAACACAAAUGGUGCCCUUAUUUAUGAAUUCUCGAAAUUUGAUUGUAGGAGACCAUUUCUUCUUAUCAUGGCUUGAACUCUCUUUUAUUGGUUCAUCUGGCUGAUGCACUCGCAUCUUUUUGCUUAGUUUGCUGAAGUAUGCCUUUGCAUAUAUUUGAAUUUGUUAGAUGCUGGAUGUCAGUUUUAAUAAUUUUUUUUUUGGGAAUUAAAGAUGUUGCUGGCGUGCAUGUGUCCCACAAGACUGCUGGAAUUCUUUCAACGGUAUUCGAUAUUGGAGGAGUCUUUGGCGGAGUUUUGGCAGGAUUUGUAUCUGAUAUGAUUGAAGCUCGGGCAGUGACUUCAAUAGUAUUCUUGCUUCUAUCAAUUCCAGCCCUUGUUCUGUACCGGGUUUAUGGAAGCGUGUCUAUGCUCCUCAAUAAUGCUUUGAUGUUUCUUUCUGGGCUGCUUGUAAAUGGCCCGUAUGCUCUAAUUACAACAGCUGUUGCAGCUGAUCUUGGUACCCAGGACUUGAUUAAAGGAAAUUCCCGAGCCUUAGCUACUGUGUCUGCAAUUAUAGAUGGCACAGGUUCUGUUGGGGCAGCUGUUGGCCCCCUUCUGGCAGGGUAUAUCUCCACAAGAGGAUGGAACAGUGUCUUUCUUAUGCUUAUUGUUUCUAUAUUCCUUGCGAGUUUGUUCUUGAUUCGAGUUGCGAAAAGUGAGAUUAAAGGGAUGCUGAACGAUAGAAAAUGGCUUUCAAACAAUGCAACUGCUCAAUGAUGGAAAGUGCUUCUAAGAUUAUCGUCUGUAUUCCUUUUACAUCUAGUCAUAGAACAGGUUCCAUGGAAAAACACUUGGAUAUAAAGGAUCCUGCAAGUAUACAUGUCUGUAUUUUGUAACUCAUUCUUUGAUCAGAUAUAUUCUUACUUUCUGUUGUACAUGUACAAACAAAGAUACCAAUAAUAUAAGCCUUCUACAUUCUACACUACUGUUCAGGGACACUCUAGCACCCGCUAUUUCUAACAUUUUUUAUUGGUUCAUCACAAAUUGGUAUUCCUAGCACGUCCAGCAAUCAACCUUUAACAGUCGAAGAUACAACACUUGGAGGGCAUUCUCAAAAAUAAAUAAACAAAUAAAAUUUGAGGGGCAUGAGAUGGAUUACAAGCAUUGCAUGUUGUGCCCUGUAACAGAACAGUUUAAGUGAUUUAUCAAGAAGGUAAAGCAACACCAAAUUUCACAAAUGAUAGUCUUACAGCUUUGUGGAUAUGUAAACUGAUUGUUGGAGAUCAAACAUGCCAUUUCAAUAUAAGCGAUUAAUUACCUUAUAUGGUGAAUCCAGAGAAUGAGUACACAGAGAUAAGAAUGGCUGUGCUAUUUUUAGUAGUAACUGAAACUGUAUAUAGCAACGAGCUUGAGAUUGAACUAGCUAUAUGACCUACCCGUGCUCUGCCACAACUGCGAUAAAAAAAAUUUAGAAAAAAAUAAUGUUCAUCAAUGCAGCGUAUUUUAAAGGAAGCAUGAAAAAAAAUAAUAAUAUUAGAUGAUAAAAUAAAAUAAAAAAAAAGAUGUUAUUUGAGUUAUUUUAUUAAAAACAAUAAAUUUAAAAUAAAAUUAAAGUUUAACUCUCAAUAAAUCAAAUAUUGAAUGAUAUAAUUAAAAAUAAUAUAUAUAUAAGGAUUAAAAAAUGUAAUAAUUGUUAGCUAAAAACUAACUUGAGUUUGUCUGAGUUAACUCACCAAACUAAUAGUUAGGUUAUGAGAUCGAGAUAAACUGAGAGAAGAAAAAUAAAAAUAAAAUUACGAAAUCUUAUUUUUUAAAAGACCAAUGUUAAUCCUUGUUAGCCUAUAAAACCCAUGUUUUAGGCCAUUUGACUAGAAGUAUCAAACAUGAAAAAAUCAUGAAAGUCAAUUCUUAACAAAUCAAAUAUUAAUCAAUUCUUAAUAAAUCAAAUAUUAAAGGAUAAAAAAACAUCAAUCACACAAAAAGAUUCAAAAGAAAAAAACAACAAUAAUUAAAACGAAAAAAAAAUAGUCCACUCGAGUUAACUCCUAAUUAUAAAAUCAAUGUAAAAAAACUAAAAAAACCAUUAAAUCUAUUUUUUUAAAAAAAUUCAACUUCGGGUAAAGACGUCUAAAUAUAUACACCGCAAAUUGCUAUGUUUAAAAACUCAUAUUUUUAUAAAAUAUAAAAUAUUGACUUAUAUUAACGAAAAUUCAAGUCUCUAUGAAUCUAUUUUAAAGGAAGAAUUAAAAGCCGGAUUAUUUCAUUUAAAUAAAAUAUUGAAUAAAGAUUAAAUAUUGUAUUAUUUGGUAUGAUAGAGUAAUUCAUCUUAUAACUAAUAAAACGAAGAAUAUCAUUUUGAUGUUUCUUUUGCUGUUACGUAUGAUUGGAAAUAAGUUUUGAUAAAUUAGUUUGCAACAUAAAUAGAUUUGUCCCUCAAAUAUCAAUUUUAUUGAUUGGGUCCUUCAUCUAUAUACCUCUCCGCAAUCGGAUCCUUUUGUUAAAAUAAUUGAAGGCAGUAUUGAACAACGAUGCACCUUCUGGCCAUUAAAUGUUUGGUCACCGUAAUUUUUUUAAUAUGUUUUGGAUCGUUUUAAUGUGCUGAUCUCAAAAAUAAUUUUUAAAAAAUUAAAAAAACAUUAUUUUGAUACAUUUCAACACGAAAAGUACUUUAAAAAACAAUCGCAACCAGACUCCUAAAAUCCAGCUAUCACCUUCAAUUCCAGACAAGUUAGAAAAACAAAGGCAUGAUUGAAGCAAUUUUAUGACCACACGCAUGCUCCUACAUGUGUUAAAUAGAGGGGAAAGUUGGCAUUCUCACAUCUAAUUGAUAAAAUUGGUGGCCUUUUCUUUUAUUUCCACGAAAUUCAAUUUUCAAUUUCAUCCUUCUUUACAUGGUGCCAUUUUGCAAGCCACUUGCUCGUUAGCCUAGUAGAGAGUAUCUCUUAGCCCUUGGGUCCAAAUCUUUGAGUUAAGUAGAAACUUAGUUGAAUGAAAAGAGCCCUGAGACGUUCGUAUAUGAUUUUACACAAGCGUGAAAGAGAAUGCGCCUGCAUAAACAAAACAUUAAUUGUUACUGUGAUCAAUGCAUCUUCUGGAUGAAAGAAUACCAGAGAGGUGAAAUCAUGCAGUUAAGGGCAUGCUUACUCUGGCAUUGAUCAUUUACCCUAAAUCAGUCCCUGCCUCGUAUAAGCAAAUCCAUUCUUCGGACCAAUUUCUUACUAGGCACCUUUAGCAGGCAAUGACAAGAUAAAGGGGAGAAAAGGGAAUGUAUAGACUGUUGCAAGGACUCCAGUGAAUGAGGCAAGAAUGAUAGGAGGGAAGAAAAAUGCAGAUUCUAUUUGCCCAUGAAUUUAUAUACAGCAUACACCAACAAAACUUGAGGACAGCCAAUUUAGCUAUGUACUGUUAUUUGAUUGGCUCUACCCUCCUCCACCACCUGGGGAACUUGGAUGGAAAGUUUUAAGCACUACCUUCUAGCAAGCAUUUGAGAUUCUGAAGCCCCUCGGCGGAAAUGCUUCGCCUGACUCUUGCCCUCUGUACCACCACUGGUGGCGGUGGCUCUGAGUGAAAGCUAACAAUUACAACUGUCAAGUUGUCAGUUGCUCCCCGUUUUAAUGCUUCCCCUACCAUUUCUCUGCAGCAUCGCUUCAAAUCAUUGUGCUCUUGAAGUCUCUUCCGAACAAAAUCUACUGCAUUUUGAUUUGAAUAUACAUCCCAUAUUCCAUCACUUCCGAUUAUCAAGAACUCAUCUUCCUUCGUCAGUGUAACCAAUUUAAGUUCUGGUUCGGCACUUAAGGGCCCACUUCUGUCACCCUUUUUCUUCAUUCCUUCAAGGUGCCAAUCACCUAAUGCGCGGGUAACAGCUAACUGACCAUUUAGAUAACCAUCAUCAAUGAAUCCACCUAAGGACUCAAUUCUUGUCCUUUCUUUCAUGCAGCAAGGUCUAUGAUCCUCUGACAUUUCCUUCGCCCCUCCACCCCGUGAUAAUACUGCCCGACAAUCACCAGCAUUUGCCACAAGCAAUGACCUGUCCAAGAAAGACAUUUUUUUAAGAUAACGCACUUUGUGAGAAGACAUAACAGAAUGUCAAUAUAUGAUAAAACUAAUGGAUUGGAGCAAUUCCUGACAACGCAAGAUCUUAGGUGACAUGACAGAUCUUUUUGAUUGGUCAGAAAGCUACAAUUGGGUCAUCAUUAACCUUAAUGACUAUAGCACAUUCAGGACUGUUAACCCAGCACAGAAUGGCCUUGGAAGUGACAGAUGGACUAAACAAAAGGGAUGCAAAGGGCUAGAAAGUCAUGAAUAAACCAUAGGAAGCAGAUGACUGACUACAGAAAAACGAUAAGAAGCUGUUACCUCCCAAAUAUCAUUGCAGUAAGUGCAGUCGUGCCAGAAGAACGGCCUGACUCAAGGGAGCAUGACUUUUCAAAUGCAGCAUCAAUCUCAAUGAAUGAUCUUGUAACCACUUUCUCAAGUUUUACAGGGAAAUCGGCAUCCUCAACAAUGACUCUUGGUAAAUGCUCGCGUACAAAAUGUGCUGCAGUCUUUCCUCCAUGCCCAUCAAAUACCUGUUUUCCAAAGUAUAUUUAAUUCUUAAAAUAAGAAAGAAAAAAUUCCACUUCCAAUUGCUUGUUGGCUUUGUUUUUCUAAACUAUUCAUGCAAUGCAAUUACAUCUUAUCUGUUUCCAGAUGAGCAAAGUUCAAAUGAGAGAGCUAUUCUUGGUGUCAGAUGAGCACAGGUUUCUAGGAUGCUGAUUGAAAACAUGGAAGUUUCAGAUUUUCAAGUUUAAAGUGAUGCUCAGAUUUAUUUAAAGUGGUAAGCUCCGAUUCAAUUUUAGAUUAAUACUUUCUAGAACCUUCACACUUGCUAUCAUAAUCAUAAGUGAUAUGUUCAAAGAGAGAUACUACAGUCUUCCAUCAAGGUACACUAUGGUGUAGUUAAUCUCAUAAGCGAAAGAAGCCUAUAUCCUAAAAUAUUGCUACCCGAUGAACUAGAAGACCAAAAGCUAUGAUUUUUCCAUAAGGGAACAGAAAGCACAAGUAAAAAUACAGUAUUGAUUAGAACCAAAACAGCACAAAAACAUAAAAUUCAUUAGCAGCUGAAAUAGCAGAUGAACAACAGAACAGGAAAAUAACUUACACCAUAGAAAGAAAUAGCAUGCUCGCUUAGUAAACUGUAACCAAACUUCUUAGCCAAGUCACUAAUGCAAAUGUGCGUAUCUUCCAUAUAAGGCCGACCACCAAUAUCAGACCACUCUCCUGAGCGAAGGGUGGGAAAAAAAUCUGUUAACAGAUUCUGUUUCCUUUCUGUGACCACUCUAUCCUCACAAAUGCUUUCCAACUGAAUGAACCACCACAAACAAAAAAAACUAAAAAUGAGAUAGCAGAAGAACAAAUAGUGAUAAAGAAUAAUAUUCCAUCAGAGGGUAUAGCAACAAUGAUAUGUGUAUCUGGCCAAUAUAAGUAUGCACUAUUGCAAACUAACAGUGAAGGGAAAAAUAAAUGGAUAAGAACCAAGUACAAAGGCAAUAACAAAAAUGAGAUUAUAGACAUAGAAAGGUAUUAAAUGAUUGAUAAUUAAGAAUAUAGAAGGGUUCCUGCAUACAGUUUACAAGAUAUUAUAUAAAUAAAAGUUAAAUCAGGGUUACUAUGACAAAUUGACAACCAUUACUGCUCUUUAAUCAAUACCGAAGUCACUGGAGAAAAUCUCUCUCUCUCUCUCUCUCACACACACACACUAUCUAUCCAUCUAUUUCUCCAUGACAACCAUGAGUCCAAGAAGAACAGCGACUAAGUCAAGGGAAUAUAAUUGAAGUUAAUUAUUUACCACAGAAAGCAACACCACCAUGUUGGUGGUGUGCAAAAAGGUAAAUUAAUACAAAAGAAAAGUCAUAAUACUGUAGCUACCAAAUUGAAGUACCAAACAAUAAAUUAUUCAAGGCAGAGAUAUUAAGCUAGGAAAAAAAAAGUUACAGCCACUUAUCUCCAAUGCCCACCAAAUACAUGAACCAGCAACAAUUUCAUAAUUACACAACCAGCUAAAAGUCUGAAACUUUUUAGAGUAAGGAAAAAGAAAUCAGAAAGCAAUUAUGGAUCAUCAAUAACUUCAUAAGUUUCAGAAAAAGAAAACAAUAUGGAAAAAGAAAUUAUGGAAAAAGAAAUCAGAAAGCAAUUAUGGAUCAUCAAUAACUUCAUAAGUUUCAGAAAAAGAAAACAAUACAAGUUCCUCAACAAACAUCAAUUUAAACAAAGCAGUAAUGAACAGAAAGCAAUAAACUCAAUUCUAACAACGACGACGACGACGACAAAAAGAAGCAAAAUUCAGAACACAAAUAUGGGCAAACAAAAAAAGAAAAGACCCAACUUGGGAAACCAAUGAAAUUUGAGAAAGAAAAGAAAUAUUACAGGAUAAGAGUUGGCAACACUGAUCCCACCACUAGAACUAAUCAAAGAAGAGUCUUGAUCAAAAUUCUCCAUCUGGGUUUGCAAGAGGUCACCAUGCAAAGGCAAAGAUUGCAUCUUGUUGCUAUUGCUGUUAUUACAACUACUAUUAUUGUCAAUUGGGUUCUACAUUUCUUGCUUUGCAUCCUUUACACACAUGGUUGUUGUCAAUAUUAUUAUUGUUAUUAUGUUGGUGACAGAAAAAAGAAAACAAGAAGACUUAUUUAAGUCUUUAGCAACUAGUUGUUGUCUUUGUAGGAAUCCAAAGAAGCAACAACACGAGCCAAAAAAAAAACACAGAGGAAGACACAAGGAGAGAGAGAAUCAAAGAGAAAAACUUGGAAUACAGAGAGGGGGGGUGGAAGAUUCUGUGGAAUAUCUCUAUCGUGAUGAUGGUGAAAAUAAAAUGAAGGACUAGUUGAUGCCUUGGUGGAGGGAGGGUGAGAGAAAGAGAGUAUAAAUAAGAGCUGUUAAAUUCCAGAUUUUUCUAAGAAAGAGUGGCUGAAAAUCAGUUGGUUAAGCUGUUCUUGUUUUUGUUGUUCUUAUGGGCAUGCUGGAUGCAUAAAAUAAAUCGUACAGUUUUGGGUAUUGUGAUGUUUUUUUAUAAAAAAAAAUAUAUUAAAAUAUUAGAAAAUAAAAAAACAAAAAAAAAUAUUUUUUUAAGCACGGCCACACCGCUAAGCUUUUAAUUGCUAAAAGGACUUUGAUGUUGCUAUAUAUUAUGGCAUAAUUGCUAAUAUUGUCAAAGCUUGAAUGAGUUGUUGAUAAAUUAAGAUCAUGGUAUUUUAUAAUAUUAAUAUGAGGAGUUGGUCAAAUAUAUAUCAUUUUUAUUCCUUGGAGUGUAGACUUUAGAAUAAAAUUUUAAUUUAUUUUCAAGUUUCAACAACCUAAUUUGUUUUUAAUCCAUGAUGAUCGAUAUUUUAAAUUAAGAUCAUGGUAUUUUAUAAUAUUAAUAUGGCCUUUGUGUACGAGGGAUUUGGUAGGGAGAAUUUCUAGGUAAAGUUUACUGAACAAGAAAAAGAUUUUGCCUUUGUGACAUGAAUUCAUCUGGGUUCUGGAAUUGUGAUGGAAAUCCAAUAAUUCAAUGUGCCUCCGAAGUUCAGCAUUGGAUAAAUGAUGGCCCGAAUCAUUUGAAAUGAAAUCCCAUUUCAUUUCUCGAAAGUUCAUGGAACCAUAAUAUUUGGUAAUUUUUUUUUUGACAUUGCAAUAAUGUUUACUCUUCAAAUUAUUUUUUAUUUAAAAAAAUAGUAAAUUAAUAUUUAUUUACAUAUUUUUCAAUGAUUUUAAUAUGAUACUAUUAAAAAUAAAAGAAAUUAUAAAAAAUAUUAUUUUAAUAUAUUUUUAUUUAAAAAAUAUUUUUUAAAAACACAAUGCACCACGUUAUUAAACACACUCAAAAUAAAAAUUAACUUUUUUUAAUGCAUAAAUAAUUUUUUUUUUAGUUGUGAUAGUUCACAAAUUAUUUUUGAAAAAAGUUACUCUAAUCAUGAUAUAAUUUAGUUGUUUUUAAACUUAUUCUUCGUGUUUUUUAAAAUUACAGUUUAUAUUCUUGAUAAGUAUAAAAUAAACUAAAUUAUAUUGCGCAACAAGGUUUAAGAUAUAAAUUAUAAUUUUUUAAAAUACAGAAAAUAAAUAUAAAAAUGACUAAACUAUAUAAACUAAUCAAGCUAAUUUCUCUUAUUUUUAACUAUUGUGCUGUUUUUUUUAUAUAAAAAAAAUAGAAGAAAAAAACCCCUUCGAUCACCUGUUGAAAGCAUCCAUCAAGAUGAUGCAAUGGGACAAUUUCACCCUUAUAUAACAUGGAAAUAGACUCUUGUGGGAUUUACUUGCAUCAUUCCCAGUCAGACUGAAAAGACCAUCAUUAUUCAUUCUUAAGAGCUACAUAAAGGUUGUUAAUGAUUGCAGCGAAGCUACUAAAUGUUUUAUGGUCAAAUAUCAAGAGAUCUGAACAUUUUCACCCCCUUCACAUGUCAAUUCUCCAUGCCUAAUGGGGCUUGGUUUAUUCAUUCAAUUGCUAGAAAGAACAGAGAAUGAGAUGCCAGGAGAAUUGGUUUUCAUUGGUUAGUGUGUGAGCUAAAAGAUACUUGAUAAAUCGUGGGACGAUGAUGGAAGACAAUGACUUCGGAUUUAUUUCCCUUUUGCUUUCUACAAAAGGUAGUGGUGGCUCGCACCGUUUUCUCUUCUAUAAAAUAUAUCUUUUUCGAAGCUAAAAGGGCCCUUGCAAUCAAUGCCAAGAGAGUUCACAUCCUAAGGCUACCUUGCUCGUCUUUCUUUGCAGUAUAAAAAUCUUUCUUUCAAGGGAAAUGCAGUCCCAAUUCUUCCCAUCAAGGAAAGUAUCAAGAUGUUGUCUAAAAAGAAUGCAAGAGGGAUCGCUCCUUUUGUGUGGUUUGGAAUUGAGCAUUACCAAAAAAGUUAGGUUAUUAUAAUCAUAAACCUUUUCUCGCACUUUACACUGGUCAAAGACACAAGAUAAAUAAAUAAAUAAAUAAAUAAAAUGAAGCCGCUUUCAUUAGUCUUAUGAUUUUGUUGACGAAGGAAUCAUCUUGGUUGCUUCGUAUAUGACCUAGGAGGGUCUUAGCCUUCAACAUGAUCCAUUCAACGAUGAAUUAGUGUUUUUAGCAUAAGCAUUUGGCAUCUUCUCCCUUUCAAAUCCACAAAUUUGUUUGCUCUAAAGAUAUGCCUUACAAGUUUGAAAGCAAUAAAUUAAGCCUUUAAAAAAAAAUAAAAAAGUGAUGGUCCAAUUAAGACCAACCCAUCAAGCCAUGUGGAUCCAGAUAGCACAGUCCCGUAAUCCUUCCACUGCCAAGAGCGGGAGGUAUUCGCUGCUCUGUGAAACCAGCCUCACGCUGUGCCCUCCACUCUAGGAGUCAUGACACCCCAGUUUACAGGAGGAUGCCAUGGCUCAACUCAUGGCUUGGAACGGGCAGGCCAGAUUCGAGCCCCACCGAACUCAGUUAUCUAAGCUAAGGCAACGUUCCAUCACAUCAAAGCUCCCACUUGGGUCACAAGCCCACGUUACUGAGCUCAGCAGAUCUGCUAUGGGGAUGAACGAGUGUUGUAAAGUAGUGGUAUGUUUUCUUUUCUUUCAAUGUGGGAUUUCAUUCACACCUCAAUCAGGUGGUUUAUGGGGGGAAUCUGUCAAAGAAAACACUGCACUGAAAAUAAAAACGAAUAAGAUAUUGAACCCAAAUCGCAUUGAAAAUAAAAACGAAUAAGAUAUUGAACCCAAAUCGCAUUGAUUGUGACAAGCAUUGUGCUGGGGGGGUUAUUAGACAUUGGAGAGGAUGUGGAGUGUCAAGUUCGUGGCUCUAAUCAAAGACAAACAAUGGACCAUGGUUACGUCAACUUUAGAUGAAGAGAAAGUAGAAGGGCCUAGAUGGAUGGAAUGUGGUUCAAUUAUAUUUUUAAAAAAUUUUGAUUUUUUUUAUUUUAAUUUAAUUUUUUUUGGAUGUUUUUGAACCGUUCUGAUUUACUAAAAUUAAAAAUAAAUUUUAAAAAAUAAAAAUAUUUUAAUUUAUUUUCAAACAAAAACAUUUUAAAAAAUAACUUCUACGAUCUCGUAGAAUAAUUGCAUGCUAAUCUCAAAAUAAAGCAAGAAUCUUGUGAGGUCACGGGAUAGGAAUUCAUUCUAUAAGCAAGGUAUGGAUGGCUAGAAACACACAGGAUGGAUGGAUUUUAAGCCCUCUGUGCUACAAAUGAGAUUCCACUCUUUCUGCGAGAAAAUGCCAAUACUCUAAAGUAAAUAAGAGAUAAACUUCGUUAAGAUCUAGAAAAACCUUAAUUCCUUCUAAGAUAAUCAUAAAGCAUGUCUGGACGCUAUGGAGGCCCUCUCUGUUUACGGUCAAAGACAAAAAAAAUGAAGCCAUUUUCAUUAGAUUAUGAUUUGAUUGACAAAGGAAUCUCUUUUGCUUGACUGGUACGUGUCCGAUCUCAGCGGCAGUCCAUUUUCUUCCACUGGCACCUGUUACGUCAUUGCACUAGCAUUUGGCAACUUGUUGUGUCUUUUAAACCUUUAUCAAACCCGGCUCGGGAUUGAACCGGUCAAAGAAUUGAGCUCUAGUUAUACAGGUUGAUUUAAAUAAACCUAAAUCAACUUGAAAAAAUUAAAAAAUAAUAUAUGUUAUUCAUGUUAUAAAUAAUUAGAUUUUAAAAAAUAUUUUAAAAUGUUUUCUAAUCCACGUAAAAAAAAACAUAAUUUUUUUAUUGUGAGCAUUGAAUAUAUAAAGAGCUUCAAAUAUAAAAAUAAAACAUAUUUUUAUUAUUUUAUAUUUAUAUAAUGAACUUUAAAUUAAUAAUUAACUGAAAAAAACAUAAAAAAAAGAAUUUUUGAUAGGAUGAAAACUACAUUUGAACAAAAAAAAAAAAAAAAUAUCUACCAAAUUUUAACGGAUCACCUAAAUUCCAGGUUGAUUCAACCAGUCAAAUAAUUUUCUCCAGGCUAACCCAAGAUUCAUGACUCUGUCGAAGAUUCGUAAAACAAAAAAGAAACGAUUACAAAUUAAAAAAAGUGACGGUCCAAUUAGACCAGCUCUUCAAGCCAUGCAGAUCCAGUUGGCACCGGCCCGUAAUCCUUCCACUGCCAGGAGCGGGAGGUGAUCGCUGCUCUGUGAGACCAGCCUCACGCUGUGCCCUCCCCUCUAGGAGCCAGAACACCCAGGUCUUCACUAGGAUGCCUUGGCUCAACUCCUGGCUUGGAACGGGCGGGUCAGAUAAGAGACAGCCUGAACCCGACCUUACGUGCAUAGUCCACGUCCCAUCACUUUAAAGCCCCCACUCAGGUUACAAGCCCGCGUUACCGAGCUCAGCUGGUAAGCAUGUGUCAGGAUUAGGUAUAUAACAUUCAUAUAUUUUUCCUUUCUUUCCGAUGUGGGAUGUUCCUCUCUUACGUGUUCAUUAGGGAAAAAGCUUUGAAUGAGCAAAAAUCUCGGGGCAUAAAAGGUAAUAGAUUCAGGAAGGAGAGGAUUCUCCACUUUCUGGAGAAUCUUGCACUAGGUAAACAACAAGAGAAAUUACAUCAUGAACAAUAACUCACGUUCAUGUGUUACCAAACAGCUUGUAGCUUCAAAUCGCAGGAAACGUGGACGCCACCACGUUGCCAAACGGACUCUAAGUCAAUGCAUACUUUUUUUUUUUUUUCAACGUUGGACAAGUAGAAGUGGUGAAAGGGUUGCAUAAAAUUGAAAGAUGAUUGAUUAAUGAAUCAAUGGCAGCAAAAGUUAAGAUCAUGAACCUUGAUGGCUGUAGAACCAUUGCUUUGAAAACAACUCUUUAAUGUAUAUCUUCGACAAUCAUGAUUUAAUUAAAAACAUGAAAAUGAAGAGAAAAAAAGAAUCUCGUUGUCCAUUUGCUGUCAAACUAUGCUGUUCGAAACUCCAGGAGUAGCCUCUUACAUAAGAGAUAACCCUAAAACCAAUAUGGCUGUAACACCAGCAUAAACAGAAAAAAUGGAAGUUAAACCUCACAUUCCUGUGAAGGCCUUCUUCCCACUACAUGGAAAUAUACUACAAAUGAAAUUCCACUAUUUCUGCAAGAAAAUGCCAGUAUUUUAAAGUAAAUAAGAGAGAAACUUUGUUUAGAUCUAGAAAAACCUUAAUUUUCCUAUUAUUAACUAGAACUAAAUAGUGUGGUGUUUUUACUAUGCCCUGCCUCAAUUGUUCAUCCUCUUAUAUUUUACUGUAGAUAGACUAUGUAAAAUUUUAUAUUUUUUUUUUGUACUCGAAUUGUUUUUGGGCAAUUUAGUCUUAAUUAAAAAACAAUUGAUUUUAAAUUCUUAUGAAAAGAUGGGGUUGGAAGAGGGGAGAAUAAAAUGAAAAACACGGCAAACAUGAGUGACGAGCUAUAAGUUUCCAAUUCUAUUUUGGUACAAAAAAAUUAUUUUUGUUAUUUUUUCAUAUUUUUAUUAUUUUAAUUAAUGCUUCUUUUUUAAAAAAAAAAAAAAACUUAAUUAUUUGUACAUUGAUACUCCUCUUUUUUAUUAUGUUUAGAAAGCCUCUUUUAGAUGAAGGUGAUUUUUAGUUAUGUGUUUAAUUUUUGAAAAUAUUUUUCUAAUUCAUCUAUGAUAUAUAUUUUUUUAUCUUUUUUAUAGAUGAACUAUAUUUUUAAAAAUAAAAAAUAUUAAUUUUCAGAUGAUAUUUUCAAUAUGUGUAGCCUUGUAUAUUAUUCAUGUUCUCCUUUUAUUUUAUUCAAUCAAUUUAAUAUGUUUGUCUAUUUUUAUUAUCAUUUGAUUAAAUAAAAAAUAUUUUAAUAAAUAAAAAUUAGCAAACAUGAUCGGGUUGAAGUCCCGUUUUACGAGAUUAAAUAUCUUAAUCUAAAUCUGCUACGAUUUUUCUAGUUUUAUGUUUAGAUGUUGUUAAUUAUUAUUUAUUAGAGUACAUAGUUUUCAAUUUAUUUAAUUAUAUCCGUGAAUAAAUUUUUUGAAUUGCAUAUACAUUUUUUUAUUUAUAAAAAUACAUAGAGAAACUUGUAUAUAAAAAAUAAAAAUAUUUAUUCAUGGACAAGUACAAGUUACAUAACUAGUGAUAAUCAUAAAACAUGUCAUGAUGCCAUGGUGGCACUCACUGUAUAUGGUCAAAGACAAAAAAAUGAAGCCAUUUUCAUUAGAUUAUGAUUUGAUUGACAAAGGAAUCUUUUUUGGCUGACUGGUACUAUCUCAGGCAGCAGUCCAUUUUCUUCCACCUUCCACUGAGUCACUGACAGCUGAUGUGCCAUGCUCAUUUCGGGUAGUUGGUAUAAAAACAAAAAUCAAAAACUUAAUCGAACCGCUAUGCCAAAUGGACUCUGAACCAUGAAUUGGGUCACCUGUUACGUCAUUGCUAGUUUUAAACCGCUAUGUUGAACAUAUAAACAAAAAAAAUGAUAAAAGUGAUGGUUCAAUUAGAUCAGCCCAUCAGGCCAUGCGGAUCCAGGUGGCACCGGCCCGUAAUCCUUCCACUGCCAGGAGCGGGAAGUGAUCGCUGCUCUGUGAGACCAGCCUCACGCUGUGCCCUCCCCUCUAGGAGCCACGACACCCAGGUCUUCACUAGGAUGCCUUGGCUCAACUCCUGGCUUGGAACGGGCGGGCCAGAUAAGAAACAGCCUGAACCCGACCUUACGUGCAUAGUCCACGUCCCAUCACUUUAAAGCCCCCACUCGGGUUACAAGCCCGCGUUACCGAGCUCAGCUGGUAAGCGUGUGUCAGGGUUAGUUUUAUAAAGUUCAAAUAUUGUUCCUUUCUUUCCGAUGUGGGAUGUCCCUCUCUUACGUGUUCCUUAGGGGAGCUUGAAUGAGCAAAAUCUUGGCAUAAAAAGUAACAGAUUAAGGAAGGAGAGGAUUCUCCACUUUCGAUGGAGAAUCUUGCACUGUUGCACCAGGUAAACAAGAAGAGAAAUUACAUCAUGAAAUCACUACCCAAGUCAAGGCAUACUUUUUUUUUUUUUCUUUUCAACGUUGGACAAGUAGAAGUGGUGAAAGGGUUGCAUAAAAUUGAAAGAUGAUUGAUUAAUGAAUCAAUGGCAGCAAAAGUUAAGAUCAUGAACCUUGAUGGCUGUAGAACCAUUGCUUUAAAACCAACUCAAAAUAGCUCUAGCGAUUUAGGUCAUGUUUGUUUGCUGGAAAAUAAUUUCUUUUUUAAAAUGAAUUUCAGAAAAAUAAAUUAUUUUCUGAUAUUUGGUAAUAUAAUGGAAAAUAAGUUGGAAAACACUUUCUAGUGUUUGAUUAUAUCAUGGAAAAUGAGUUGGAAAAUAACUUAUUAAUGUUUUAUUUUUCUCAAGUUUAUUAAAAUAAUAAGGAACAAAUCUUACAAGUUAAAAAGUUGAAUGAGAAUAAAAUUAAAAAAAAAUAUAAUUUCAUAAAUUAUCUCAAAUAAAAUAAAUAAUAAUCAAAAUAAUAAAGAUCAAAUCUAAAAAAUAAAAAAUAAAAAAACGAAGAAAUUAAAAUAAUAAUAAUUAACAUUUCAUAAAUUAUUUCAAAUAAAAUAAGUAACAAACAAAAGAAUGAGGACCAAAUUUGAUAGAUAAAAAAUUUCAAUAAAAAAAUGAUAAGGAAAAAGCAAAUAAUAAUUAUAAAAAUGAGGAGCAAAGUUAAUAUAAAAAUUAAAUUUUAAGAGAUGAAAUUGAAAAAAAAAUAUUCAAAACAAAUAUAUAUAGCAAUCAAAAGUUUGAGGACCAAAUUUGAUAUAAUCAGUAAAUAAUAUGAUAUUUUUAAAUUUUUCACAACUUCCGGAAAGUGUUUUCCGCCCAAAUUUUUCAGGAAGACACUUUCCUAGAAACCAAUUUUUCUGGAAACCAAGCCAAAGUUUUCUUUGACUGGAAAGUGUUUUCCGUUUACCAACUUUUCUAAUGACAAACAAACACAGGAAAGUUUGGAAAGAGAUUUCCUGAGAAUCACUUUCUGGAAAACAAACACAGUCUUAACUUGUAAUAACAAACAAAAAGUACAAAUCUUGUAAGCACAAAUCUUAACUGCAAACGUAAGAAAGUAACCAUGUCUUUAUCAGAAGUUACACAGGCCAAUCUUUCAAAAAAAAAAAAAAAAAAAAAGGAAGAACACAGAUGAGCAAAAAAAAUUGAUGGUUUUAUUGUUCAAAAAAGGAUAAAAAAUACAGAAUCCUAUCUGUUUGUUGAUGAAAUAGCUAGUCCUCUUCCUGCCAAUUACUGCCCAAGACCAACACCACUCUUUUCUGAAUUCCUCUGAUUUUAGGAUUUUUUCUGGCCUUUAUUUUUCAGACACUAAUCUCCAUAUAUUCCCACUGAAAAUCACAGGCAACAGAGGUGAUGGGCAAUCUAUGUCGCCAAGGAGUUGGAAGAAUUUCAUGAGCCCAAGUUACCGCACCAUUCAAUGCUCACUGUUAUCCAAAUCUUUCAACCAACAGUAGGGACUCCAUCACAAGAGGCUCAACUGUGAAUUCAUUCAAGGGGAAAGAGAUAUUUAUGGCACUUCAAUUACAAAUUCAUUGCUCCCACAAAGAGGUGCACUAUAAGCUAUCCAUAGAGAGAGGUGACGCCCUUUCCCUUUCGUUAACUCUCAAGAUCCUCGCGGCUAGAGUUUUAGGUUUAGGACAAAAAAAAAACUGAGAAUAAUAAUUGUAGAUUAGAUACAGCAACUUCUGCUGUUAAAAAUUGGGAAAAAAAAAUUAUUAGAUGCCAGCAGUGUCUACUAUCUAGACACCAUCAAAUGAUCGUCACCAUCAAAAGCUCUAUAAAAAGAGAAUUGCAAGACAACAGGACACCCUUGCAUGUGCCUGAGCAGUCUUUCAUCACCUGCCAUGUAAUAUGCACCUUGCUAAAAUCUUCGAUUUACUCAAUAACUCGUGCGGAUGAAGCAACAAAUUCCAAUGCUAUUGAUAAACAGUAGCAGUGGUAUCUUCGACAAUCAUCAUUUAAUUAAAAACAUGAAAAUGAGGGGAAAAAAAAGAAUCUCAUUGUCCAUUUGCUGUCAAACUAUGCUGUUCAAAACUCCAGGAGUUGCCUCUUACAUAAGAUAUAACCCUAAACCAAUAUGGCUGUAACACCAGCAUGAACAAAAAAAAUGGAAGUUCAACCUCACAUUCCUGUGAAGGCCUUCUUCCCACCAGCAGCAGAACCAGCUGGAAUCACUUUCAAUACAUUAAAUCUAACAGUCUUGGACAGUGGCCUGAAAUGGUAAGAGGCAAAUAUUAUGAAUUGAAGGCCAAUUGCAUAUACAAUAACAGCUAAAUCACAUUCAAGAUAAAUGAUAUAAAAUAAAACUUUGGGUGGUCAAAAUUUAACCUGCAUUGUCCGAUGAUGACAUGAUCGCCUUCCCUCACACGGAAGCAUGGGGAUACGUGUGCUGGAAUAUUUGAAUGCCUCUUCUCAUAUCUAUGGGGAAAAAAUAAUAUUUAAAUUAUAAUGGUGUGAUAAUAUGCACUGAAAAACACCAGAACUAAAAUUGGACUAGACCUUUGGUAUUUCUUGACCCAGUGAAGAUAGUUCCGCCGAACAAUAAUUGUCCUCACCAUCUUGGCACUAUGACAAGUUCCAGCUAAGAUACGACCUCGAAUAGAAACAGUGCCGGUGAAGGGGCAUUUUUUAUCAAUAUAAGUUCCUGUCAGAAGUAAACAUAUGGGAGUACAACGUCAGCAAAUUUCACAUUCUACAAAAAUAUCAUGUGAAGGAGAAAUUACAUGAAAGAGGCACAUAUGAAUCAAGUUGCAAACGAAGAACUUGGCAUAAAAAACAUGGAUAGAAACACAAGCAUGGAGACAUAUCAACAGCAUUUAAAGAGAUCGUGUCCAUGGCACUCGACAUGUGUGAUUAUUUAAUAACUAUUUAAAUUCCAUAUCAUCAUCGACAAGGUUCUAAUUCCUCCAUAUCACACAUUGAUUUGUAACAAAGCAAGUUAAUACAUAAACGAAAUAUAUUAGUAUUUACAACCCUAUGAUCAUAGAACAUAUCUUGGUUACUUGACUCCAUUAUCCAUUAAAAUCAGUGCAUUCAACUAGAAUAAAAUAUACAAAGCUCAAUAAAAUUACAAACAUGAAAGCAUCAUAAGAAUGACACAACUAUAAAAGACAAACCUUCAGUGGCUUCUCUGGGAGUCUUGAAACUCAAUCCAAUACUCUUCCAGAAUCUGUUUCCACCUUUUCCAGGCCUCUUUCCUUUCCCAGAUUUCUUUGAACUGCCAAAAAAACACAAACAAAUCAAAAAACACAAAACAGCAAAAACCCACAUCAAAUAAAAAGACCCCAAAACAGAAAGUUCGCCUCUUUUGCUGUUCUAAUACAUUACCUGAGAAACACUUUGGGUUGUUUCAAAAAUGCCUUUUCAGUCUGCAACACAGAAAUAAAGAAACCAUAAUGAGAGCUCAUAAUAAGAUCUAAGACUAAACGUGUUUGGAGUAGAAGCAGUGAAUAGCAAGAGAGUGUGUUGCGAGAACCUGCUCAGCCAUGAUUUACAGCUGUUUGUGUUCUCUACAAGGACCUGAAACAGCAGGAGGCAAAAGAUACAAAAGAGAGAGAGCCUCUUGCUGAAAUGAGCAAGCUUUAAACCCUAUUUUGCUCGCUGAUAUGUAGUAAUAAUUUUUUGUUAAAUAAAUGGGCCUUGGUGGUCCUUUUCAAUACAGAGUUUGGUAAGAUACUAAUAUAUCUUACCGGAUAUUUUUUAAAAAUAUAAAAAGAUAUUAAAAUUACAGAGAAUUUUUUAAUAAUAUUUUUAAAUUUGAUUCAAUUUUAAAAUUUUCUGAUUUAAUUUUUUAUCUAAUUCGAGUUUUUGAAUUUUAAAUUAAAUCAUAUAAGACCUAACUCAACUUAAAUCGAUUAAUUUUAUAGGUUCAAAUACAACGUUGAUGAUCGGUAAAAUCAUGACUUUGCUUUUAAAAAAACUUGAAGAUGAUAACUUUGAAAAAAAAAAUUAAGAUAAUAACGGAUUGAAUUGACUUCGAUCUCCCCGCGAUACAGGUCAUGGACUCUACUGGGUUCAAUUACUUUUUUAUACACUAUUUUUAUUUAAUUAUAUGAUAAAAAUAAAUACUCAUAAAAUUGAGAUCCAACCUAAAAAUAUACAUUUGAGAUAGUUAUCCCUAUAAAAAGCAAACAAAAAUCAAUUAUAGAUUCUAUUUCCUAACCAAUCCAAUAUUGAUAGAUGCAAUAGAAAAAAUAAUUAAAAAUAAUUAAAAGACAAAAAAAAAUCCAACCGAUGGGUAAACUCGUCAAACAUGUGAAUCGGGUAACCCGGGCUAGUAUACCAAACUUGUGAAUCAGGUAAUGGACUCCACUAACAUUAUAAUUUUUUUUAAAAAAGUAUUUUUUUAUGUAACUAUAUAACAAUAAAAAUAGACGAUUGUGAAAUCAAAUACCAUCACAAUACCAAGAUGUUUUUUUAAGACUGUGAUAACAUCAAAAAAGACAAAAUAAAACCAAUCAUGAAACUGAAUCCUCAAUCAACCCAAAAUCUCAGGUGAAAUAAAAAAAAACUAAUUAAAAAAAAAUUGAACUUGUCAUACCUACUAACCAGCACAAACUCACACUACAUUGUGUUUAAUUUUUUAUCAAAUAGAAUUGAGGUAGUGAAAUUUAAACUUGAAACCACUUGAUUAAUAAAGCUCUGAUACCAUGUCGAAUAACCAUCUUAACCUAAAAACUUAAACUGUUAAAUGAUAUUCAAAUAUAUAAUUUUAUAUUAUUCUCUAACACAAUGAGUGUGGAUGAACAGUGGUUUCCCCACGUCUUUUAAUUUUUAUUUGUUUAUAAAGUUUAAUAACAUGAUUUUCUCCGAAACUAGAACAACCUGAGUUACUUUGACAAACAUGUAAACUACGCUAAUCUCAUAGGAAAACAAAAUAAUAAUAAAAUAAAUUACGAAGCUAAAUUCUUAACUUUUUUAAUAUUAAAAAAUAAAAUCAACAAAAAUAAUUUUUAAAAAAAUCAUAACAAAAAAAAAAAAAAAAGGAAGAGUGGUAAAGCAUCUCUAUAUAUUUUUUUUACUUCAACUAAAAUUUUUUAUAUUUUUUUUAUAUUUUUAUAUCGUUUUGAAAACUAAGAUAAAAAAUAAACUUUUAAAAAAUAAAAAAUAUAUAAUUUCUUAAUAAAACAACAAAAUCCCUUGAACUUGGGAAGAAAAUAGUAAAGGAAACAAUCUUCAAUUUUAGGAUAAUGUCAUGUUAGUGAUUUGGAUUGUAUUUAAACACAAAUACUAAUAUUAGCAUAAACCAUGUUCAAAUAUAAUGAAAGGAUUUGACAAUUGAUACCCAUCUUUGACGUCCCUUGUCUUUGGUUCUCCUCCCGGAUGCAAGAUCAUCAAACCUUGCAUUCUAACAAGACACUUACAAAACCUGGUAGCUAAACUAGUUUUUUACAUGUUACCAUCAUGGCAACAUAUUCCAAGUCCACCGUCUGGUGAAAGCAUCCACCGGAAAUUUUAACUUCUAGCUUUCCCUCUAGAUCCUGAGCAAGAAACAACACAUGGAAUAUGAAAAUAACAAUGAUAAUACAUGCACAGCCCCUACUCUCUCCCCCUUGAAAGCCAUCCACAAAGCUCACAUGAAUGUCCAUAAACGCACAUGGAUGCAAAGGGAAGAAAUAUAGUAAUAUAAACUGAUUGCGCUGAAUAAUUACUUUCUGAAUAGUAAUGUCAUAUCAAACCUUCCCAGCAAUCACAUACCAGGGCAAACGAGUAAAAACCAAACAUAUGGUGAUGAAGUAUUGAAAAAUAGUUGAAGCUAAUUUGCCUAAUAGGACUCCGAAGUAUACAAAGCCGUAAUGUUACAGUAUGGAAACCAAGCAUUUCAUCUCAACUCAUUGCCUAUUAACUUGAGAAAAUGACCAACCAUCAUUGACAUGUUACACUAAAUUGAAAAGAUAAGACCAACCGCCAUUAACCUAUAGAAGAAACACAUGAUUCUUUAGCUGUCUGAGAUCAUAAUCACAAGUUCAGCUCUUGAAUCCUUUGUCCACAGAUAAAUCACUCAGUCUGCACCAGCAAAUAAGAUCAAUAAAAUAUAUAAUAAUAAAGUUUCCAGAAUGAAAAAUGUAAAUUUAAUUCCAUCAUUUUGAUUUCAGUAAUGACUAAAGAAAAACUUUAAGAAUGGUGAAAUUCUCAGCAGAAUAUUUGCCAUAUAUUGAACAACACAGAGAUCCUGUUAUAAUAAGCCAAAUGCUUAGGUAGUGAUAGACAAAGCAUUGGCAGAAACUUUUCCACAAUGCUUAACGUUGCAUACUUAUUUAUUAUAUAUAGAUCUUGUGCAACAAAUUCUACCCAUCCUCUGAGGCUGCUUGGAGCUUUCAAAAAAUAUAACAAAUUCUACUCAUUUUUAUCACAUACUGGAUGACAUUGUACAAAAAUACUUGAUAUUCUAGGAAUGCAACAAAGGGAAACAGAACAAUAACCAGAGACUCAUAUAACAGAUUGUUACCGAAUUGUCUCUAAAUUCAUUGAAUUCAUCAAGGCUAAUCUAUACUCAUUGUAUAAUAACUUCUUACUGCAUCUCAAAAACUUAUAUUUACUGUUAAUUUUAAUACAGCUGAAGGAUGAGAUGGCUGCACAGAAAAGAAAAGAAAUGAAAUUCCUUAAACAUGCCAGACCUUUUGGCGUUUUGAAUUUGGAGGGCUUGGUUCCGUAUCAUGGCCACGAGAUGUUCCAAUGCCAGAGUUUUCAGCCUGCAAAUAUGCCACCGGUUAGUCUUGUAGUUCUGAUGUUUUUAUGCACACAUCAAUUUAGCUUGACAUAUUUACAACAUCAUGCCAACACCUUCAAGAUUCAUUUGAUUGGGUGAAGCAAGAAAUCCAGAAUAGUAAGGGACAUGAGAUAAGUAUCCAUUGAAAGAUAACUGAAAAUGCUACAUACAUGGGUUGAAGAAUCUCGAGGCCUCUGAUUCCCAGAGUUCUGUGCUUCUCCAGGAGGUAUGGCACUGGGUUCUGCACCUCCACUUUGAGAUAUGAGGGGCAUGAUCUCACGAAGCAAAUUAGACAGAAAUAUCCCCUCAUCAGUAGCUCUUGGUUCUGCUUCUGCAGUAGCAGUAGAUUGCCCUGCAGUCUCAGGGACAGAACUAGUAGUUGUUCCUCGUAAGCUGGCAUCCUCCAUAUGGAUAUCACCAGGUAAGAUGGUCCUCAGAAGCUGCAAAAUAUUGUCGGGGAUAUGUCGUUCAGAAUCCUGGUUGUUUUGGGCCCCACUAGCUGACAGAAUGUUGAUACUUAUACUGCGAGAAAUAGAAGGCUCUUGUCUCAAGUUUGGUGGCAAUGAUCCUGGAAGAACAGCAAGGUUGGUCAACUAGUAUAGAACAGCUGAUUAAGCUCAUAUCUUCUCAUACAGUCAUAUCAUCAACUCCUAAAGCAAGAUACAGCGAGCAACCAUCAAAACUUUGACUACUAUACACAACAUUAACUUCAAUUGAAUUUCUACAUGAUAUUGUGAACUGAAAAAAACCGAUUUCUUGCAAGCCUGUAACGAUAUGUUCUCAAAGGUCCCCAAUCAAAUCUUUAGGAAAUAAACAUAUGGAAGAAAACUCAGGACACUUUUAAAAAAGGAGAAUACAACACAAACAUUAUUUUCCUUAUUUUUUAGGGUGAGGAUGGGGUGCUCUUAUUGACUGGUGCUAGGAAGAAUCCACUUCAGCAUCCUAAAGGAAAGCCUUUCAUCAUGUACUUAAAUGGUACAAUAACAAUAAAUACAACUCAGAAAACAGCAUUGAGAAAUUGGCUGCAUGGCAGGUAAGUUUUGCUGCAAAUUGGAAUCCAUAUGCGUGGAUCAGAAUAAUCAAAGAAGGGUGUGUAUGUGUUAUAGUAGUAAGCAUGAUACUUUUACUAUGAAAUUUUAAGAAAGAAAGAUAUAUGUGGAAUGUUCAAAAAUAGCAAUAUAUGUGGAAAUCGCCCUUCCUCCCUCGUUCAUGCAGGAUUGAAAUGAUUAUUGAAGACUCAAAAGAAUGUAGGGGAAAAACAAAUAACACAAAAAAGCAUAAGCCAUAGGGGACUGGCAAAUAUAUCAACCACCAUUAACAGCAGCACAAGUAAAGCCACUGAUUGACACGCAUGUAUUCAUGAGUAAGAUGAACCAAAACAUCCCCUUUCAAGCCUCCUGAGCUUGCACUGGAAAAGAUGUCCACAACUACAAACUUAAGACUUUUCCAUGAGCCAAGUAAUCCUCAAAACUUCAUUGAACUGCAGUAUUGUCACAUUACCAUCUCUUGUGCGUUGUUCAAAGUUUUGCUGCUGCAAAGCAGGUUCAGGAGUUGGCAGCUGCUCAGUUUGGACCUCAGCAGUGUGAUAUUCACCAGAUGCUUGAGAUCCCCGCCCACUAUUCCCAUGCCCAGAAGCUACAUUUUGAAAUCGUCCAAGAAGAGGAUAGUAUAGACCUAUAGAAUUACCAGAUGAAUCAGAAGGAAGGCGGCCAAAUGUGCCAGGAACAGCUGCAACCACCGUUCUAAGAGGCACCACUCGUACAGGCUCUCCAGCAAAAGAUGAACCCUCUGAGAGCCUUGAACUUGUUUGACUACUAGGAUUUUCACCACCAGAACUGGUUGGUGGGUUUCUCUGCCCAGCAGUUUGCUGUGUCUGACCAUGUUCCUCACGAUUAUUGUUGGGGGUAGCUGUCGAUGAACCUUGGGUAAAAUAAGAAUAGUUGUAAGUAGAUUCACACAUCAGAAAUACCAUACAUAUUAAUUAUUCCAGACAUCAAAUUUGAAGAAAACCUCUUCGUAUUUGUAUAUCAAUUCGCCUUGGAAGAAACCCGGUACCGACACCAUUAGUCAGACCAGAUCCAGGCUGCAUGGAUCCUAAAGGGACAGCACCAAAGCUUGUCCCUGGUUGAAAAGGAAGAGGCUGCAUGCAUAGGAGUGAUCAGCAGAGAAACAUAAUUUAAAGAAAAAUGAAAAGAUGAAAAACAAGAGGAAUUUGUAUGGAUGUCUGGAUUAUGACCUGAACCAUGAGAGGAUUAGGACCAGAUUGAUUGAUAAAAACAGCAGGGCCCGCAUUAACCACAGCUUCAGACUGUAAAUAAACAAACCACAAUGACACAUACAGCUCGGGAGAUGUCAAGCAUGAAAGGUUGCCAUAAAUGAGAAAUUGGAGAUAAUCUUACCGGUGCUUGACCUAGUCGUAAUGUCAUGCUUGUACGUCCAAGUUCGAGAAGAAGGGCACCUAAAUUAUGAAGUUGGACUCCAGUUCUCAAUGCACUAGACUGAGUUGCGUGUCGCGCUGCAGUAUCAGUAAUAUGUGCUUGAUUCUCUAGUUGUCUUGCAAGUUGCUGCCAACAUACAGAACAAACAGGGAGGGAGAUCCAAUGCAUUUAAGUUUUAGUUCUGAGAAUAAAUAAAAGAAUGGUAAAUGUUGAAAUAUUUCAAGGUUAAAAACUUAAAAGAAUCAAAUUCUAUUAAAAUUAUAAAAUGUUAAACAAAAAGAAGAAACAUAAUAAAAAGAUGACCACUUCCUAUGGCCGCAAGCAACUAAAUUCACUGGUAAAAAAUGGGAUAUACUGUUGGCUACCCAAAAAAUAAAGCAAGACAAAAGUAAAGAUAAUAGAGAACAUAUGAAGUAGAUAGAAUGCUUUUAAAUAACACACAAGUAAACAUUCUCCAACUUGUUCGGUGAGUAAUUGUCUACUAGACAGCAUCACUUCUGCCAAGGAUGCAGGUGAUGGAAGUCUUUCUUGUCCAGUUCCUGAUAGUGAUGUGGUAUUAGAAUCUAUUUGCUCCAUCCUGAGUGCAGCAUCUGCUUGAGCAAUGUUUUCCCCGCCUCUGCCUGUCAAUGAAGAGAAUUGAAAUCCAAUGGCCAAAUCAGCCCCAUUGAAGCAAAUGAUAUUUAUUAACCAUAGAGAAAUUUGCAAAAUACAGAUACUGACCGAUGGCAUCAAAUUCUCGCCUCAAAUUGCUCAGAUAUUGGGACAGAGUUGUCAGAGAAUCAGGAAUUACCUACAAGUACAAAUAAAAUAUUCCUAAUACUUAAAACUGCAAAAAGAUAUGCAGGCCAAAGAAUCCAUGUUGUAGAAAGAAGGUAGAGGGUGGAGAAGAAGAGGACUCCUAACUUACAGGAGGAUUCAGAGAUCCCAAGGAAACUGCUGUCGGAAGCCCAAAAACAUUCUGUGAUCUGUCAGACUGACCCCUGGUGCCAGUUUGUUCAGAUUGCAGUUGGCUUGCAUCCAUUGUGCCACCAGCAGCUGAUGUUCUUCGCAAACCACGCUCCUUAAAGAUCCAUCCCAGUCACAAAGAGCAAGACCCAAAACAUAAAUGAGCAUUUACAGGUAUGAAAAAGCAUUAAGGUCCAUCUUUCUAAUUUGAUAAAAUAUGAACCAGCUUGAUGUCUCAAAAUGUGUUUCACGUCUAAAGUCAAAUAAAAACUUAAAAUAGACAACUUCCAGAUACAAAAAUACUGGAAAUUUUACUUCGAAGACAAUUUGUUUGUUUGCCUCUGUGAGUAAGAAAAGAGGGAAGAAAUCUCCAUCCUUACCAACAAUAGAUUUUCAAGAGUAUAACAAUAAAGUAAUUAGUUUUAGAGGUUGGAAUUUAAAUAUUUACCACAUCGACCCCUUCACUGACACCUCCGAUAUUUGAAAAUCCAAAAGAUCCAAGAACAGCAGAGACAAUCUGCUCCAGAGAAUCAAUUAAGAGAUAAUUAUAAAACAAUUAAAUCAUCGGUAUGAAAAUCUAAAAUUGCUAUAUUCAAAAUCUAGUUGUAGCCGCACCCUACUGAUUUCUGGAGGAACUGCAUCCCCUUGAUCAGGCACACUAAAAGUUUCUAUUACAACACUGGGAGCCACCUGACCAGUGUGAUGGCUUGAACCUGAAGCAGGAUCACUGGCUGCAACAUUGACAUGCAGGAGUUACUCCAUGGAUAAUUUUACUAGCACAUGAAAGAUAACAUUAAAAAAAAGGGAAAGAAAAAAAGAAAGAAAUAAAGGUAUAUAAUUCCAUUUCAGAAAGCUCAGAUUAUGACAUAAACAGAGCAGUAUUGCUACAACAAUUACUAAGCUCCUAUAGAUGUCAAAAUGACUCAAUUGUUAUUUGUAGCGUGGUUGCUCUUUAAAUCAUUAGAAGCACCUAAAUAAAACUAUAAGCAUUAAAUAAGAACCAACAGAACACCACCACUUGCUUUUCUGAUUAAUCAUAUGGCAAUAUUGAGCACUUAAUGAAAUUAAUUACCAAGGAUAAUCUGUUAUAUCCAGAGUCCCAUUAGUCCAAACAAAUGUCAUAUUCGACAGAAAGGAUGAAUUUCAUAUCCAGUUGCUUCUCACAGAUGAACUAAUGUGUAUCAACCCCUCUGGGGGGAGGGGGGGUUGUUUCUAUACUAUACCAACCUUUUCGUGAAAAUAAUUCAAGGUGCACUGGAAACCAUACUCUAGCUGAAGUAAUGUGUAUCAACCCCUCUGUGUGGGUCAACAAUCCAUUAUGGCCAUUAAUUACCUUGUGCAGUAAUUUUUUGUUUUUCAAUAUUUACAGGCUGUGGGGCAUCUACAGGACCCUUUAGACCACCACACAACUAGUCCUCCACAGCUUUGGAUAAACUUGAAUUAGUAUCCUUUUUUGAGACGAACCUUGUACAGUUGAAGAAGAAGAUGAUGCAAGCAAAUGUUAAGGCAAGCCAAACCUGAAUGAUUGGAUAAGCCCUCAGAUGGUAUAGGUUGCCUAACUACCAGGUGCAAGGUGUGACCAUCUUCGACAUCUAACACAUGUUAAGAAAAUAAACCAACCAAACAAUAUAAUAAGACAAUAGUGCUAAUGAGUAAAAAAAGUACAGGGAUAUGAAAAUAUUCCUUAGGUAGCAAAUAAAGAAAUUUAACAAAGGAUGGUUUAUAGGUUUCUAGUUCAAUCAAUGAAUAUCCUGAUACAUUCGGGACCUAAUGUUUGCUAAUUUGUUCUGGAAAAGUAAAAUACUAACUAGUUCAUACCAUAUAUGUUUUGAUUCAAAUACUUCACCCACACUUAAAGUUUCCUUCUAGCAAAAAUGCACCAUUGCAACAAGCACUUGCCAGAAACCACCAGAAAACAAUUUACUUCAGAAAAAAGAAUUGCAGAUGUCGGCUUAUUUGGAAUAUGUACAUGUGUUUUUGGUUAUGCUUGGGUGUGAUACAAUCAAUUGAAAUGUGACACAAUUCUCUAUUCUCCACCUGAUAAGCUGUCCAAAGUCAUUCAUUCACCUAGAAGUAUGCUAAAGAUGAACCGAUGAAGAGACUUGUGCAGUCACAUGCAUCUACAGCACAUACCUUCAAACCUCUCUUUUGUCAAGGCUUUUUCCCCUUUUAUGUCCAUACCUAGUAUUUCAGACUUACAAUUCAGUGUUGCUGAGGGAAAACAUGAAACUGUUUAGCAUUGCAGGAUGAAUCUCAUGGACAUGGAGCACUAGCAUGUGAGCUCACUUGGAAUUUACACUUCAGCAUUACUGAAAUCAGCAGUGAGGAACAAAACUGCAACACUAUCCAACCACAAUUCAACAUUUUACCCGCCAAUGCACAAACUCCAAGGUGUCCCAAAAUAACUCUUUUGCAUCAAUACUGUCUUAAUGAGCUCUUUUCUACUUUUCUGCCUAGCUUUACAGUUUAACAGCAGAAAUAAAUGUGUCAUUGGUUCACUACUUAGGUAAUACCUUCAUCAAAACUGUUAAAAGAAAUUUGAAGUGAGCUUCUAGCUAUCUCCUCACUUUGGGUACACAAUCUUUUUUGUUAAAUAUUGUACUUUAGAGUUGCCCUUGAGCAUUAAGAAAAAAGGAUACGAUAGGCAGAGAGUAGUUGGUCAUCUUUUAAGACUUUUCCACGACAUAUUAGACGUUGUUGUUCUGAUAGCACGCCAGUGACAGAAGCAAUCUGUUCUUUUAAAGCAGGAACUGGCAUCUGCAUGGAUAUUCAAGAAAGGGGAAAGCAUGAUGAAAUUAAUGGCUUCCACAAACAAAAAAUCAUGCACAAGUUAUCAACUAGCAAAUCCCCACUCACAAUAUAAGCAUAAAGACCCUUUUAAGAUCAUAAUGCAGGGUGUACUCUUACAAUUAAGAAUUCAGUGGCAACAAAGAAUGUUUCAACAGUUUUAUAUGAAUAAAAGACACAGGGAAAUAGUGGAUCUUCUGUAAUUGCUUUCUGUCCAGUUUCUCAUGAGAUCUGCUUCUCAGUAUUAUUUGCACAAAUAUUCAGUAAAAUGUGGGACAAUCUCCACAGAUUUUUACAUAAGAGCUUGUUGAAGAGAUGUUCUUGAGAAGGAAAAUGAGUUGGAUGCUAGAGAGUGUAGCCUUUGUGUCAUCUGUAUGUAACUAGCUAGAUCAAAAAGGCACAUUGGAUCACUUAUAAGGACUAGAAAUUUUCUGACCAUGCUGGUGAAGAGGUUUUACUAGUAAUUGUUAAGACCACUCAAUUUCCUCUUCUUUCUACUCUUUCUAAGAUUCAGAUUCUAGUAACUCUCUGUCUCUCACCACAAUGACAGAAAUAUGAUCGAAGUGCAAUUUAGAGCUCUUGAAAAAGGAGGCAAAAAAAGACAUAAAAACAGAAAAAAAAAAAAACUAUCCUUAUAUAUAUAUAUAUAUCCCCGUAAUAACUGGCUUUGGGAUGUAUUUGAACUCAUUGAUCAUCUAAAGUAUUAUAGCAAGUUUACAAAACAUACACACUGCAAUGACAUGAGCCAUGGUUCAGUGGGAGCAAAAAAUUACCUGUUUAUCCACUCUCAAAGUAUAGGUUUGAGAAUCCAAUGUUUUUAUUUUUAUUUCAAUGUUUGUUUCAGAACCCUCUGCCUCACCAGCUCCAUGAAUUUUAUCAGCAAUAUUACUUCCCAUUCUCCUCAGACGAAUGGAUACCUACAAACAAGAAAGGAAAAGAAACAAAUGAAGGAAAUUAGGUUUGGGAGUUGCUAGGAUGAGGCAACAGCAUGCUUGUCAAUAAACCAGAUAAGUCACAGUAUUAUAUUGGUAAGAUAGAUAAGGUUCCUCAGGAAACAGUAAGUCAAUGAGUGCCCUAAUGCCAACAAAAAGGGGUGUCGGUUCCCUUCAUUGUGGUCAUAAUACAUCAUUGUUUCGAGAGAGAGUGAAGAUGUGCAGAAAUGCAAGAACAAAUAACAAAAAUCAGCAAGCAGACCACUCUCACAUUUAGGGAAAUCUCAGCAUCCACCACCAUAUAGACAUAUUGCCAUAUCAAUAUGUACUUCAAGGCAAUUUGAAACACUGUUUCCUUUCCCCUUUUUUAUUUGUCUCUUCUCUUCAUUUUCUUUUUCUUUCCUUUUCUUUUCCUUAUUUUAGUGUGUGUUAUAUGAGACAGUUAGAAAAAUCUCCAGACUUGCAAAACACAUAAUCAUGGUAACGGUAAUGAACAACAUGACAAAUCCUGCAGCCAACUACCAUGGACCGCAUUGAUCUGAUUGAUGAUAUUCUUUCCAUUUUUUGCUGAUUUGGUAGGAUAUCGCUCACUAGACGAAGAUGGCGAUUGCUCAAGAGUCCCCUGCUAGAUAUUGAUAUUUUAUGAUGUCACAGAAGAGAAACAUAACAUCAUGUUCUCAAUUGAUAGGUUAUAUGAUAUGUCUUUGGUGUGUUAUAUUAUGUCUACAGCGGUCAAGACCGUGCUUUCCCAACUCCUCCCCUGCCUUCUCUAAUUAAAUGGGAAAACUCAUAAGGAUCAUCAAAUGGAACAUUUUUUGUUACCAGGAGCAGAAAACAAGUUCCAAGAUGUCAUGUGUAUAUCUGUAUGCACGCCCACAUUGCAUUUUGCUCCACAUCGAAAUCAACUUCAGACCAUAAAUCUCAGGAUCAAAUCCAUGCUAUAUAAUGUAGAAAUCAAGCUCCAAGAAGUAAUGUCUCCAGUCCCAAGUGACAUUACUGGCAUAUUUAUAAGCCAUAUCCCGCUUCACAUAGUGAAAUUCAAUGUAAACUCUAAAUUUGAAGAAUUCAAAAUCCAAGCUUCUACCAUCAAAACAGCUCAUCUAGAAUUGGGGCCUGCUCCCGAUUCAAAACUAAUCGGUAGACGGGGAAAAUCAUAGAGUAAAUUCAAAGAAAAAAGUAAACUACUGCACAAAUCAAGACAUUUCCAUUGACCAACAGAUUGAGAACACGGAUAAUGAUUUUUUACCACAUCUAUGCACCCAAAGAGGGCGCCUUCAUCCCUAAAUAUCACUAAACACCAAGAAUUGACAAUCUUUACUUCCACCACUCACACUUCAAUCAACAUAAAUCACUUAAGUUGGAGCUUAAUCAAGUUGCCACAUCCCAAUAAGCAACCUUUCCCUUAACGCAAAUGCAAACAAUCAAAAUCCCAUUCCCCAUUUAUCUCUCACUCUCUAGGGUUUACCGAAUCUUGAUCAAACAAAAAAAGCUCAAGACUUUCAAUUUCUGGGUCCUAACCAGUCAUCAAAAGCAUGCAAACCAACCCAUCAAGUUCCGAAUGACAACCCAAUUCACACAAUUAAGAAAAUCGAUAAAAGACAGUAGACAAGAUAAGAAAGGAGUCAGUAAGUUACCUGAGAUAAAAAGAAAGAAAAUCUGGUUUGAUAAGGAGAGAGAACAGAUAGAGGGAGAGGGAGAGAUAUAUAGAAAUGACAGAGAGAGAUGCCGUGUCUGCGUGCUAUCUCUCUGUGUAUUUUGGAGCUGACACCUGAAUUUAUAUUACACAAGAUCAAAAACUCUCUCUCUCUCUCUCUCUUCCCUGUCAACUAUGUAGUGUUGUGGCCAGCGUAGGACGAGGUUUGCAAAAAUUAUUCAGGUUUUUCUCCUCUGUACAUUUUUUUUUAUCUCUCUUUUUACUGGUGCGGUGGGCUUUUUACUUUUUACUGUUGGUAAAUUGGUUGGUAGCAGCACAAAUUAUUACUGUCUGACAAUGUGGUAAUUUUUUUUAUUGCGUUUAAAAAUCACAUUUCACUUCUAAAAAAAACCCUUCUAGUCAAGUCAGGCUGAAACAUAAAGUUUUGGAUCCAACAUCCAUUUUAUGAAUUAAAAAAAAAAAAGCAUAGAUAACUUGCUUAAAUUUGAUUUUGAAGGGAGCGUGAUGAAUUUUUUAUGUGUGUUUGUUGAUCUAUAAUCUAAAGGAAUCGAUUAAUUUUUUCCAAUUAUUACUUAAAGUAUGAUACUUAUUUAAUAAGUUUAUUUUUAAAUUAGUUUUUAUAUAUUAAAAUUAAAUUUCUUUAAAAACAAAUAUAAUUAAAUAUCCACCUAUAAAUUUAUAAUAAAUUAUUUUCGGACUGCAAAGCCGUAAUAUCUUUAAUUAUCUUCAGACCACUCAUCCAAGGUUUAACCAAAACUAGGAGUUCAGGCUUAUAUAUGAACUCGAAGAGUACUGCUAAGUGCUAACUCCUUGGCAAUUCCAAAUCAUAAAAUUCAUUAAAUUAAAAUAGUAUAAAUAGAUUGCUUCCUCUCUAACCAUGUUGAAAAACACUCCCCGCCGGCAAAAGCAGCCAUCCCACCUUCCUCAGAAGUAGCCUUAAAUUCAUCAAUGAUAGACUCUUUGGCAGAUAACACCAUUCCAGAACCAGCUAGAUUUUCAAACAGGGAUACUGGAUAUAGAGAGAGAGUUUUAUUAGCCCGUGACCUAGCUGCACGGGAGAGAUCAGAGAGCUCUCAAUAUUAUGGGGUUUUUUCGGUUCAAUAUAGGAUUGUCAACCUUAUCAGUCAGUCGCGACUUCAUUCGUCUCCUCGUCAGUGCCUGCCAUCAUCAAACUCCAUAUUUUCAUCAAUCUGAGCUACGAGCGAGUUCAAUGGAGUGUCUUCAGUUACAGCAACAAAAAAUUGAUGAAUUUAUGGAGUUUGAUGAUGGUUAAUGGGUUAGCAUGUAACACGAUGAUGGUUGUUAGGUUCUGUUUGGGUUUUGGUUGUUUUCCCCUCGUGGGCUCUAUUUGAUUUUUGAGUUAAAUGGGUUAGACUAGGAUAGGCUGUGGGUUUGGGCCUUUUCUAUUUAAAGCCGGAGUUCCUAUAUUAGCUAGCUAAGAUAUUAAGCUCCGUACGGUGUCGGUUGUUUUUAAACUGCUCAUAACUUUAAUUUUUUUUUUUUGGUUUUCAUUGGUUAAAUUUGUUUUUUCUUCUUAAAUUGUGAUAAAAACUUGAGUUUAAUAAAAGUUAUAAUUUGUAGCAUUUUUAAACUUAUUUUUUCAAAUAACAACAAAAAAUAUACCGCAAUACCAGACAUGAACAUGUUUGUUUUUAUGUUUUAAAAAUAUUUUUGAAAAAAUUUAAAUUUAUUUUAUUUUUUUAUUUACUUCAAAUUAAUAUUUUUGGAGUUUUUAUAUCAUUUUGAUAUGUUGAUAUCAAAAAUAAUUUUUAAAACAUAAAAAACAUUAUUUUAAUGCAUUUCUAAUUGAAAAACAUUUUAAAAAACAACUACUAACAAACUCACAAACAAGAUACCCCAUUAUUAGCAAUAGAGAUUUUAGCGUUGACCUCUCUUCUACGAUUGUGUUCGCAUGAAUAUAAGAACCAAAUUCUUUAUUAAUUAUUUUAAUUAAUAUAGAUGUUGAAACUAUUUACAUAUAUCUUAAUUAAUUUUAGAUUUAAAAUUAACAAUUAUAUAAAAUUUUAUUUUCUUAAUUACUAUGGUUUUGAUCUAAGAUCAACUCGAGUACAAAAUCUGAGUGGUCAGACAAGGACUUAACAAUGUCCAGGGCCCAUCAGUUAGUGCAUGCAGGUAUCAAUCAAAUUAGACAAUUGAACCAGGAAGAAUUCAUUGUCUAAAUCAAUGGCACCGAAAGGUACUCUGGCUCCAUUCCAUAUUGUUCUUUAUCUAGUACGUCAUAGUGCUUUAUAAUCCACACUAGGACCAAAGUCUUGAUAAUUCCCAUGGUUUCUGUAAGGAUUUUCUGAAACCUUCUAAUAAUUCAACGACUUUCUAUUUUCCUUUUCCACAACAAUCAUGCACGUGUGCAUCUCCUUCUUCUUCACCCCAAUCUCUUCCGUACAAUGUCCAUUCAAAAACUGGUUAGGUUUCCCAGUCACAGAGUCAACUUCUAUACACUCUUGACAUGCACUGGACUGAAUUUAAAAUCCUUCCAUGUAACUUGUAAUGCAACAGAACCUAGUCAGCAUCCACCAAGUGUUCAUGAUGAUUCAAUAAUCAUUCAAAUCACAGGAUGAUAAUAUCAAAAAUGUUAAUAAACUAUGAUAUCUUAUGUACAAAAUCUUUCUCCACCCUAAAAGAUCUCCACCAUUUCUGCAAUAGUACUGUUAACUCCUAUCCAUCUCUCUCCAUCUCGUUAUGUCCUUCACUUUGUUAUGUAAAAGGAGGUUUCGGUUAAAUUCAUAAUUUUCUUCACAGUGAUCCUUGGAUAUCGAUGUCAGCUUUACUGCAACAUUUCAUGUUUCCCACCUUUUUAAUUAUUCGUUACUUGACCUGUGCUUGAUAUAGAGGUCAGCUUUAUUUCCUCCAUUCUUCUAAUUCAGUACAAUCAUAUAGUGGAAGAAAGAAGAUCAUGAGAUGGAGGGCUUCUAUAUUUAUACUCUAGCUGGCUAAUUAAGCAAGUUUAGUUAAUGUAACUAUUUAGUAACUAAUAGCGUAUUGUGCAGGCUUCUAAUUCUGCAAUAACAAACCUUUAGACUGGAACCGGCCUAAUGGGUUGACUUGGUGAAUUGUUAACUCUAGCCCCGACGGGGGACGGCAAGUGGAAAAACCAGAUUUUUCUUUUAUCAAAAUAAUAUUGUUUUGUUUUCUUUUUUCUUUUUCCAAAAAAAAAAGUGAAAGGUUGAGUUGAUCCUCGUCAACCUCUGAUCUUGGACCACAACCAUUGAGCUGAAUCUCAUAACUAUGCUCUUCUAGGUGGUGAUAGUGCUAGAAGCCGAGGUUGUCACAGUAAUAAAUUUCCUAUUGAUUACUGCAACAACAUUAAAUAUGAAAACCACUUUGAUAUUAAUGGAUGUGUUGCUACUGGGAGCAAAAUCAACUAGCUUCUUAGCAUAUUUUUUUGAGAAAUUCUUAGCAUUAACUGUUGAUUGAACUUGAACUUUAUAUAGAAAUUAACAUUCUGACAAGAUCAUCAAUUCUUUUAUUGUGAUCUAGUUUAUCUUGUAAGGAAUAACAAUUUAAUAAGAAUAUCUUGUGCUUUGAAAGUAUAUAAGAUCAUGGGUUUAGAUCUACAAAACCCAGCAGCUAGCUCUUAUGUCAGAGUUAAAAAAAUACAUCACUACUAGCCAAGGACAUGAAAUAAAAGCCAGUCAUUCUAACUAGAUAAGAAAAACUAAUGGUGUCUAGAUUUGUGAUGCCUGGGUCCACAGUAAUCUUCAUGAAUGCUCGGUAACCAGUGAUGUGAAGAUUUCUUGGACACUGAUCUUUUCUUCAUGGUACCUAUACAAUUCCCUUCUUUGCAGAGAAUGGCUUCUUGUCCAAGAACCCUAGUACUAAUUUCCUUCAAAGAAGUAUUGUUAUUCGCCUGCACAUCACAAGAACUCCCAUCAGAACUGAAGCUGAUAUGAAAUACUAAAAAGAGUCAUUAAUUUUAAUGCAUCAUACAGUGUGUAAAGAACUGAGCACCCACAUGAACCUUUUGAGCUCCAACUUGCAUGAAUCCUUUUCCAAGCGAAUCCCUACACAAAACAACAACACAUGUUCAAACCUAAAGACAUACAAAGCAAAAUCAGGUCUCUUAACUUAACACGACUGAUAUUUUUGGCAUAUAUACCUUGAGACCCUUGAAGGAGAAACGAAAAAAGCAGAAGAGAGACUACGUACUAAAAGAAGGCCUCAUUCAGAAAAACAUUGAGAAGAAGAGAUAAGAGUAAUUAAGAGAAGGAAAAGAUCAAGCAGUUCGCUAUAUAUUUCUGAAGUCUGGUACAGAAGCUACGGAUUAAUGUGGGUUUGGCCGAAUUCUAAGUAAUUUUAGAACUUGUAUUCUGUAGAGAUUGUGCAUGAAUGGAUUAUAAAUACUGUAGCUGGAGGGUAGGUUAAUUAUAAACACGGUUUUUAGGGCCACAAAGCACGUAGUUCUCCAACAUGAAACUGUAAUAGAAAACGGGAUUUUUCUUCCACUACCUUUUGUUUUUCCUCUGUCUUUCUAGUGUAUAGUGAAAAAGUUCCUCAAGAGAGGUAGUGUGAUGGUAAAGAACUUGAAAUCUACAUAGCAAGUUUUGAAUUUGAAUCAGGACGUGUAUUUUUUGUAAGAGUCUGGUAUAAUUGGGGUUUUACUCACUCACUUGGACCCACAAAAUACGCUUCAAAUUAUUGAAAUGACUAACCAUUGAUUAGGGCAUCCUACUAAAUUAAUUCAAUUAAAAAAAAUGAAAAGAUAAUCAGCCUUUAUUUUCAAGUGGGCGGGGUUAAAAGCUUAAUAAUGGUGUCAAAUUCAAUAUAAAAUCAACAAUCUUUAUGUUUUGUCUUAUAUAUAUUAACCUACAUAGAAAUUGUUUACUUAGAUAGAGUUUGUUUAGGAUCUCGGGAUAGAAGCAACGAAGAUAGUUGGAUAGAACAUACCUGUUUCUAAGUUUUUUUUUAAAAUGACUAAAAUUUAUUUUAAAAAUAUUCAAGAUAGAUUUAUUUUAUAUUUCUGUUUUUAUUUUUAACCAAAUAUGUGUUAUAUUUUUCCUGUUUUUAUUCCUAUUAUCUUCAAACACCAACCAAACAUAAACUUGUUUUUGUUUUUAUCUUUUUAACUAAAUAUAUUUAUGUUUUUCUUGUAUUUAUCCUUAUUAUCCUUAAACACUAACCAAACACAAAUUUAGAACAAAAAAAUAUAAAUAUUGCAAUGAUUUUACAACAUGAAAAACUUUAGGGUGACAUCAGGAAAUCUAUCUGGGAGGGAAACUAAACAUUUGGUGAAAGAAAUUGAAAUUUGACAAGAAUCGACAAUCAAUCAACUAAUUAGGAAAACAUGUUUUUGGUUCUUUAGCUUGACAUAAAGACAAUACUGCUGGUAACUAUUUUUCUUGGGUUUCCAACAAUAUGCUUGCUAGACAGUUUCCGUAUCUUGGCAUGCGCCUAAAUGGAAAGCCGAUAUUGGUAUGCGACAAGAAUACUUAAUUUGAGCUAACAAUAGAAUAUCCAAAGCAAAAAAACAUGGUAUUACACUUUGAAAAGUUCUGUUGUAAUUAAAUAUGCACGAUCCAGAGUCUUAAUGACUAGGAAUAUCUACUCUGCUUUUAGUUAACUCAAAUUGAAAUAAUAAAGAUAAUUCCUGCCAUGAUAUUGCAUGGGCCUGCAGCCAGUGGUGAUGCCACUUAGGAAAAAUUCUUUAGAACUACUUAUUUACUUCAGCGCAAGAUCAAUCUUCUUUUGAGUUUUGAAGAGCAAAAAACAGUACAGCAUACCCAGCAAUAUCUGGGAUCUGUCAACGAAUAUUAUCUGUCAAAAAGAUACACAGCAAUCGAUAAAGAAACAAGUUGAGUCACAAAUUAGUGUGGAUGAGACAAAGAGAAAUAUGUUAUUAGAAUAUAAAUGUUGAAUUUGUAAUUAUAUUAAUCAUCAUCAAACUGCAUCAUAUCAAGUCUCAUGUCUGCAUUAUAAAUACUGUUAAAUCAUAGACAUCGGUUAUUAUGAAUCCUAGAAUUAGAAAUGAAACUAAACUUCACUCACCGCAGCCACAGGUAAAUCCACCGUCAGGGUGAUUAAUCCUGGAUACCAGUGAACAAAGCCUGCCACUGUUGACAGGAUCUGCAGCACAAAUAACAAACAGUUUAUUAAGAGUAUAUAUCAUCAAUGUCGUCGACACCUUGACGGGUCUAUAUAACGAGCUGUAAACAUUCAAAAUGUGGCAAUGUGUCAUGUGGAAGGAUUGGAGAAUUAGUAAGGGAAUAGAAGAUUUGUUAGAGAAAGAAGGAGAUUGAAUCAGAGAACGAACAUCGAACACACCUCAUUUCAAAAAUAAAAUAUAAAAUUAUGAAUGAGGUAAUCAAUUAUAUGUUUUAAAAGCAUAUGUAUACGAGCAUCAGCUAUCCAUUAGCAAAUUCCAGAGAGUGGAGCUUUGAGCAUGAUUAGUGAUUUUUUUAUUCCGACACAAGCAAAAAGAUAGAAAAAGGAAUUGAAACACACACACACACACGAACUAUGAUUUCAGAACGAGAGAUUCAAGGAAUAUCUUGGAAUGGUGACGGGGGACAAAGCGUUUUCAUGAUUCUUUUUUUUUUCUUUAUGAAUGGGAUCAAAAUUUUAUGGAGUAGAAAAUAAAAGCAGUACAAAUAGAAUUACAUGUUCUGCAAAAUAAUGGUCAUUGAUCAAUGUAACCGAAGCAGAUGGAUACUCGUCAAACAAAGAGCGGGAACCUAAAGAAAAAUAACAGGGCAGUGAUAACUGAUCCUCUCAUCAAAACUAAAACCCUCAAGUGAAUCACAUGUUGUGGAAACGUACGUACUUUGUGCUAAUAAAUAAAAAAAGAUGGAAUUGUUGAAAGAAUUGUUAUUGAUUAUGUAUCUUUAUAAUAUGAAGAUAUAUAUUUAUUAUCCGUAUUAUUUAUCGACAAGCAGUAGUUAUUAAAUCUAUAGUAAAUUAAUACAUUUUUAGUAUCAAUACAAAUUAUAUUAAUUAAUCAGACUUGACUUGAAAUCUAACCUCAAAAAAAUCCUAGUUAUUGGAUCUUUGAGUCAAUCAAAAUUAUAUUUUUAUUUAAAAUAAUAUUAUUUUAAUUUUUUUUUAAUUUUUUUAGUAUUGAUGUAACCAGAUCUAGAUAAAUUUUAGCUAGUUCAAUAUUAAAAUUAAUUAAAUUUUAAAUUCAUUCUAAGUGAGAUAUUGAGUCUUGGAUUUUCAUCUUGAUGGACCAAGCCGAAUUAACAUCUAUGAUACAAAGGCAUUGAUAUAUAGUCAAUUUAGUAGCCAUAUUAAAAAAUUUAUUUUGAAAAAAAUCUCAACCUAAUUAAUUCCUUUUUAGAAUAAAGUAUGUUGUUUUAGAAUGAUCAAAUGACUUGUAUUUACAGUGUUAAGUGACCAAUAAUUAAUUUUUUAAUUAUUUAUUUAGAAAUUUCAAUGAAUCUUUUGUCUGACAUAUUUAUCUUCAUCAAUCUCAUGUCUUGCCAAGAUACAUGAGCUUACUCUUGAUGAUAUCUCGAUUAUUAUUAAAAAAAAAUUAACAAAAAUGAGAUUACUCUUGAUGAAUUUUCACAAGUUUUCAACAUGCCUUGUCGAUGACAAUCCAAUUGCGCAGCGUGUGAAAUACAAACAGCUAACAACUCCAUUGUCAGCCCACUAAAAGGAAUUUUUCGCUAAGAUGUCUCACAAAGAAAGUAUUAAAGGUAAGAAAAUCCUCGACGGACACCAUUGUCAGCCCAAAGAUAUAGAUACGUUUGUCUUCCACGUACACCAAUUACAGCUCUCGGCACACUACCUUUUGCAUUCAAUAAGUGAAACAUUUUGGACCGACCCAAAAUCCCUUUUGAAAGAAAGAAAACAAACAUCCAGGUCCUGGUAACAUAAAUGAAGAACACCAACUUCAUUGAGCAAACCACAGUUGCUUCCUCUGUAGUAUAUUCACACCUACUUCCUUAUACACAUAGGCCGUUUUCGUUCCUGAUGCCUAUAUUUUGCUUCAAUAAUCUGUGGUCACUAAAUUGGAGUGAUAGGACUUAGGAGACCUUUGCUAUCGACCUAGCUAGCACCCGCCUCCAAAUACAUUUUGAUUUUGAUUUUUUUUUGGGUUGGGGGGGAGGGGGGGGGGGUGCGGGGGGUUGAAUUACAUGGUUAUUUACUUGGUAGAAAUAUUUUGCUAUUAUUUCCUUUUAGAACUUCUCAUUGAUUGGUAUUUCGGCUCAACCAGUGCAAAUCUUUUUUUUCAAUAAUAGUCUAGGAUUUAAUAAAAUUAAUGCCAGUGUCAUAUGUGUAAGAGAAUUUCUUAUCCUUUUUUGUUCUUGAACGAAUUUAAUCUGGUUUAUGAAAAAUUAAUUAACUUCAUAUAUGUUAUUUGAUUUUAUUCUAAUAAUGUUGAUGCUAAAAAUAAAUUUUUAUUAUGUUAGAUUUCUAUUAGUUCUAUUUCAAGUUUCUAACAUUAGAUUUAUAUCUUAAACGGAUUGCAUAACCAUGUGAUUCUUACUUUUAAGAUUCAACUUAAUAGAGAGUUAAUACUUUAAAGGGUUAAUAUUUCACUGUAAUGAUAAGAUAGAGCGUGAAACACAAUUAAAAACUCGUUGAAACUUAACUUGAAUUAUAUAUUUAUAUUAUAUAGUUAUAUUUGAAGAAAUUUUUAUUAUAUAUAUAUAUAUAUAUAUAUAUAUAUAUAGAGAGAGAGAGAGAGAGAGAGAGAGAGAUAUGCAAUGAAAUGAUAUUAUAAAUAAUAACUUCCGCAGUUACAAAAUCUAGUCAGCUUCCACAAAAUACUCAUGAUGAUUCGAUAAUCAUCAAAAUCACAGUACAAGAAUAAUUAUAAUAUCAAUAAAAUAUGAUAUCAUAUGUACAAAAUCAUUCGUAGCUAGCCCUAAAAAGCUGCAGCAUUCCUGUGAUGCUGUUUAACUUAUAUUCACUUUAUUAUAUCUUGAAAAACUUAAUUAUCUCUCCCUCUCUCGUUAUUAAUUUGUACCUACUGCACUUAAUUGUGUAUUGGAGAUUUUCUCCUCGCUGGAGAAUAGUCCAUUUGAGUUAAGUCCAUAAUUUCCUCAUAGUGAUCCUCGUUGACUUUAUGGUCAGAAUUCCGCCAAGAAUUUACCAAUAGUUUUUCACGUUCUCCCACUAUUUCUCCUUUACUUGAUCUCCACUUGGAUAUGGGGCCAGCUUUAUUUCCUUCGUUAUUCUCCUUCUUCACAAUCAUAUAGAGAAGGUAAGAAGAAAAGGUAGGAGGUCUUAUAUACAUACAUACAUACAUAUGUAUGUAUGUAUGUAUGUAUUAUUUCUAAGGUCGAUAUUGAAACUGCUAUAUAACAUUUACAUAAUAACCAACCUUAGAGGUGGUGAUAGUAGUGCUAGAAGUAGAGGUUGUCACAGCAAUAAGUUUCCUACCCAUUCCUGCAAGAAUAUAUAUAGAAAAUGAUUUAGGAUAUAUGAUUGGAUGAGGUGUGGUCAACAUUUUCAUUGCUCGUUGUUCAUGUGAAGCUUCUACUCAAAACAUUAAGGACAAGACCCCAUUUAAUGAUCGAAGCUAGUUUAAUCGGUGAAGAUGAAAAGUUUGACAAUCAAUUUCUUGGGGACAAAUUUCCUUUUUAGAGUACUAAUAGUAUACGAUCAAGGGUUUGAAUCUUCUAAAACCCAGCAUCAGAGACUUCUAAAAUAAAUAAAAGUCAGGCAUUCUAGCUAGAGAAACUAAUGGUGUUUAGGUUUGUGAUUCCUAGGACCGUAGUAAUCUUCAUGGAUGCUUGGUAACCAGUGAUGUGAAGAGUUCUUCGACGCUGAUUUAGAAACUCUUUUUUCCGUACUGGUAAUGGUACCUGUACAAUGCUCUUCUUUGCAGAGAAUUGCUUCGCCAAGUACACCACCAUUAGCACUUCUUUCUUUUAAAGAACUCUUGUCCCCCUGCACAUCAAUCACUUUCCCAUCAGAACAGUAUUCACUUGAAUGCAUCACGAUAUGUGUAAACUAAGCAUCAAGAAACUGAACAACCCACCUGGACUUUCUGAGCUCUAACUUGCAUGAAUCCUUUUUCCAAACGAAUCCCUACAGAAAAUAUCAGCAGUUGUUAAGACCUAAUGACAUGCAACGCAAAAACAACUCUUUACAGCUUUAAAUGAUUGAUGUUUUCAGCAUAUUUAUGUAUACCUUGAGCCUCCUGGAGGAGAAAGGACAAAAGCAGAAGAGAAACUACUAAAGAGGGCCUCAUCUGGAGAAGAGAUUGUAAACAAGUAGGAAAUGGGUAUCGGUAUUUUAAAACUUCGUCUAAGGCCAGGUGUUGAAGAAGAUACAGAAUUAAUUUGGAACUGUAGUGUUCUGUGGAUAUUGUGAAUGAAUGAUAACAUCGGAAGAGGGCCACAGGUUAGAUGUAUAAAUGUGCAAGGUUUUUGGACCCACAGGGAAGCUCUCCAGCAGGAACUUUCAUAAGAAGGGGGCCGGAUUUUUCUGCCACUGUCUUUUGUUUUUCCUUUGUCUUAAUUUCUAGUGUAAAGUGCAGCCACUUGUCAAAGGAAACGACUAAUCAUUGAUUCAUUAGGGCAACCAGCUAUCUUAAUUCAACAAGGAAAAAGUGAAGCUUUGUGGGCCUUAGUUUAACGUCAUAUAAUUUUCUUGCAUAAUUAAAUAAAUAAAUCUAAAAUUAUAAUUUUGAUGCAUUCGUAUUUAUGUUUCGAUUAAGAAUAGAUUUAAUUAUGGAAAUAAUCAAAUUGAUUGGUCAAUCAUUUAAUACAUUGUGUUUACUUUUUAGACAUCAAAAUUCAAAACUUUAUAUUAAAUCAUGUGCUUGGUUAUGUUCUAUAAGAUCGUGAUAUUGCAAAAAAGAGUGUUCAAAAGAGAAAUUAACUUUUAGAAUUUUCCCUAGUUGAAAAAUUAGGUGAACUAGCACAGCUAGACUUCUUUUUUGUACAUUUCCGGACAUGCCCUGCUCUUUUACGGUAAUGAGGAUCUUGAGAAUUCUCUGCCAGUUUUGUCUCAUUGAGCACAAGUUGAUCUUCCCAAAUGCAUGCUAACAUCCCAUUACAUGAGUAAUAUUUGUCUCGUUGUGUUUUACAUCUCAACUAAAUGGUUUGCUAGCGCUAUAUAGAGAACGUUUGGGAACGCGGCUACGACUGUGUUUUCAAAAAAUUUAAAUUAUUUUUUUUUAUUAAAAUUUAAUAUGAUUUGUACGUUUUGGAUCGUUUUGAUGUGCUGAUGUCAAAAAUAAUUUUUAAAAAAUAAAAAAACAUCAUUGACAUACAUUUUGGCACGAAAAGUUAUUUGAAAAGCACCCGCAACCACACUGCCAAACACGCUCAUAGUAGCAGGUAGGAUUAAUUUUUUAUUACGUUCAUUCAUGCUUUGAACAAGAAGAAAACAUCUUAAGGGCUACUGUGCCCCAUGCUACUACCGUGGGUAUAUAUUUUUUUUUUAACCGUGAAUAUCCGGGUCAGUUUACACACAUCUCGACUAAUUCCUUGAAGUCAUGAAAUUAAUAAUCAGGUAAGCCUCUAGUAACCUUGAAUUUGUGGCACUCGAACUAGUAAUCUCUAAAAAAUAAACUCAAAGCCUGACUAGUUGAGUUACACCCCUCAGAGUUGAGUCUAUUUUCAUUUAUUACGUUUACGGGCUAUAACUGAGACGUUUCUCCUCUCCACCAAAUACGGGUUAUGUGACAUAUGAUAUGUCCAUCCUUUUUCUAUGAAAAUAAAUAAAUAAAUUUGAGUGUUCUAAGAAAAACUCAAAUUCAAAAUUCCAUCAAUUUAUAAUUAAUGUUUAUAUGUUAUGAAUCUAGGUAUUCUAGGAAUAUUACUCCUCUACCUACAUGAAAAUAUGGCCUAUCAUGCUCGUAGAAUCUAUUUUAUUACAGGUGAGAAAGUAUUGUUAUAGUUGUGGUUUUGAUUAAGAAUUUGAAUCAUUAGGUUGAUGGUUCAAUCUCAAAAUAAUAUUGCUUCCAUGAAUUUUUUAAACUAAACAAUAUUAUUUUAAAUAAAAAUAAAAAUAUAAUUUUUAAAAUUGACCCGACUAGAUCUCAUUUGAUUUUAGUCAAAUCAACUGAAUCAUAAAUUAACCCCCUAAGGUUGCUUGAAUUUAACAAAGAUAAUGUUCAAACUGGUUUAAAAAAAAUUGAUCCAACCUAAAUUCCAGGUUGGUAGAACAUUGGGUCGACUCAAAUAUUCCCCAUUCAAUUAUAAUAAAUACUCUAUUGUUUUUUAAAGUAUGGAAUUUGGAGGGUGUUUAAAUGCAUUAAUACUAUAUCAAUUGAUUUUAACAAUCCUAAUUUUAUUAUAUUGUUUGAUUUUCAAAUUAAAACACAUCAAAAGUAGAAUAAAAAUACCGUGUGAAAAAUUUGACCCCUAAAAUUUGUAAAAAAAUACCAAAAAAUUAUUAAAUUAAAGAAUGUGUGUCUGAGUAGAACUAUUACCAACCAUGCAUCUCACAUAGAAUAAUGUUAUCAACUGUUACAGUUUUAAAACCUGAUUUGGAACAAGGAUCGGGUCAUGGAUUAAUCCAAAAAAAUAAGAGUUAACGAGUUGAUAGCCGGAUUAGUUAAAGUUUUUUUUUUUCUAUUUUUUUUACAACUUGGACUAAUCAACAUCUCGGGUUAAUUGAGUCUUAGAUCAACCUGUCAAGUUAGCCUGAAUUUAUUAUUUAAAAAUUUGCAUAAGACAAUUAGCAACCGAUUUUUUUAUUGGAAAUUUGUUUGGGAAAAAAUUUACCAAUCGAUUUUCCUAAUUUUACUAACCAAUCUUCCUCUUUCCAUCCAAUACAUAUAUUUUUAGUGUUUCUGGUUGGUGGUUGAUUAUCAAUCUUUUAUAUUAUUUUAUAUAUUUGUAUUUCUUUAGCAUGAUAUAUGUUUCAAUAACAUUCUCCCGCAGAAUAUCUACAAAGAUAGCCCUCCAUAGAUUUUUUUAGUCACUAAUGCACGUAUUCGCCAUUUCAUGGAAAGGUUUCCACAUGGUCAUUGUAAAACAAAGAAAAAAAUGAUGCAUGUAAUUAUUUUGUGUUUAAAAUAUGAUGCAUGUAAUUUUGGAGUGAUAGCUGCUAUCGUGGGAUUCAGGAAGGAAACAAAGAGAAUUUUGAGAUUUUAUUUAGAAUCGACAAUCAGUCCAAUAUCUGCAACAUGUUUUCAGGUUGUUAGUUUUUGUCUUGUAAGAAUCCUACUCAACUUAACAGGUAAUCAUCCUUGGCUUUCUAGCUAGUGCUAAUAUAUAUAUAUAUAUGCUCAUGGAAGACAAGAUCUAUCGCUUGCCAGCUAUAGUUUCUCUAUUUUAUUGUGUAGUGGAAAUUAGCAGAUAUUGGUAGGCGCUAAGUUAAAUAUUUAAAUUAUCAUUGAUUACCAUCUAAUACAAACAAUAAUACGGUAGCACUUUGUAAUUAACUACUAUAUAUUGUUAAUGAUACAAAUAAUGUACUAAGCAUUAAUUUCACUCAAACACAAAUUAAAUACAUUAUUCCUUCCAUAAAAUAGUAGAAGCAUCCAAAUUCUAAUUACUAUAGAAUAUGGACUCCAUUUUAGUGAUAUCACAUUGGGAAUAUUCUUUUAGAACUUCUAAUUUAAUUAUAUUAUUAAUUAGUACGAGUUCAAUCGAUAUUCUUUGGAUAUUUGAAGAGCGAAAAAGAGUUUUCUUUAUAUGGAUACUUGGGGUUUUUGCAACUGAAACCAUGAAUUUUUAAAAGAUGAACUAUAUAUCUUCAUGUUUUUUAGGUUUUAAUUAAUGAAUUGGACUUUAGCCAUCAGUUUUUUUGAAACCUAUACAAUUGUUACUCUUUUAGGUUUUAUGUUUUUUGAUCACUUGUUAAAAAUUAAAAAAUAUAUAUAUACUUACAAAGAAUAAUGUUUAAGUUUUAGAAGCUAGCUAGGGACCGGACUGAAGUCUUUUUUUUUUUUGUGCUCUCAUAGAUAUAAUUACCCUUUUUUCAUGUAAUUUCAUCACCAACGUUAUUCAUAUUGAGAAAUUUCUAUAUCAAAAUAUUCUUCUUAGUAUUAUAAAUUAAAGCAUAAUGUGAAAUAUUCUUUUUGAUUCAAAUUAGUCGAAACUCAUGAUAUUUAUUUCAAAGAGGGGUAUAUCUAUCAAUUAAAAUAUGCAUUUGAUUUGGGAAAAAAAGAGGCGUUGCUACAUAAUUUAACACACAUUUAUUAAUUUGUCUUAGUCUAGAACAAGGUGAUUUGUCCUAAUUACAAGGGAUCAGUGGACAUAAUUUUUUAUAGUUGGAAUAAACUAAAGAUACCAAAAAAUAAGCAAGAGAUUAACGAUCGGCCGACCAGGAGACAUCACUUGUUUCUCGGACGCAUUGGAACAGGUUGGAGCACUUAUCAAAAGGGCACUCCAUUUUACUGUGGAUACAUGCUUUAUGAUAUCAUGUCUGGUUUUAACCGAACAAUGCAUCUUCACAGGAUGGAUCAUCCUUCAAUUGGUUGGGAAUUUCUUUCCACUUUGGAGUCCCUAAAUAAUUCCAACUUCUUGUUAUUUUAUAGCUUCAAUAAUAUAUUGUUUGAACUAGCUAGGGCAACUACAUUAAUAAACAUGCCUUUUAGCUACGUGGGAUCCAUUGAGAGAGCGGCUAUAUAUAUAUAUAUAUAUAUAUAUAUAUAUAUAUAUAUAUAUUAGGAUUGAAGCAUUUACGACUCUAUAGAUAUGGCUCAUGAUACUUGAUCAAAGGAUAUAAUAAUGUACCAAAGGAAACGCUAUCGAUCAAUUACAAAUUGUUGAGUGUUAUCCUUGAAUGUGUUUGCAUAUCUAUGAACUUCGGGUCCCUUGUGUCAAAAACUGCUGAAGAUCCCUUUAUAACUUGAGUUGUCCUAGCUCUCGGAAAAUGAAGAGGAGUUGUUACAUUUGAUACCUUAGUGCUCCAUGCAAAGAACAUGCUGGUGAAGUAGUAAAUGUGCAGAGUACUUUAUUUUUUUUAUAUUAAUUAAAAGUUAUAUUUUUUUAUCAGGUAAUUAGGAGAGUACUUUAUUUGAGUACUAAAGCUAAAGUUAUAUUAAUUUUACAACUAAUUUUUCAAUCCAAAAUUUUAGCUAAGAGGUUUAAUCUGACUAAAGCUAAAUGUAAUUAGGAGAGUAAUUUAUUUGAACGAAUGUCAACAGUUCUCUAGGAACCAUGCACGAAAGACUUUUAUCUCCUAAGAGAUAAGAUUAGGGUUUUGCUAUUAGGUAAGUCUCACUUUCAACCAGGGACUAAUGGUUGAAAAUGUAGAGAUUUGAGGAAAGACUAUCCUCCAUUCACUAUCCCCAUUAAGCCUCCUUAGUCCUUAUUAGAAGAAAAAUCAUAUGUGGAGAUGUUCUUCACCCGAUUGCCCCAUCACUUCUCUCUACCUAGGUUUUGUACUCGUUAUUGGAAGAGAAUUCCAUGACGACAUGCAUGAAACAAAUGAGCAUAAUAAUGUCCCCACGUCCUUUAUAACAUGAACAAGAUCGUCAAAGCAAGAGUAGGAACCCAUCUUCUCAGACACAAGUAAACAAAACUCAGUUAGUCGUAGAUGUUGAAUUUUUUGUUAACCUGUCUCACAAAGCGGGCCGGCAUGCAAGGCAAACAAAUCUUCCAUUUAUAUGUCAUUGACAGCACAGAGAUAUAGAUAUGAUGGCCUUGUUCGAUCAAACACACACGUCCCUUUCAAUGCCUCCCCAUACCUACGUGUUAAAACCCUCACAUAUUUUCGUGUUAACAUUAUCACAUGGGCAAGAGUCCCGCCAGCAGUGGCUGCUUGCGAUCAAGUCAGUAGGGUCAGGAUGGUCCGGCGAAGUUCACCGACAAUAUAGAUAUUAACUCAUUUGAUAGACUUGAUGCCGUUCAUGGAGUGCCAUAUACACGUGUGUGUGAGAGAUCACAAGACUGUAUUUGAUGUACACUGUAAUAAGAAAUUAACAGAGACAAUAGAAUACAUACCCUUUGUCAUGAACUGAGUAAGUGUUGAAUUGUCUAGAAAAAAAUUGUGCUGUAAAAAAUAAAUAGUUUUAUAAUCCAUGACAAACCUUAGGUUACUGUGUAGUAUCUCGUUCUACAUGUAAAUAUCGAAAACAAAAUUCUAUAAAAAGAAAUGGCAGGAGCGGCCCCUGAGGAACAAUCCCCAGUAACGAAUAAAUCAUCAGUUGGGGUAAUUUUGGACAUAAUUGAAUGACAUUUUCCCUACCUACUAGCUAGCCUGAUGAAAUUAAUCAUUAUUAACAAAAAACAAAAAAAAUAUUUUCUGACAUAAUUCAACCCCUUGUUAAAUUUCCAGGUGAUCGUUGUUCUUGUUUAAAAGAACAUAUUUUUGAGAAGGGUGAGGUGAUCAUGCAAGAAAAUGAAAGGAGAAUGUCUAAUAUUUGAGUGACACGAUCGUAGGCAAGCUCCAUUCGAUCGAGUGUCUGAACUCUGAAUGGGUAAAGAUCAUUCAGGUAAUGCAUUAUUAUUUGUAUUGGUUAAUUAACUUUAAUGGCUAUUGUUCUUGUAUAUAUGAAACUGGAUACAUUCUUAAUUCCCUGUAGAUUCCAUGACAGAACUUUGAUGAAGAGAAAAUGGCGAGGAGGAAUCACUAUUCCAUGACAGAACUUUGAUGAAGAGAAAAUGGCGAGGAGGAAUCACUAUUUUUUUUUUUUUUUUUGUAAUUUUGAACUUAGGACAGCUUAGGAGUAGAGAGUACUGUACCUAGCUAAAGCCCCAUAACCAAGAGGCCUUUCUUUUUCUUUAUACCCCAGCAGCAGCAGCUGCACCUCUAAUUUUAAUCAAAAUUAAACAAUUUUGAUACAAAUUAUUUUUUGGCCAUGUUUUAAAUUAAUAUUUAUUUUUAACUGAAAAUUAAUUUAAAUUAAUUCUUCCAUUUCCUAAUUUUUUAGCGAUUAAUCCCAGAUUUUUGCUAUAAAUAUGUUAAUAUCACUCCUUAUAAAAUUUUACUAUAACAUGAAUUGCUAGAAAAAAAAAUCAUUUUAUAAACUGACUCCAUAUUUAUAAAACACCUUUGACGUACGUACUAGCAUUCUUUCAUUAAGAUAUAAUAAAAGAAAAUUAAGAGCAUUCCCAUAUAUAUUACUUUUAAGUUCUUAAAAUAUAUCCCCCUCGGACUCUGUUGAUUUCUUGCUUUGGAUUGCAGGUCUUUUAAGGUGUGAAGUGACACCAACUGGUCAUCACAAGGGGAACUUUAAGCCCUCUGAACUUCGUCUGAAAUCUUGGAUGAACAACCUAUGGAACAAAGUUUUUCAAUGCUUAUGAAGCCGAUGAGUGCUGAUCAAUCGAGUCAAAAAGUUCAUUUCCUAUCCCAAAUCCAAGCAUCCUGGCCAUGUCACUGGUCUUCAGUCUAGGUUUUGGAACAUUAAUAUGCUGUUGCAAGCCUGCAACCAAGAGUACACAUCGAAAAUUAACUUUCUUCAUUGCAAACAAUUUCAGUGCCUCAGGAUUAAAAACAAUUCCUGAUUUCAUAUUUACCUGCCAGCAGAAAAUUUAAAAGUUCUGCCUUUCAAUCAUGCUCUAUUAGCUCCUUAAAUAAUAUGCAGUCUCAUCCAUUAUCUGUUAUCUGAUGAAGGACUAGCAUUGCUGCAUAACGAGCCAGCUCUCCAGCUCUCCAGCUCGCCAGUACAUCAAGACAGGUAACCAAGGAUAAGUAGCAUCAAGUCUCAAAAAUAACAAUGAUAGCAAUCCAAUGCGCAUGAUAUUCAAUAGAGUAAACCUUGAAGUUAGCAUUAUUCCAUAAUGCUAAGAAAAUACAAAUUUUCAAGCACAAAAAAACCAAGAUCCAAAAUUGAAUAAUUAAAAAGAAACGAAAAGAAGCAAUGCGGGAUAGAUCUAGAAUCAACAAAUCUUAAUCUUUAAUGGGGCUCUCUCCUUUUUUAAAACAAAAAAAAUGACUACAUCCAGACCAAAUCUGUGGUGUUUUUGUUUUUGUCUCAGUGUUCUGCAAGAAAAACAAUUUAGAGAUAGUGAGAGUUUUGGCAAUGAAAAAGAAACAAAUAUAGUAGAGAUCGGAGAAAUGUGGAUCAUUGAUUAUGUGCCUAUCCUCUCUCCUCCCUCUGAAACCUUUUUUUAUCCAUCAUGGAUCCCUUUUUUUUGCCUGACGCCUCCUUCGUUCCCCCUGCAUCUGUCAGUUUGCUUUAGAACAACAUCACCCUCUCCGCGUAGAUUUUUCUCUCUGAUCUGCCUUCUUUUUUUCUCCUUCCUUUCUCUGUUUUGUACUUGUUUUCUCUUCUAUGUAAUUAAAAGAAGAAACUGAUGGGAGAAUGGGUGGAAAACAUGCGCCCGUUAAAAAUACCAAAACACCUUCCACAAACCACAGAGACAUCCAACAGGUUGAAGUACAUAAUUAUUACUACACUAUUAAAAUUCAUAAUGAAAUUACCCAGUCCACAGUACACGCAUUCAUUUAGCACUUUUAGUUUUUUUUAAUGUUCAAUACCAAUAUAUAAAAUUUAGGCAGCGAAGUAGAUAUAAACUGGAAUUUUAAAACCACUAAAACCCAAGGUAUCCCUUUGCCAUAAAUUAUUUUCUGCCUUUCACAGCUUGCGGGAGCAAGCAUAUACAUGCAAUUACAUGGUUUUUAACUCGUGAUGGAGCUUUCUCAAAGUUCGGGAAACCUCACUUGCUGGUGAGACCUGAAUAAUCUGUUGGUGUAUAUGGUAUAAACAAGUCUGCUAAAAGUCCUUUCUUUCUUCUAGGAUUAUAUCCCAUGUCUUUGCAAAGCUGGUCAUUGUAAUAUAUGUUAAAGUUACUAAUACAAGCUCUCCUGAAGUAGCGGCCUGUAACUUGUUUGAUGUGAUCUGCCCACAUGUUUGCUUCCUCUUCCAUGUCUCUUAUACUUGGCAAUUCAAGGUUGCCAUCGAGGAAAUGUGAUAGCCAUACACUUUCGAUUUCAGAGUAACCCAAACUUGAGAAAUUCUCACUGUAUCCUAUUAUAGCCAAUUGAGGAAUUCGAGGAUGAAUUAUUUGUCUGCAGAAAUGACAAAGAAGGUGUCAUAUUAAUGUUAACCAUGCAAUAUCAAGCUGGAUGUUUGUAUUCAUUGAUCACUUUAAAGGACAUACAGAAAGAAACAUGACAAGAAAUACGAAGUUAGCAGACCUGUAGAGGGAAACUGUAGUGGUAGGUGACCCAAUUAUGUAGUUUUGGAAAACUGGAGACUCAAAAAUGUUUUUCAGUUUUUCAUCACCCUUGAAUCCUGUAGCAAAAAUCACAAGAUCAGUUUCAAAUGGACGAUUUUCUCCAUUUAUAAUUAGACCUUCUGGGAAGAAGCUUAAGCUUUGUGAAUUCUUGAUAAUGAUGCUUCCUUCUUCAACUCUGUCAUAGAAUUUGUCAGGCAGCAUCGCAAUCUGACAGGAAGAUAUAUCUUCAAGAAAGCUGGAUUUUGGUAACAUUCCAUACUUCUUCAGAGGAAUAUUCCAUCUAAGGUAGAUCUCAAUGAAUUUUGAAAUUCCCCAUCUCUGAAAAGCAAGAUAUUGGCAUCAUAAUUCAGAGCAAAUCACACAUAUAUAACAUUCAUGGACAAAGGCAAUUGCGAGAGUGAAAUAGAAGUUACCAAGGGUGCAAGUAAGGUGGCCAGAAAACUUAAUAGAAAUGUUUCACCAGGUUUAUAGACUAACAAUUCCGAGAAUCGAUUGUAGCACAGGAAAGCAAGCAGAAGUCCACUCAAAUUGUCACAGGGCAAAAACCAGUGGGCAUUCCUCUGAAUCAUUGUGCAAGGGUACAUAACUCCUGAAUGAUAGAUUAUAAUAAGGCUGUUUGAACUUCAAAUGACAACUAAGCAGUAUUCUAUGAAACAUUCUAUUCACUCAUUUAACUAAAUCCAGAGGAUGUUUUGAACAUCACAGACUUUAUUGCUCAUUAAAGUAAAAGUCUUUUUGAUAAUCUGAUAAAAGACUUAAAAGUAGGAAUAUUUGCUUGACAGAAUGUUUUCUUACCAUUUGCGUUGGCACAUUCUGCUGCUAUGUCAACUGCAGAUUUAUGAGAACCAACUACUGUAAUUCUCUUUGUUUUGAUCAAUUCUGAAGCAGUUGAAUUGUCUAGGGCUGAGAAGUCUUCUGAAUGCAUCACCUUGCCCUUGAACACUUCAGGUCCUUGAUUUGGAAGGAACUCUGGAAUAUUUGGAAGGCCACUGAAUUGUCCAAUGCAAAGAACUACAAAUUCAGCAUGAUACACCUGACCAACAUAAUUCACCAGUGAUUUAAUAUUUAUAUAUGUAUAAAAGAAAUAGCCACAACAAUAGCCCACAACAGUGGAUAUAGAAUCUUUCAAAAAAUAAACAUACUUGUAUGCUGCAAUUUUUUGUGUCUUGAACUUUGACAUGCCAUUUCCCUUUGGAGCCAAAGGGCUUGCCUGUCCCACUCCAAAGAGCCCAUGAAUCCAUCUCUUCGUUAGACUCUCCAAAAUACUCUAUACCAAUGACCUUGGAAUUGAACUUGAUGCAUGCAAAGAUAUUGAAAUGUUGUGCAUAAGAUUCCAGAUACUCCAUCACUUGAUUGUGAGUGGGAUACGUGUUUUUUAUCGAGGAAGGCCAUGGAAAAUCAGAAAACUGGUAAAUUUCUUUGCUGUUUUGGAGUCUGGUUGACUCUAGAGUAUGUGACCAAACUCCACCAAUUCGUUCUUCAGCUUCAAACACAAUCGGGUUGAGUCCGAUUUUGAGUGUGUUCUUACAGGCAAGAAGGCCACUUACUCCUGAUCCGAUGAUUACCACUCGUUUCUCCAUUAGUCCACUCUGAGAUCCGUUUAGGGUCAGGGCAUUAAAUACUAGUUAUGUCUAAGAAGCCAUCAAACGGUCUUCAGGAAAAUCAUCUAACAGUGCGUUCUUUUGUGCUUAUAUGGAUAGGUCGGUCACCUUAUCCAAAUAAUGUCGACCUUCAUAUAAUAAUAUCUCUCAGCUCAAACGGCCACCAUCUUGAUUGGCUGGGCUUGUGGGGGGUCAGAAGUGGAUGAUCGACACCUUCAUGUCUUCAAACAAGACACCAUCAUUUCUUCAAAUAAGACACUAAGCUCACACUACUUUGUUUCUGAGUGUAAGGCAUGUAGUCGGAGGUUGUCGGUAUGGAUGUGGGCAGUUUCUAAGCAGCCCAUAGUUAAGUAUUGGGUCAGGUAGGUGGCCCAAACAAGAAAAUGGACUGGACUAUCCUGCCAUUUCCAACCAUUCUGAUUUCUGGAUUUUUGAAAAUAAGAACUUAAUUUUCGCACGCGCGGUAAUCUAUCUUUCGAGUUUUUAAGUUUAUAUUAUAAAAUCAAUAUUUAAAAGAAUUUACCUUUUAUCAUUCUAUCUAGUUUCUUUGGGGUAACUUUUAAUAACCAGUUAGCUUAUAGAAUGAUAGUAUGUAUAAUUUGAUUACUUCAAAUUAUAAAAUUUAAUUGCUUGAUUUUUUUUUUAUAAUAUUCUCUAUCAUAUACAAAUUUUUUUAUAUAUAAAAUAUACAAAAAAAUUUCCAUUCUACUAAGGUUUCGAGUUAAACAUGUUGAUUCAUAAGUAAAUAAAUCAAUUUAAAUUUUAAUUUUUUUAUUUAUUAAAAAAUAUCCAAAUCAAUAUUAUUUUGGUAAAAAGAAAUUUUUUUUUCAUUAACAUAACCUAAAUCAAGUUUGGAUUGUCCUAUUAGACUGGAAUAAUUUUAAGAUUAAGUCAUUUUUUCAUUUUUUUUCCUCAUAUGAUACAAUGAUUGAAUGAAACGGUGCUUUCAUGCAAGAAUUUUAUACAAAUGAUUACAACAUCAUGAAAAUUUGUGAUCACAUACAACAUGGGAUUUGAUGAUUGCAUUAGAAAAAUCAAUCUUUUUCUUAAUGGUCUUCUAGAAGCAUUGCCAUUUAUUGGCCUAUAUAUAUAUAUAUAUUGUUGUUGCUGCUUUCAAGCAAUAAAUCAGCACAAAACUUGAGACGGAAACGAGUUGACUCUUGUCAAGGUGGUGAGCUCGGUAAUGGCAUUGUAAUACUCAGAGUAUGAAGACAGAUAUGGAUCAACCUUUAAUGGGCUGCCCCCAUGGUUAAAGGUGGAGAGCUACCUGGACUCUUACGACUAAGAGCGAGAGACUCACGGAGAAGUAAGGCGUGGUUCCUAGGGUGGAACAGAGGGCAGGCGCAACUCCUGGAUGAGUAGACUCUUGGAAGAGUGGUGAGCUCGUGAUCAUAUUGAGAUACUCAGAUAAUGACUGUCGCACUUGAGGGGGUGUUGUAAGCCUUGGUGUAAGGCUUGAUGAACCAUUCCGGACCGAGCAUGGUUGAUACGCUCGAAGGGGAAUGUUGUGUAUCCCAGAGACAAGCGUUAACACUCUUCAGAUGUGAUGUGGCAGACCAUCUGGUUGUAGUGAUCCUUUUGUGUGAGAAAAGGUGUGCUUUAGUGACUCUAGUGAUUGAAAGGUUUGGCAAGUACCUGGAAACUUGGCCAAAGAUGCUCUCAGAAUGGUAAGCUUGGAAGAGCUGCAAGAUGCAAGCCUGUGCUGAAGAAGCAAGAGGACAGUUGCCCCACAUGAAUGGCAAAGGGGGUGAUUGUUGGGUUGUUGCCAUUGCAUGUGCAUCAAAUGGUUGGCACCAACCAUUGACUAUUGGCAGCCACCAUUUUCAAUGGUUAGGCAACCUACCAUGCCUAACCUUGCAGCCAUGUUUGACAGCAGAACAAGUGGAACAGCUGCCAUGAAAUGCCUAUAAAUAGAGGCAUUAUGUGAGAGCAAAAUGAGAGGAGAGAAAACGUGAGUGUGUGCAAGAGAGUGGAGAGAAAGAGAGCUGCAAUGGCAGCAGCCUUGCUGCCAUUGCAGCAGCUGCAAGUGCAGCAGUUAAGAGCUGGGAGUUGAGAGAGUGAAGUGAUCCUCCUCCUCCAUAUAUAUUGUAAUCCUUUCUCUAUAUAUCUCAAUAAUAUAGACUCUCCCGUGGAUGUAGGCGGAUUUGCCGAACCACGUAAAAUAUUGUGUCAGUGUGCUAUCCCUCCUUUGAGCAAUUAUCAGUACACCCCCGGUCGGAAAUCCCCAAACAGCAGCAAGAGCUUUCUCUGCUUCCAACAAAUUAUUAAAUCAACUUGAUUCAUGUAACAGAUAUAAAAUUAAAUCAACCAUGUUUAUUGUUUGGAUGUUUUGAUAGACGAUUAAAAAAAAAAGUAUCACUAAUGAUAAUAUAAUUAUUUGAGAGGUCCACUUAAACUAAUAUUGUCCCCACCAUCUCCACGAGAAUUUGAACGAGGAAGACUCCCCUCGCUCAUGUCUUUGCCUCCACACAAGAAACCACGCACACAAGAAAGGAAAAAGGUGAGAAAUUUUUUGAAACGUAUUCAAAUCUCUCAUGGCAAUGGCUUCCAAUGCUCUUCAUCACCCUCUUCACCAAUCUAUAUCUCUGAAAUAUCCUCAUCUUUCUCAUAUUUCACGAUUCUCUCCCUCUUGUCUUCGCUUCACCUCCCUCCGGUUUCCCUCUACAAUUCGCGCCACUUCAGCUGUCGCUCUUGAACCGGUAACACCUUCAUCUCUACUUUCUCUCUUUUCACUUUUUUUUUCUUUUUUCUGGGUUAUACAUUCCAUUGCUUUCAGUUUUUGUUUUACUACUAAAUUACCUUUGCCACUACAAGUUUUUCUUGAAUUGGAGUAUUUUAUCAUAGUUUUUUUAACGCAUUUGAGAUAUGACAGUGAAGUACUGGUAAAGGGGUUGUUCUUGUUUGGUUGCUGAGAGAAUUUGUAUUGUCAAAUGUCUUUUUUUUUUCUUUCUUAUUCUGGGUUGUUUUUUAUUCAUUAAUUGAGGCGAUGAGAAUGUCAUAAGGAAUAAAAUGGGUUGUUUAAAAAGGUUUUAGUUGAAUCUGGCAUUUUGUCUGGGAAAAUAGGAAUGUUUCUUUGGUUACUGAGAAAGUUUUGAAUUUUGAAUAUAAAAUUUCUUAAUUAGGACCUAAAUGGCUAAACUUUAUGGAACUAGCUCAAUGGAUUGAGUUAAAUGAAAGAAAAAAUUAAGGGGCAGUGUUUAGUGUUUGAUGGAUUUUUUUAUAGCAUAUACAGUAUUGAGUGGUCACAUUUGACACCAAAAGUUGUCUUGACUCCUCUUACUUUCACUAACGCAGGGUGGCUUUCAUAUCUGUUUUAGUGGAGGUUAGAUAGAAGAAGGAGAAUUGAUUAGUUAUUCUAUUUGGUGCAGAAAUUCUCAAGCUAAUAUUGAUGCCGGCUUGUUUUCGAAUAAAUUUUAACUGGUGGCUUUUAGGUUCAUCGUUCAGCACGCAUUCAUUUAUUUAUAUUAAAUCUGAGGAGUAAUGAUUUUAGGUGGCGGUGCAAUAGCAAGGGAGUAACUUGCUUAAAGCUGCUGUUUUUUUAGUUCUGUGGCUUAAGCAGAGUUGUUUGCUGGCAACAAUUCAAAACUUUGCUGUUUAUUCAUAACUAUGUUAAGUUAAUGCUCCUCCUAUUGCUACAUAUGUUUCCUCCCGUUGUUGUAUAUUGGAUUUGACAAGAAUUUAAUCUUUCAGGAGUUAAGCACACAGCAGAAUCAAGCAAUAUUUGCUUGUCCAGUAUGUUAUGAACCUCUAAUAAGAAAAGGUCCUCCAGGUUUUAACUUGUAAGUUGGGUCACAUGAUGGUAUAAAAGCCUUUUCUUCUUUUUGUUUCGAAUUGUCUGAUAUGGUAAUAACUGCAAAACCUGCAGGCCUGCAAUAUAUCGGUCCAGUUUCAAGUGUAAAAAAUGCACCAAAACAUACUCAAGCAAAGACAACUAUCUGGAUCUUACAAUUACUGCUGGAAUGAAGGAUUACACUGAAAUCAAUCCAGUUAGGACCGAGCUAUUCCGGUAUACAUCUGGUGAUGAUGAUGCCACGUAAUCAUGCUCAGUAUAUUGAUGCAUCCAUGAUGUACUUGAUCAAUUCAAAUUUGAGCAUUACUGCGCAUGCAUGCAUAAGCUUACAGGCCUUUCAACCUUGAAUUAAUGUCCAUCCCACGCCUAUGUAGCAUUUUAUGGAUCUGUUACUGUUAAUUAGAUGGGGUACCCAAUUUUGGUUUUGACUUAAGAAGGAAUAAAGAACAAUGGAAUGCAUUUUGAAAAUCGGAAUCAGAUUUUAUAGUAAAACUGAAUUGUUUGAGGAAAUGUUCAUGCUCAUGUCAGUUACUUUCAUCUUCUCAGGAGUCCACUUGUUUCAUUCUUGUAUGAACGAGGUUGGCGCCAAAGCUUUAAUUAAAGUGGAUUUCCUGGUCCUGAUGAAGAGGUUUGUGUUCCUUGGUUUGUUUCUAGGAAUUCAAAUACACCAGUUAGGCAUGAAAGUUUAAUUAAGCUUAUCUCGAAAGAUUAGUUUGAGCAAAUAUUACUUAUGGUUUUAUGAAAUCUUUCUAUGCAACUUGGUAACUUGGAACAUUGAAAAUCCCAUGAAAUGGCAUUGGCAUCUCCGAAAAUGGGAGUAAUUAAUAUCAUUCUCAUUCUUCUCCUCUUUUGAAACUGCUACUGAAUUUGAAAACAUGAACUUGACUUUGUGAUGGUUUCUCUAAUGCAGUUUGAAAUGGCUCAGGAGUACUUCAAACCUGCCAGAGGGGGUCUUCUAGUAGAUGUAAGCUGUGGCAGUGGCCUGUUUUCUAGAAAAUUUGCCAAAUCUGGAGCAUAUUCAAAAGUUAUUGCACUUGAUUUCUCUGAAAACAUGCUUCGUCAGUGCUAUGAUUACAUCAAGCAAGACGAUACUAUCUCAACAACGUAAGCUUCUUUUGCCUGACUUGAGUCUCAAAGUUACAAUAGCUGUUAUGUGAGAGUAAUUAUAAUUUCAUAACUAUGUUUCAAUUUGAAAUGAGGAUUGACAAUUUCUUUUGCUGGAGAAUGUGCAGAAAUCUUGGUCUUAUCAGGGCCGAUGUUUCAAGACUUCCAUUUGCAUCGGGUUCAGUUGAUGCUGUUCAUGCUGGUGCUGCCAUGCAUUGCUGGCCAUCUCCUUCCAAUGCUGUAAGUGAUCUUUCUUUCUUUUGUUUCUUUUGUGGAUUUGAUGGCAUAAACUUCCAGAUAUACCAGUCCAGUCUGGUUUGCAAGAUCCAAAUUCCACUAGAAUUUGGAAAAGGCACUGCAAUCUUUUGUCUAUCAUGAUUUGUGACUUUGAUGUCCUUAUCCUGAUGCUGGCUUGAUCUUGUCCCUCAUGCUACUCCCUUAGGGCCAUCUCUUAUGCAUUGACCAUUGACGUGUAAGACACCAUGUUAUUAUAUGCUGUGAGUUAAAGAAAAUUCUAACCUCAUGAUGUGGGAUUGACGAGAGGAUGAGUAAUACAAUGCUUAAAACUAGUCCUUUACAAGUUACAAGCUUGAUUGUGAUGUGGUCAAUUCCUGUCACGUCUAAACCAUCGAGGACUUCUUUUCCUAUCUUUGGAUUGAAACUUUAUCAGGGUUCAGGAAAUCAGUAGUUUAAUGUGCUUCAUUGCACCAAAAGUGGAAGCAAAAAGAAUAUGAAGUUCAAUACGCCACUUCUUACUUGACCAUAUUUGAAAAGGGUUUCAAGUCAUAACCUACCAAAACUAGGUGUAAAGAGGCAUGGAACACUGAGUAGAUUGAGUCUCCAGGAUAAGAGUUAAAAAAACGAAAGAUUGUAGUCGUGGCUUUUGCCUUGCAAAGAGCUGAAGUAAAGGACACCUUCUCUAGACCUCAGGAUGCUUGAGAUCUCUAUUACAGAUAUUUUCUCUAACAAUUACUGCUGCCACUGAAAACACACAACACACAGAUUGCAAAUGAAAAACAUUAUAACUUGCUGAAUAUGUAAGUUAUCACCUUUUGUUUCAGAAUCUACUAGAUAGUGUCAGACAACAGUAGUCAGCCUCCAAUCUUAAUACAUAAGGCGUUUACAUUUGUGGGUUUGUGAACAUAAUACUUGUAUCUAUAGUAUGACAAAGUCAACUACCUUAGGUGCCCAUCAUGUGGUUCUGCACUUUGGUCUCAUGGAACUGAUAACAACGUUCUACCAGUGGCAAGGCAGUGCCUAUAGCACAAGAUAUCAAAUUAUAUGCAAAACAUUUGCAUUGCUUUGAUCAAAUCCAGCAAUUAUCUUGGUUCACUGGCUAUGUUUUGGGAAAUUGCGAGAGGUGGUUUGUUAUGUCAUCAGCAAGUAGGUUCCGUGGCGUCUUGUCCUGAGAAGUACACAUCAUAAACCCCUCUCCCAAGUUCUGUGUUUAUGUGUGUUUUAAGUGCUUUCUCAUCAUUUGACUGUAUGUAGAAUUAUUUUAUGAACCUGCUGUUCAACUAGUGACGUAUCUAAUAAUGUCAGGUUUCUGAAAUUUGUCGUGUAUUGCGAAGUGGUGGAGUUUUUGUCGGAACCACUUUUCUUCGAUAUAGUUCAACCACUCCACGGAUAGAACAACCUUUCCGAGAGGUAAUAAGCUUUUUUUCCUUCAUUUGAUCAAAUCAUAGUCAUAGAGUGAUAAUAACUGGGAGGAUUAAUUACUAUGCCUAGGGUUACUUCCUUUUGGCUUUUGAUUUUAUGUGCACAUGUGUUUGUAUAUUUAAAUGUUAGUUAUUCAGAAUUGCUCUCACCCAAGCUGGCAACGGUGAAAGGAACUGUCCAAAUUGAAAUUAGUUUGUGAAUAUAGCAAAGGAAGCAGUAAAGCAAUGAAGAACUAGUGUUUUCAAGUUUCUACAAAUUUCGGGUUAAGUGAAACUUACCCAGAUUUGUUUGUUGAUUUUCACGCCACAAAAAGUUCACAUUUCAAUCAUAUCGUAACACAUUUCAUGGAGAUUUGUACACAUUUUUCAUGAAGACUUCAUUUAUCAUGAAUGUAUAUUAACUGAAGUCUUAUAAACUAUUAUGGUUUGGGUCUGCUAGUUUUUAAUCUUAACAUUAUGCUAUUCUUGGAAUGCUUGCUUCUUUGAGUUACAUGUAAAUUAAUAGGUGAUGUGUUAGCUCAACAUACAACAGAGAAAAUUGCACAUCCCAAUUCCUUGGAAAUUAGGUUUUUAGUAAUGAUAGGUCGUUGUGAGGGUGGAACUCCAUCCAAACUGGUUGCAGUUUGCACAGCCAGAGAAUUGUAGGGUAAUUCCAUCUACACUCACCAUUGUUAUAUGCUAUAAUUGGAUCUAAAGAUCUUCAUGUGUCUGACAGAGGAUUUCGCGGAACUCUAACUUCUUCACGGAGGAGGAAAUUGAAGACUUGUGCUCAACAUGUGGUCUUACAAACUACUCAAAGAAAGUUCAGCAAACGUUCAUAAUGUUCUCUGCUCAGAAGCCAUGAAGCAAGGUUUAGUUCAUUUAGACACAAUUCUCCCUGGACUUGACAUUGACAUAUCCGGUGCUGGUUUGGUAUAUAAGAUAUUUCAAUUGUAUAGACUUUUUAAAUAAACAAGACCUAAAAGGUGAUAUAACCUGGGGAGAUGCAAAGUGCCAUUGUUAAUAAAAAGAAGUCUAUAAUUACUGUCUGGUUUAUAUAUAUAAUGAUUCAACCCCUGCUUUGAACUUCAGCAGUGUCACUAAUCCCAGGGGACUAGCCUUUCUAUUUGUAGAUUUUGCUGGGAGUGAUCUGAAAGCAAUGCUUCUGAGAUAGUCCACAAACAUACACUACUAGCACCGAGUCUGUAGAAUGCGCUAACAAAUUCUUAGCUUUCAGCUUUAUCUGAUGAUUAGAUAAAAUUCAUACUUGUUUUUUUCAUGAAGUCUGUUUAAUCUGUCCGAACUUCUUGCUGGGAUUGGACUUGUCAAGGUGCUCUAUGAACAAUAUGCUAGACAUUUCAUGUCGACUGCUAUGCAUCAGUAUCGUCCUGCAACACAAUUCUUGUGACUCAAACGGACUCAUGGUUUUGGACUGAUAUCUGUGACCUAUAAUCUAUACAGACAGGGCUCAUGAACCCGCAUGAUGUGAGUUUAUUAAAUGAUAAGUCAGGAUCUGGUGGCGAGGCUUUGCACAUGACGAGUCCUCGAGGAUUUGGGCAAAGCAAAUAUAAUAGCCCCCGGGGAUGUGGCUGAGCCAAUAAAGAAACCCUUUUUAGCAGGGCAAAGUGUGUCUCUGAAGUAUCAAAUAUGGGCAGAGAGAGCCCCUCGUGCGGCUCACAAGCUGACCAGCUUUCUGUAUGUUCUUCUACAGUUCUACUACACUGUUUGCCCUAAAGGAACCCAUCAUUACAAACUCUGUUCACUUCUGGAUCCUUGACCUUUGACCAUCCAACAAGAUGCACAGCUGGACAAGAAAAAUAAGAGAGGAAUAUUUGAUCAGUCCAAGAACAAGGAGACCUCUUAGGGUUUAAUUUGGUUUAUUUUUCAAAGUGAGGACAUUGGAUCCCUUGCACGUGACCUUCUUUCCUCCUGCAAUCCCAUUUUGCUUUCCAUGGCACGUGGGGUCGGUCACCCUUUACCUUUCUUUUAUUUUUUUAUAAUUUUUUCUGCAAAUUCUUAUUUGUCUUCGUUUUUUCUUUAGAAUAAUGUUAAUCCAAUCGGAAAAGCUCACUCAGCAAUGGCUGGGAUUUUUUCCAAAUAAUUUCGAAAAAAAGUCUUUCAAUAAAAUUUGCUUUUUUUUUUUUUCUGAAGGAAGAAAUGGAGACUGGUUUUGCUAAUUGAUUUGAUUAUUAUUUGCCACGUGCAUUGUCUUACUGCAACUCUUAAUUAUGAUUACAGGAGAAUAAUGAAGAUUAAUGGGGUUGCUUUUAAUUAGCUGUUUCUUGAAUUCAAAAUAUAUUUUUCCUGGGUAAUUUGAAAAGAGGAAAGGUACAGGGGCAAAUGGUUUAAUUAAGAUGAUAUCGUGCAUCACAUUUCCUAUUGAAUUGUGCAUAUUUUUUGUUGUCACUAUUUGAAGGCUUCAUAAACUUUAUCAACAUUAAUUAGCAUAUUUAAAUCAACAUUAAAAAGAAUCAAUUUAAAAAAAACUAUAAAAAAACCCGAGUCAAUUGAAGUUAACUCGAUUAAUACACGACCUACGAUAUAAAAUUAGGAUAAAUUUUUUUUUAAAAAAACCUGGAAAAUAGAUCGAAGUUAAACAAAAAAACAUUAAAAAAAACUAGAGUAACUCCACAUAAAGAAAAGCGGAAAAAUCACAAAGGUCAAAGCUCAAUAAUUUAAUGUCAAAUAAUAAAAUUAAAAAAAUUAAUUUUAAAAAAAGAAACGUUGGGAAAAAAAAACUAAGUCAAUCUAGGUUACCUCGACUAACUUGCGAUAUGCGAUCGGGAUAAAAAAAAAUUAAAUUAAAAAAAAAAACCUAGAAAAAAAGACCAAAGUUAGGUCAAUAAAAAAAACAUCGAAAAAAACUUAAGUAAACCCGGGUUAACUUAACUCACUUGUGACCUGAGAUAACCCCAUUGAAAGGAAGUAGAAAAAAAUCACAAAGUUAAAGGCUCGAUAUUCUAAUGUCAAAUAAUAUAAUUGAAAAAAAUCAAUUAAAAAAAAACAUAAAAAAAACCCGAGUAAACCCGGGUUACUUAACUGACUCAUGACUCGGGAUAUAAUAAUCAAAUAUGGUAUAAAAAUAAUGAAGCAAAAUUCCUAAUCGUCAAAAGUUGAAAACAAAACAAGUACCAAUCAAAUAAUGAGAAUCAAAUCUGGCAUAAAAAAAUAAAUGAAAGAAAAUAACUAGGGAUUAAAUUAAAAAAUAAAAAAAAUUAAGAAAAUAAAAAAAAAAUAGUAAUAAAAAAAUAAGGGUCAAACUAGAUAUAAAAAUUAAAUGAAAUAAAAUAUUUAGAGAUGAAAUUAAAAAAAAAACUUCUAUAAUCACUAAAAAAAAAAUAGCAAUCAAAAGAAUAAGGACUAAAUUAAAUACAAAAAUGGAUCAAAUUUUAUUUUAAAUUAAUUUAUUUCGCCAAGUUAAAUUUGAGUGAGGCUUUAUCAGAUUAAUUCUAAGGAUUUUUUUAAAAAAAAGUUUGUCAAAAAUAAUAAUGUUUAAUUUUUUUAAAAAAAAUUGUUUUAGGAUUAAUAUAGAAAAUCUACAACCCGAGUCUAAUAAUUAUGGUUUUCUCAUGCAAUUGUAACCCGGUAUCCACCAUUUAUAAUCUCACACUUGCUAGGGCAGGUGUUGGACUUUUCAGUAAACAUGAUUCUUUCUCGUAGCUAAUUGAAAUAUUGUUAACAACUUAAUGAUUUAACUUCUUUUCACUAAUAUGUAUUUAAUCAGUUGUGAUUUAUAGUGAAUUGCAAAACCAAAACCAGCACUAAUGGAAAAUCUCUCUGCUAAAACAAAGUUCAUGCACCCAACCUGAUUUCCUCUUGCAAGUUGCAAAGAAUAUCUACUCGUAGACCUUUACCAAGUUUCAAGUAGAAAAAAUAAACACACAAUUCAAAAAAUAAAAUGGAAUUAACCAAUUCGUAUGCUUUGUGCUUGCAGCCUUUGUGAGGCAGUGGGAAUUAAGAAUAUUAUCCAACAAGCCGCCGGGGAAAAUAUUUCGGCCACCACCAUUUAUGCAGCGAAGAUUGGAUCUUUUUAUACAUGGAAUCAUGCUCAUACACAUUUUCUGUGGACUGCAGGCAGCAUAGAAAAGAGCAGAUAUUUCUAGGUAAGGGACAUGUCAAGCUUGGAAUUAUGCCAUGUGUAUCACCAGGGAAGACUUUGCAGAAAGGAAAUCAUAAAAACGAUUCAUGGUUCAUGCAUGGAAAAUGAUCGCCAGCCAAUAUGUUGAAUUCAAAUGUUGCCUACCUUGAUUCCUUCUAAUAAUGUUCAGAUCAUUCGACUCCCUAGCUUUGUGUAAAGAAAAAAAAAUACAGUAGCCUAAACAACUUUGUUUCUGGAUAAAUUACACGAAUCACCUCGAGAUUUGUUAUUGUUUAAAUACGUAGAUUACAUUAUGGAUUGUUUUUAAAUUAUAGCUCAAGUGCUCCUCCUUUCAAGAGAUUUUGAAUUUGAAAUCUUUACUUUAUAUACAUAUAUAUAUAUAUAUAUAUAUAUAUAUAUAUAUAAAUUUUAAUUCAAUAAUCUAAUUAGGUUGAUUGUAAAUUAAAAAAAAAAACGAUUCAUUAACAAAAACUAAUUGAGUAGGAAAAAUCAUAUCAUUACUCUUGUUCUCAUAAAGUAUUAUUCAUUAGAAUAAUAGUUUUUUUUUACUCUUUUUUUUAAUAUUAGAUUUAUUGGAGGAUUGAGCUUUAUAAUUUUUUUUUUUUUUUAAUGAGGUUGUUCUAGUCUCAUGAUCCGGAUCACAAGUUUUACAGAUUAACCUGGUUGACUCGAGGUUUUUAUAGGGUUUUUUUUAAUUAUUUUUUUUUAAUUUCAUCCUUCACCAUAUAGGUUGACUAGAAAUUAAAAUUCAUAAUUUAUUUCGAUUUGGUUUUUAUGAGGUUAUCUCAGUUUCAAAACUCAAGUUUAGCAUGUUAAACUAGGUUGACUCAAGUUUUUUUUUUUAUUGAUAUUUUUUCAAUUCUAUCAUUCAAUGUUGGAUUGAUUGGGAAUUAAGUUUUAUAAUUUAUUUUGAUUUGCUUUUUAUUGGGAUAUCAUGGUUUUAUGAUCCCGGUUUGACAAGUUAAUCCGAGUUAAUUCAAGUUUUUUUUCAUUUUUUUUUAAUUUAUUAUUUUCAAUUUAAUUCGUUUACAUUGGAUUGAUUGAGGAUUGAGUUUCAAUAUAUUUUUUGAACUGCUUUCUAUGAGAUUAUUAUAAUCUCAUUACCCGAGUCACGAAUUUUAUAUUUUAAUCUAAGUUGAUUCAAGUCGAUCUAAUAUGUUAUUGUUUCAAUAUUAAAAAAUAUAAUGUCAUAUCAUCUUAAAAAAAAUUUAAUUAAACUAUUUUUUCAGUUGUCUAAAUUGUUUUUAACUUGUCAUCAAAUUAAUCUCUCUGCACGUUUGAAUUUUAUUUUUCCUCCUUAAAAACACGUUAACAAUGACAAGAUAUUUCUUUUAACUUUUUUUUUUUUUUUGGAAAUAAUACAACUCAUAACGCGUUUUUGUUUUUCGUUUGGUUUGGUUGCGGCGGACGACAUUGUGGUCUACGAAACCAAGCUUGGAUUUAUCUUUCAAAGAAAUCAUCAUGGAUCUACAUCAUGUCAAAUAAUUAUCCCUGCCGAGGGGCCUCAAAACAAGCAUCAUUCGUUGAUGAUCGGAAUGGUGAAGAAAGCAUAAAUUGGCAGCACCAGGCUGGGCUGCACUCGAUCGAAAGUUUCUCAUUUGCCAUAAUAAUAGGAGAUAACAAGCAAUAAAAGGCAAAAUGAAAUCGGGCAUAGAGCUAAGGUAUCGUCCUUGCUCUGAGAAAUAUUAUUUGCCUUUGAAUGAGUAUUUAUUAAAAAAUAGGAAACAUAGCUUUAUACAAGAGAUUGAUCCAAGUACAAAAUGCAACUAAGCAAACAUACAAUUAAUACAGUAUAUUGGUCAAUGCAUGACCGAAUGAAGUGCCAUAUAUUAUUGUUAUUCUUAACAUUUUUUUUAGGUGUUUUUGAUAUUUUUGAUAUUCUGGUGUUAAAACAAAAUCUAAAAAAAAUUAUUUUAAUAUAUUUUUAAUUAAAAAAUAUUUUUAAAAAACACCAUACACUACAAUAUCAAAUACACAAAAUAAUCUAUCCUUCUUCCUGUUUUUGAGUAAAAUAUUUUACCAAAAGAAGUGUCAUGGUCUAGCCAGGCAUGAACUAAAAAAAGGCAUAAAGGAAAGAGAAAAAAAAAUACAAAGAAUGGCAAAAACCAAGAUUAGCUCUUGGCCAGAGCCUAAAGACAAGAAAAGCUCCCUCAAAAUUAGUAAAAGGGCUAAUAAAUCUUACUAACAAGUGCUUAAUGAGUGGUGUUUGUCUGUCUAAUGUUCGUCACAAGAGCACACAUUAUCGUUCAAAGCACAGCUCCUGGCUCUUUACUCUUUAGUGGAGUAGUUGGUUGAUUAAUGUUGCCACGUCUGAUUCCCAUAAAACCGAGUUUCCUCGUACGUGUCUGUUCAAAGUCCAAUUGAUACUGUGAUGUUAAGUCCGUAAAUACCGACCAGAUACGGGGAAGUAAGAAAUAGAUUUUCUCUAGAAGCUCCGGUCAUGAGUUAAUCUAUGCUGUUGAUAUUCCCACCGAGCUGCUUGUUCAUCGCUUGCUGUUGAAGUUAAUUUUAAACCAGAGAGAAAGAGAGAAAUUAUGUAAAAAAAAAAAACACGUGAUGUGAACAAAAGGCAAUGUUUAAGUUAAAGCUAAAUGAAGUUCUAAAGAAAAGGUGCAAUUUAAUAGCGAAUCCUACUUUAAUGUUGUGUUCUUUCAACUAAUUAACUUUUUGACGACUAAUUUAUAUAAGAUAUAGAAGGAAUAAGGACCUUGAUUCUAACCGUAUUUUAUACUUACGUUGAUAAAUUGGUAAAUGAAUAUAUAGUUUAUUGCAAAAAAAAAACCUUUAUUUUCUAUUUUCUUAUUAUUUUUAAUUUAGAUCGAUCUAAUAUAUUGUCAUCUAAAUAUAUAUAAAAAAUCAUCUUAAAAUUCUUUUAAAAUCAUACAAUGUUUUUUUUCUAGUUAUUUGAGUUAUUUUUUAACUCACUAAAUUGAUCAUGCCACCUUAUACCUUAUAUGCAUGUUAAUUUUAAAUUUUAAUCGAAAUCAAAUCAGGAGAAUUCAAAAUUGAAUCAUUAAAUUAAAGUUAAUACUAAUAUUAAAUAAUUUAUUUCUAAACAGUUUUUUUACGUAAAAAAACUUUAUCUAACCCCACAGUGUAAUGCAAGCUAGGAAAUUAGUAACUUUCUAAGAAAUCAUAUAUUGAAUGAAUGGAAUAUGAUUGAAAUUUUUCUAAAAAUAAUUUGGAGAAGAAUCUUUAAAUAAUAUUAAUAAAAAUAUUUUAAUUAUAGUUGAUAAAUUUGACUUGAAAUUUGUCUAGAAGAAAAAAAGCUAGAUAAACUCAGAUAAAUUAUUUUGUAUCAAAAUAAUAUUGUUGUUGUGUUCAUUUCAAAAAAAAUUUAAAUAUUAAUUUGACUAGAUUUAUCAAUCAACCACAUAAUUAAACAUACAUAAAUCAAUGUUAUUUUUUUAAAAAAAAAAAUUUUGGUGUUGAUUCAACUAGAUUUGGUCAAGUAAAUCUAACCACGUAAUUAAACAAACCUAAAUAUAUGUUAUUUUUAUUCAAAUUAAAAUAUUUCUAACUCAAAGUCAUAAAAUUCUUGAAAGUACUGAUUUUAAUAAGUAUGAUUCUAAUCACAUAUCUAACACUUAUCUAUUAUCGCUAGCUAUUAACAACUCGUUAAAAUGACCAUUUAUGAACAAAGUAACCCAUAUAUUGAUAACCUACCACAGUAACAAGCACAGACAUAAAACAAAUUGCAGCGUCUCCCUCGUCUCCAUCUCCAAGUCCAAAUUCAAAUAUGUAGCUCAACUAAUUUAAAAGAUGUUGAUAAUUUAAUAAAGAAAUAAAUGGGCAAAAAAAUAUACAUGUUAGGGCAGCUGCUCCAAGAAGAGCUUAGUAAGUUUAGCAUUAGAGCUCUUAAGCCAAGAAGAUCAGGAAAAAAAAAUAGUUUAUGGAGGUGGCAGAGAAAGGGAGACACAGAAACAGCUCCCACGUUCUCCUCAUACCUGACUUCUUCUCUUUAAUAAUGCUCUCUCUCUCUCUCUCUCUCUCUCUCUCUCUCUCACACACACACACACACACACACGCUCACACACACACACACGCUCACAUUCACACUUAUAAGUAGAAGCCGUCCCUAUUGACAAAAUGAUGCCUAUUUCUCAAGGGAAUAAAUAUAUACCCGUUCAUCUCUUGUGAACCUCCAUAAAUACUCUUAUCUCCAUACCCUAAUCUCUCUCUCCUCUCUCUCUCUCUCUCGUUACACCACUAUCUUGAUAACAGUUCAAGAGGGCUCAUCAUCUCUCUCUUUUUUUCUGUGAUCAUGGUGAGUGUCACUCCCCCUUCCCUCGCUUGAUCGCCAAUAUCUAUUGCAAAAUUCUGUUUGAGUUUUGAUUUAUGUGUUGAAUUUUUAAGUGUCUCUUUUGCUUAAUUCUGGUUGGUAUUUGUGAUCAUGGUGUUUUUCAGGGAAUUCAAAAGCCUGCAUGGUUGGGAGCUCUUUACACACAAAAGUUUUUUGCAGGGUGCUCUUAUCAUGAAGCUGCAAAGAAGAAUGAAAAGAACGUGUGUUGUUUGGAUUGUUGCAUCAGUAUUUGCCCUCACUGUAUACCAUCCCAUCGCUUCCAUAGGCUUCUUCAAGUUCGUCGUUAUGUUUAUCAUGAUGUUGUCCGAUUGGAAGACCUCGAAAAGCUGAUUGAUUGCUCAAAUGUUCAGGUUAGUGGCUUAAACAAUCUUAAUCUUCUUGCCUCAUAUGUUGCUCUAGCAAGAUUCAGUCUGUAGUUUGCUAAUUAACUUAGCUUUGAUUAUAGGCCUAUACCAUCAAUAGUGCGAAAGUGGUGUUUAUCAAGAAGAGAGCUCAGAACAGGCAAUUCAAAGGGGCCGGAAACUAUUGUACUUCCUGUGAUAGAAGCCUUCAAGAACCUUUUAUCCAUUGCUCUCUUGGCUGCAAGGUACAAAGCAAUUUUCAUGCUAAAUUCCAAGAAGGGUGACUAAAAGUUUUUUCCACAUGCAAUUACGACCCUUUUAGUCAAAAGAGCAUAUCACGAUAAAGUUGCGCUCAAUUAUGAUCAAAUCUCCAUGGACCGCCUUCAAAAAAAGGAAGAAAUUGUUGUAAUCAUUUUGUCUUUUUAUUUCAAUCGUUAUGUCUUGAUAUCAAUUUAUAUGUUAACUAAACUAACUAAGUGCGUAUAUUUAGAAAAAUAAAUUCAUGUGUAAAAAAAGAAAAGAAGCAAACAUCAUUAACGAUCAGACCAUCAAUACAAGUGAAUUUUACUCGAAUCAUGCACAAUUAAGAAAACCAAGAAUUGUGUAUUGAAUUAGCCAGAUUAUUUCUAGGAGGGGUGUCUUAAUUAUGACCAUCAUUCUUAAGAUCGAUCCUAUGAUCAUAUUUAACAGAAAGAUUUCCUUCAAUGUUUUCUGCAGGUGGACUUUGUGCUGAAACAUUACAAGGACCUUUCUCCAUACUUGAGGAGAUGCAACGCAUUAACUCUUGGUCCUGACUUCUUUAUCCCUCAAGAUAUGGCAGAUGAUGAGAUGACCAAUGAGACGCCUCACUCGACAAUUGUGGACUCCGAUGAGCCGAUGAGCUGGUCUUCAAGUUCAUCGGGUUCCGAAAACAUGAGCAUCGCUAGCACUGGGAUUGUACGGAAGAAGAGGAGUGGAUUAUACGUAUGUGCAAGAUCAUUGAGCAAGGUUUCUGAUGAGGACAUGGCUUCAAGCAUGAGUAGAAGAAAAGGCAUCCCUCAUCGAUCUCCUCUAUGUUAGGAAAACAAAUUAAACCAAAAAAACUUUUAUUUCUUACUAUAAUUAUUAAUUAGUUUUACUUGGAUAUUUUGACCGACCUUCAAAUUCAAAGUGUUCUCUCUCACAGUCACAUCAUCUCUCUUCACUCUUCAACUUGAGUUAAUUAAUAACUUGGUCGGGGGGUUUUGUCUUAAUGGCAUCACGUGAUUCCCAAUUCCAAGUUAUGGUUUUGUACAUUUUUCUAUUUUUUCUAUGCUCAUAUUAAUAAUUCAAGCCAUCAAUCCGAGGACUUUAUUGUUCCAAACUUGUACACCUCUGGGAAUUACACAGUACAUUUAUGUAUUUGUUAAUUUCCUAUGCAUUGGUACACACACUUGCUUUUACCGGGUAAUUCAAGAUUCUGUUUACGAGAAUAUCAGGGUUAUGUUUUACAAUGUUUUUUAUUUUAUUUUUAAAUAUAUUAAAAUAAUAUUUUUUGUAUUUUUUAAAAUAUAUUUUUGAUAUUAACACAUCAAAAUAUUUUCAAAACACUAAAAAAUUAAUUUAAAAUAUAAAAAUAUUCAAAAAUAAUAAAAAAACUAUGGUUCAACCACAACACCAAAUAUAUACUAAGAGACCAUUUGGGAACAAGAUGCAAACCACGUUCUCUCAAUUUUUUUUUUGUUUAAAAUUAAUAUUUUUUGAUAUUUUUAAAUUGUUUUGGUGUGCUGAUAUUAACAAUGAUUUUUAAAAAAUAAAAAAAAUAUUAUUUAAUACAUUUCCGAGUAAAAAUAUUUAGAAAAAUAAUCGCAACCACACCUCAUACACGCUCUAAAAAGAAAAGGUAGCUAUAUAUGGAUUUUGCAAGCAAAAAUACUCGAACUCCAACAAAGACAAAUUGGUUUCUUGACAACAAAAGGAGAAGGGUGGGUUUCGAUUAACCAAAUUACCGUAAUUUCUUUAUGGUUGUUGGCAAUUGAGAAUUGUAGACAUUUCUCAUCCUCCUAUACUAUAUAUAUAUAUAUAUAUAUAUAUAUAUAUAUAUAUAUAUAUAUAUAUAUAUAUAUUUUGUAUUUUCAUACUCUUAAUGCAUGGCUAGAGUGCUCAAAACCAUGUUAUGAUGAAAUAUGAAGCUUAGAAGUAUGAAUAUAGUUUACUUGGUCUUAAAGUUAUUCUUGGCAUUUAAAAUGGAAGAAUAAAUCCCAAAUUAGUAAGAUUUAUUGGCAUUAAAAACCAUAAGAUUUUUAGCACCAUCUCAUGAUGAGAAGGGAUUCGUUUGACUAUUAUAUGUCUACAUCUACAGUGUACUGUCUCUUCUCGGAGAGAGUGCUGGGGUUUGAGAUUUAACCACUAUUUUUGACCGGUCAAAUUCUACCCCAAUUGACAAUUUAAAUCAGAUAAAUAAUCACUAUUAAAUUAAGGGGCAAUUUAAAAUUGUGGUGCAAACGGAGUUUUUAAAAAGUUUGAUUUUAAAAAAUAAAUUAUUAUAUUUUUUUAUUUUUUUAAUAUAUUUAUAUCAAAAAUAAUUUAUUAAAAAAAUAUAUUUUUAAACAAAAAAUAAUUAUAUUAACACAUUCUUAAACACAUCUUAAAAUAUAGUUCGUGGGGGAUAAAAAAUUAAUUCAGUGAGAAUUAUAGUUACAUGGAGCCAGCUCAAUCUGACAAUGAUAUCACCUUUUUAGACAAGUGGUGUUAUAGUAAAAAAUAAAUAAAAUUGAAUGCUAUUUUAAUACACUGUGUUCUAUAAAAAUAUAUAUAUUUUUAAAAUAUAUUAAAAUAAUGUUUUUUAUAUUAAAAUAUCAAAACCAUAAAAAACAAUAAAAAAAAUCAAUUUGAUAUUUUUUUCAAGCCUUAUAUAUAUUUAAAAUGCAUUCAAACACAGUUUCAAAUCUAAAAAUAAAUUUCCCAUGAACAAUGAUAAUUUAUAUAUCAAAGUUGAAAAUUUUAGGAUAUUUACACUCACUAUCAAAUUUAAUUGUAUAUUGUCUUAACAAAUUUGGAAUAAUAAGAAGUCUCAAAUCAAAGCAUCGGGAUACCAUGGAGCAAGUUAAUUCACUGUUGGUGCUUUGUAAAAUUUUGUGAGAUGGAUUAUCCCAAUGACGGCACCACAAGCAGUUACUCAGGUGAGGAUUCUAGAGGAGGUUUUCUUGGUAACUAAGUAGGCCAAUAAUUUGUGGUGGCCUACAGUCGAAAUUGGGCCGAGAAAUGCUGGGCCCACCAUUUGGGUAUUUACUGGGCUCUAGAGCACGGGCUUUUGUUGCCGAAAACAUGUAAAUUAAGCUAAAAAGGGAAGUGCUAUUCGGCGUAUUCGCUAUUCGCACGAGAUGGCAUGGGGUAGUUCAUGAAAUAAAAUAUUUCGUGUAGGUGGCCCAAUUUAUAUUUCAGGCUAGCCCAGUAACAUGACUUCUAAAACUAAGCCCACAAAACAAUCAUCAUUAAAAAUAAAAAUAAAAAUAAAAACUGAUAGAAUUAGAGGAGGGAAGAAUAUAGUAGAUAAAGGAAAAACUGAAUUUAGAUCUUUCUUAGUUGAAAUGUCUUGACAAUGUCUAAGCCCACUCAACAAUGGCAAAUAAAUAAAAUUUCUAAAAUCUUUUACUAUAAAAUUAUUUUUAUAUUUGUUAAUGUAGUAUACGUUGCUUUUCAAUUAAAAUGUAUUAACAUAAUUUUCUUAUAUUUUAUUCUUUUUAUCAAUGGAUCAAAAUUAUCAAAAAAUACAUAAUUAAAAACAUCAAUUAAUGUUUUUUUCAAAUAAAAAAUAAUUUAAAAAUCACUUUGAGAAACAAAUAGCAUCUAAUAAAAUAUUUAUCACCAUUAAAAUUACAAAUGAAAAAUUUAACCUUUUAAGAUUAAUUAUUAGGUGUUUGAGAUUAUUUGGCUUUGCUAAAAAAAUAUGAGCAAAAUACGAGUUAUUUUGUAUAAAGACAAAUACGAGUUUAAUUGGGAAUUUGGAUAAGGGCAAGAUCCAGAAAAUUACAAAGAAAAAACAUGUCAUUAACCCUUGUACAUAGAGAUUGUUCUAAGUGUAGUUUAAGCAAGUGGAUGCCUCAGCCUUUUCUUUUUAAUCCCUAAUGUUCAAUGUUCAUCUUCAAACCAUGGCUUAGACAUUUGGGUUAGCCUUUAUUUGUUAUCCUUAUAACUAGAUUUUUUUUGGUUCAUCAGAAAUUCUCCUGGCUUAAGUGUUGUAUUUACAAGGAUUUGUUUCUUCACUGGUGAAGGUAUAAAAAUUUGUUCGUUAUUAGUUUUAAUGAUUAAGAGGUAUUUGAGAUAAUAAUAAAUAUUGUUUUUUUAUUUUUAUUUAUUUGAAAAUGUAUUAAAAUAACAUAUUUUUUUAUUUUUAAAAAAUAUAUUUUUGACAUUAACACAUCAAAACGAUUAAAAAACGCUAAAAGAAAUUAAUUUAAAAUAAAAGGAAAUUCAAUUUUUAAAGAAAAGUUGUCCAGCAACGGAAAUUUUGAGCGAAAUUGAAUUUUUUUAGAAAUCCAAUACUACUUGAGAAACCCAAGUCAGUAAGUUUACAGCCUCGAUUCAAUGCCUUUGAGGUGGAUAAUGAUAGAGCUGAAGCUUUUGGAAGAGAACUGCUUAAUUAUAUUAUUAAUAGACGACAUUUAUAUAGAUACAAACCUAACAGAGUUCUCUACGUUGCAGGAAGACUAAUCCUUUAGAAAUACAAGUUGUUGCAGUAAUGGAGUCCUAAUGAAUAACAAACUGUAAGAGCAGUAAUGAAGUCCUAAUGAAUAACAAACUGUAAGAGCUAUACAUUGAUUUAUCAUGCCCCCUCAAGAUGGACCACGAUCGGAGAGGCCAAUCUUGUCACGAAACAAAUGAAAUGUAGACGUAGACAGGGGUUUGGUCAGAAGGUCCGCAAGUUGAUCAGCAGAUGAAACGUGAGUUACACGUAACUGACCAGAUUGAACUUGAUCGCGAAUGAAAUGGUAGUCGACUGCAACAUGUUUCAUGCGAGAAUGAAAAAUAGGAUUGGAACUUAAUUGAGUUGCUCCUAUGUUAUCACAGUAUAUCACAGGUGAGGAAGACAGAGCAACACCAAGUUCAUGAAGUAGAGAUUGUACCCAACAGAGUUCAGCAGCAGUGGCAGCAACGGAGCGAUACUCAGCCUCUGUUGAAGACCUGGCAAUGGUCUUUUGUUUCUUUGAACUCCAAGAAAUUAAAUUACUUCCAAGAUAAACUAGAUAAGCACUAGUGGAUGAAUAAUCAUCUUUAUUGCCAGCCCAAUCGGCAUCUGAAAAGGCAUGAAGUUGAUCAGCGAAGUCAUGAAGAUUGGAGGGCGAGUCACGGUGCAGAAGAAGGCCUUUGUUUAGUGUACCAACAAGGUAUCGCAGAAUUCGUUUAACAAGUAUCCAGUGAUCAUCGGUUGGGCUGUGCAUGAAUUGAGACAGUUUGUUCACAGCAAAGGACACAUCUGGUCUUGUAAGUGAAAGAUACUGAAGGCUCCCUACCACUUCACGAUAAAUUGUGGGAUUCUGUAGCGGUGAACCAGACAACAAUGAAAUAGCAGAGGCAGAGCUUGGAAUCGGAGUGAGCACUGGUUUUGCGUCCAACAUGUUGAGACGAGUUAGCAGGUCAGUAAUGUACUUGCGUUGAGAGAGUAGAAUACCAUGUUUGUGAGGAAGAACUUCAACACCCAAGAAGUAGGACAAAUUGCCAAGAUCUUUAAGAGAAAAACGUUUGGCAAGACUGGAAACAAAAACUGAUAGAAUGUUGUCACUGCUGCCUGUGACAAUAAUGUCAUCCACGUAAACCAGCAAAAACAGAACAUGUUGAGCACUGUGAAAUGUGAACAGAGAAGGAUCAGAGUAGGAAUUGCAGAAACCAGAAGCCAACAGAAAUGUGCGCAAUUCAUGAUACCAAGCCCGGGGCGCCUGUUUGAGUCCAUAAAUGGCCUUGUGAAGUUUGCAGACAAAUGACGGUUUGUCACGAUCAACAAAUCCAGGAGGUUGCACCAUGUAAACGGUUUCAGAGAGAUGACCUUGAAGGAAAGCAUUGUUGAUAUCCAGCUGUUUAAGUGACCAUCCGCGACUGACAGCAAGACUGAGUACCAAGCGGACAGUGGUUGGCUUCACAACGGGGCUGAAAGUCUCAUGAUAGUCUACACCGGGACGCUGGUGGAACCCUUUUGCAACAAGUCGUGCUUUAAAUCUGUUUAUGGAUCCAUCAGAAAGUCUUUUAAUGCGGUAAACCCACCUGCAACCAACAACGUUAGUGAUACCAUCAGGAGGAACAAGUUCCCAUGUGCCAUUGCAGACUAAAGCAUCAUAUUCCUCAGACAUGGCAGCUCGCCAGUUUGGAUCUUUAAGUGCCUGAGAGAGGAUGGAAGGUUCUGUUGGAGAGAUGACCGGUUUAGUAGUGUGAAGACUGAGUUUCUGGAUUGGUUUGUGGAUAUUAUUCCGGGACCGAGUGAUCAUGGGGUGUAGGGAAUGUUGUGGUGGUGGUGGAACAGGUAGAGAUGGAUCUUGAAGUGAAGGAUUAUGGUGAGAGGAUGAAGCAGUUACCUGUGAAGUAGAUAUGAUGGAAGGGAUUGCUCCAGCAUGUGUGGAAGGACUUGAUGAAGGGACCAUAGGAGGAGAUGCAUCUGCAUGGCAUUGUGAGGAAGGAGCAGAAGGAGCCAGUUGCUGUGGGGUUUGAGAUGAGACAGAAAUAGGUGAAGGCAUCCAGUCGGAAACGGGGGAAGGAAGAUUUGAAGGUGCAGUAGGAUAAGAUUUAUAAGGAAAAACUGACUCAACAAAUUGUACAUGCCGUGAAAUAUGUAGUUUGUUAUUGGAUUUGUCAAGGCAUAGAUAUGCACUUUGAGAAAGGGAGUAUCCAAGAAAAACACAGGGUUGAGAUUUCGACUCAAGUUUAUGAGAUGCAUAUGGACCUAACCAAGGAUAACAUAAACAACCAAACACUUUAAGUUUAGAAAAAUUGGGACUCUUGUGAAAAAUUGACUCGUAUGGUGAAGACAUGUUUAAUGUGGGAGUAGGCAUCCUGUUAAUUAGGUAAACGGCAGUGGUGAAGGCAUAAGUCCAAAAAGUAGUAGGGAUUGAGGCAUGAGAAAGAAGGGCAAGUCCAGUUUCGACAAUGUGAAGAUGUCGCCGUUCAGAAUAACCAUUAUGUUCAGGUGUAUGUGGUGGGGACGUGAGAUGACUAAUUCCAUGUUCGGAAAGAAAUGGUUUGAGAGCAAUGUAUUCACCACCAUUAUCAGAAUAAAGAGAAAUAAUGGUUUGUUGAAAAUAUUUUUCAACAAUUGCUUUGUAGCGUCGAAACACUAUUUGGACAUCAGAUUUGCGUUUUAAUGGAUAAAACCAAAUGUAUUUUGUAAAAUGAUCAACAAAAAUAACAUAGUAUUUAUAACCAUCGUGUGAAAUAAUAGGAGAAGUCCAAACAUCUGAAAAUACAACUUGAAGAGGACGCGUAGUGUGCAAAGUAGACACAGAAAAUGGUUGUUUAUGACUUUUAUUACUUAAGCAAGCAUCGCAACAAAAAUUCUUUUGAGAAGAAAAAUUUAAAUGAUAGAAGGACAUGAUAUGUUUAAGAAUUGUGGAGGCUGGAUGACCAAGGCGCUGGUGCCAAAUGGACAUUGUUGUUUUGACAGCAGAGAAGGCUAGAAUGGGAGGAGUAGAAGAGGUCGCAACUGGCCAUUCAUAAAUACCAUUCUUAGUGCCGCCCUGCAGAAGAAUGUCCCCCGUUUGUAGGUCCUUCACAUGAAAACAAUGAGGAAAAAGUUCAAUCGACACAUUGUUGGUGAUACAGAAUAAUGCAAUAGAUAUUAAAUUUUUUUGCAUUUUUGGAACACACAAAACAUCUUGUAAGUGGAAAGAAGAGUUAGAUGUGGGAAGGGAUACUGAACCAGUGUGACUUAUGGGAAGGUUGGUACCAUCGCCUAGUAUAACAUCAUCAUGACCAGUAUAUGGUGUAUGGAGGGAAAGAUUAUUGAGGUCGGCAGUAACAUGAUGGGAAGCACCACUAUCCAGUAACCAUGACGCAGCGGUGGAUGGUGAUGAAGAAGAAAAAUUGGCUUGAGGAUUCCAGGAGGAUGGCAUACCAUUGGAGGAGCUGGCAGAGUUAGAACCAUGAACAGGAACUAAUUGAAAAGAAGGACAACGUUUAGCGGUGUGUCCUUGAGUGCCACACAUCUGGCAGUAAUAGGACCAAGACGAGAGGAUUGUGACCGUGUUUGAAGUGAUGCUUCAAACAAGAGAAGUUUCUCAUGGAGUUCAUCAAAGGAGAUAGCAGCUUCGCGAGCUUGGACAGCCCGAACAAGUUCUGUGUAAUCUUCAUCUAAACCAUCAAGGAUCUGUUCAGUAAGAUCAUCAGUAUCCAUAGGAGCACCAAGAACAGUAAGUUCGUCAGAUUUUGCUUUAAUGAAGUGGACAAAAUCUGUGAUACUCAUAGAACCUUUUGUGAGAUUCUUUAACUGGUUUUUCACCUGGCGAAUACGUCCACGUGAUGGUUUAGCAUAUGUUGUGGCAAGAACAUGCCAAGCAUCAUAAGAAGAAGUGGUGCGGGCUACAAAGGAAAUAAGCGAAGGAGAAAGACUGCCAACAAUGGCAUUCAAGAGAAGUUGAUCUUGCCUUACCCAGAGACUAUAGGCAGGAUUAGGGACAGUGAUAUUAUCUGUUACAAGGGUUGGUGAGGGACACGGCUUGGAGCCAUCGAUGUAACCAAGAAGAUCGUAGCCAAUAAAUAGUGUUUCAAAUUGAAUUUUCCAAGAAGCAUAGUUGGAAGAGGUGAGUUUGAGAAGGGCUUGAGCAGCUGUGUUUAUGGUGAUAAGAUGGUUUUCUGUGUUUGAAGGAAUGGAAGUUGACAUGGUGAUGGGAAGAGGGAAGAAACAGAAUUGAAGAGGAAUGGAGAGAAAAAAGAGAAAAAAAAUAAAGGAUCAGAGACGCUCUGAUACCAUGAUAGAGCUGAAGCUUUUGGAAGAGAACUGCUUAAUUAUAUUAUUAAUAGACGACAUUUAUAUAGAUACAAACCUAACAGAGUUCUCUACGUUGCAGGAAGACUAAUCCUUUAGAAAUACAAGUUGUUGCAGUAAUGGAGUCCUAAUGAAUAACAAACUGUAAGAGCAGUAAUGAAGUCCUAAUGAAUAACAAAUUGUAAGAGCUAUACAUUGAUUUAUCAGAUAAAUCUUGAUCCCCGAUGAGAUUAGCCUUGGUAUAAACAUGCAUGAUAUGCACAAUGGGAGUUUCUUUCUUUCCUUUUCCCUUAAGGAUCCUCAAAGUACAUUCUUGUUAUAUAAGAAAGAAAAAGAAGCAAAAAAUGUUUUCGUGCCGGCACAUCGCAUCAAGCAUAAAGGCAGCAGCACAGUUCUGCCGCCUUAUAUUAUUCCCAAAGGGGCCAGCCUUGCCGAUCGAUAUGUUUCUGAAACUACCUAGCAAGGGCACCACUAUCUAUUCAACUUUUCUAUUAAUUGAUGAAAGUGUACGUAUAUAUAUCAUAAACACUUGAUUUCUUCAACACAGCUCUUGAUGGACCUGCCAUGCCAGGCCAUGAGAAACAUGAUUAAAAGAUCGGUAGAAGAAAUGUGCCCAUCACUUGGAAAUUAGAUUGGAAAGUUGAUUUGAUGAAGCAUCAGCAAGUGGCAAAUGCUAGCUUUAUGUCUACGUAAACAUCUACUACAUAACUAACCAUUCUCAUUACCUACCAUAUAAUUAAGCUGCAAGUUUUCUACUUUCUUUAUGAGUUGUGUGUACGCUUAACAGAUUAGUCCCCUCUUUCUUCAAGUGAGGAUCACUCCACCGUUCGGCGUCUAGCAAAUAAUUUCAUAUGUUUGUACAUGAUAGGAGACAUGCCUUGCAUGUCUGUGUGUCUGUGUCUUCACUAAUUGAUAAUCUUUUUAUUGAUAUAAAUUAUUAACUUUAGACCUAAUUAAGGUUAAGACUUGAUUGGAUUGUACGUAAUUUGAUAUAGAAAAUGCUGUUGUUGAAUAUUAUGAAGGAAAUCCUUUCUCUUGGUUUUGAAAUGCAAUUCUUUUCCUUUUCAUUUUCCACAUCUAUAUAUACAGAAGGUUUCUAUGACUGCAAGACUACAAAAACGCAGGUCUCUGUGUAUAUAUACGAGUAUCAGGUGUCUGUAUAUAUUCUCUGUACGUAUAUCAUACGAGUAUUAAUAUGAUCAAAAGACUUGCUUCAGACUUUUGCUUGCAGCAGUACUAGCUUAGAUAUUAGAACUUGUUCAUCGUCAAAACAAGCCAACAUGAAGCUUAAUUAAGGUGUACGUAAAUUUGCUUCAAAAUCAAGCGGACUUAAUUUACAGUUUUUAAAAUAAAUCAAUGCUUCAUUUAUGUCUUCUUUUAAAUGAAGUACUCAUGUUUUUCAUGAGAACAAUUAUUUCUUAUUUACUUUGUACCAAUAUAACGCUCCAAAAAUUAUUGCUGUUCUGCUUUUAUUACAAAUUAAGUCUUAGAUUUAAACCGUAAAAGAUCCGUUGUACACUUAGAAAAUAAAGGAAGAAAAUCAUCCUUUUCGUAUUAUUAUAUUUUUCAAUCCGUCUAAUUAAUUUAAUUAACAGGAUUAAUUAUGACCCUAGAGAAAAUGAAAAUUUGAGUUGGAUCUUAAUCAUUUGCUAACGUAUCUGAAAAAGUAAUCAUAAAUUAGCAAGCAAACAGUCAUAAUUAUACGUUUAACCUUGCUCUCUCUGUUAUUUGCCCGUUCCAUAUUGAUUUUUCUUACUGUCCAAUUCAUUGUCUUUGCUCUCUGUUUUUUUUACAAGGAUAUAAUUCUCAUUUACAUAAAAAAGAUAAGAAUUUUUACAUUAUGAUCACUUGAAAUUAAUCCAAGGAAAAACUUCUUAUAAAUAAAAACCUGAGGACACCUAAUAACAUACAAAAUAAAAAAAAUACAAAAUCAUAUCUGAAAUUGAAAAUUAAAUUACAAGAGAAAAGAAGAACAAAUUAAUUAUUAACCUCGGGAAUUUAUUUAUCAUAUCAGGUGUUUUUAAUUUAGUGAGGUGACAGAAAAUAUUCCACAAAUCAUUUUGCUCAAAUAUUGAUACACAAAUUAGUCAGCAUCAUGGUGUUGUUAGGUUAAACUACUAGGUUGAAUACUUUAAACAAGAGAUCGAAGAGAGUUCCAUUUUUUCUAUCAAAAGAAAGCGGUCCAAAACAAUUUUCCACUCAUGAACAACUCUUGACCUCUCUCCUCCUCUCCUAAGUAACGUUGGUAGGUCAAGAAAACGAUCAAAUUCAAGAAAACAAACCCUAUUAAGAAUCACAAGCUCCAAACCCUAAAAUAGUAAGAUUCAACAUCAAAACAUAAAUUAAUAAACCCGUAAAUAAAGACCUUUCUGAAGAAAAUGGGGGAAAGGUGGUGGGUAGGCACGUUUGUUAUUUGUAAUCAGUGAGAUUGACAACUGGGGUCACAAUGUGACAAGCAUUGACAAGCAUUCGCAUAGGAUUUGAAGCACACCCUGCCACGUUCUCUUUUGUUAACAUCAAAUAUAUAUAUAUAUAUAUAUAUAUAUGGUUUGUCAGUUUGUAUGGUGGGCUUAUGCCCUUUUUUUUAUUUUUAUAUGGGUAAAAGUAUAGUUUCCUACUAUAGAUUAAGAAAUUUUUCAUUUUGAUCUCUAUAAUUUGAGUUUUUCCUUCUUUUUUUCAAUUACGGCUUCUUUAUUUUAUUUUGUUUGAUUUCUUGCUGAAAUCUCCACAAAACUGGCAGUUUCAAAAAGGAUAAAGCUUUUGUCCAAUAAAUUCUCAAAUGUAUAUCGACAAUAACACUACUGUCAAGUGGGUUUGUUUAUUAAUAAUACAAUGAACUGAUGAAAAAAAAUUACACUGUGAAAAGACAGAGUGCACCUUCAUUUUUUAUAGAUUAAUGUUGGUGUUCGGGUUAGUUUAUGUAUAUCUUAAUUGAUCCUGCGAGUUCUAAAACUAACAAGGCAUGAAAUUAACCGGACAAGAAAUUUUUGCCCUAAAAUGUUUUUUAAAUUAAAAUAUAAUUAUAUAUAAGAUCUAGUUUUAAAAACAAAAAAGAAGCAAUUUUUAUAAAUUUAUUAAAAAUUCAAAAAACAAUCCUAACAACUUCAAGAAAAAAAAAGGCAUGAAAACUUCCUCAUAACAAAAACGUUGUAACCCAAAAAAAUAAAAAAGAGAAAUAAUAAUAAUAAUAAAGAAAGCAACACCAUCACAGCAAAGGGGUAUUCUUGUCCAUAUAAUAAUUACGGACAAAUAAACGUAUAGAGAAGAACUUAAAACUUUUUUACAAAUUCAUAAAUGUGUUUUUCUUAACCGUUAAGACUUAAUAUCUCACAAAUACCCAUAUAAAUCACCUGUAUUUAGUAUUUACACACUGGCUCGACACUGCUCUGUCUUUGUCUCUCGUAGAGACGAACAUAAAAACCAGGCAGAGCCGACGGCAACGCCUAGAAACAGAGAGAGAAACUGAAACACAAACGAAAACAUAACAUGUCCUGUAAUAACAGAUCAAACCCACCAUUGUUUUUUCUCCUAAGCUUUCUUUUCUUUUUCUUUAUCUUUACUUCUUCAACAGCAACUCCCAGUUCUUUAACUUCCCAGUUUGAAUCUUUUUCCGUUCCUGGUAGUUCAUUUAUUAAUUAAAGAUUUUUUUUUUGUCUAAAAAUUAUGAUUUUUGUGAAAAAUAUGAAAUCUUUAUGUGCUUUUUUUUUUUUAUAACAAGAGUAAUUUGUUUUUUUUUUUUGUCAAUGUAGAUGUUGUGGUUGGUGGGAGAGAGAAUGAUGGUGUGGUGGUUUCAUGGGAGAUAAGGAGGCAUCUUGCAGAGGAAGAGAACACAGCAUCUUCUUUGAUAUUGGCUGCAAAGAAAACAAGAAGAAGAGACCCUUUAGAGAACUUUAAAUUCUACACUUCUGGUUACAAUAUCAGCAAUAAACAUUAUUGGGCUGUGAGUUCUUUCUUUAUUACCUUUUUCUGGUUUAUUUGACCAUAUUAAUACAUUUUCUUGUACUGAUUGUCACUUCAAUGAUGCAGUCUGUUGGUUUUACUGCGGUUCCAUUCUUUAUCUUAGCUUUGGUUUGGUUUGUGAUAUUUGGACUCUGUUUGUCCUUUAUCUGCCUCUGCUAUUGCUGUUGUCCAACAGAGCCUUAUGGCUACUCUAGAGCAUGCUAUGCCCUGUCUCUCAUUUACCUCAUCCUCUUUACCAUUGCUGCAAUGUAAUGACCCCUCUUUCUCGCUUUGGCUAUGUGUUUUGAUUAAUAAUUUUAUGACACCCUCAAUGUUCCUCUGCGAUUACAGUGCUGGAUGUGUUGUUCUGUAUACUGGUCAAGGGAAGUUUCACAGUAUUACAACACACACAUUGGAGUAUGUAGUCAAUCAAGCAAAUGUUACUGCCAAAAACCUCAGGCAUGUGUCAGAUUAUCUUGCUGCGGCUAAGAAUACUGGUGUAGAGUCAGUUUUUCUGCCACCCAGCGUCCAAAAUGACAUUGAUAGCAUUCAAAAAAAGAUCAACUCCUCUGGUACUACUCUUUCCAGCACUACACAGGAUAAUUCAGAAGGCAUACAAAAUGUUUUGGAUAGCAUGUGAGUAAAAGCUCUUAAAACUUCUUCUGGUGCUUGAUUGGUUUUGGAAUUUUUCAUAAUUGCUCUUAUUUUUUUGUUGUGCAUUGCAGGAGACUGGCCCUCAUUAUCCUUGCUGCUGUAAUGCUUGCUGUGGCAUUUCUUGGAUUCUGUAAGUGUUAUUUUCUUGCAUUAGAGGUGCAAAUUUAUAAAUUGUUUGAUUUAUUAUAGCUAAAUUAUUUGCUUAUAUUAUUUAUAUGAUGACAUUGGUUGCAGUAUUCUCCAUUUUUGGGAUGCAGUGCCUUGUUUACUUGUGAGUGACCUGAUUUUUGAGCCGUUAUCUGUUAACUAUUUUGAACUUGAAAACAAGUACAUGUUAUGGUUAUGAUUUGGCCAAUUUUACUGUUUAAAUUCUGUAGUCUGGUGAUCCUUGGCUGGGUUCUUGUUACGGGCACAUUUAUUUUGUGCGGUGUAUUCCUUCUCCUUCACAAGUAAGUUCUUCCUCCUGUUCUUUUUUUAUUUUUAACUUUUCUGAUAUAGGGUCAUAAAAUGCAUAAAGGAUUUUAUGCUUGAUGUUUAUUUUUUUAAAAAAAAAGGUGUGUUGAAUUAAAUUUAUGUUUUGGAUGCUUUGUGCACACAUUCUGGUGUAUAGAUGCAUGCAUAUACACAUGCAAGCACACACUUGUGGUUGUGUUGUUUCAUUGUGGCAUAUAGAGCUUUCAUGGUCUUAAUUGUUGAUGUCCAUACACACUCGCAAACACU
rnacentral:lncRNA from 1 species